AAUUUAAUUCUAAUUAAAAUCCUAAUGGACUUCAAUCAAAUCCUGGGCCAAAUUCUAAAUCCUAAAUUCUAAGUAAAUCUUAAAUCCUAAAUUCAAAGCAAACCCUAAAUCCUAAAUUUUAAGCAAAUUUUAAACCAAAUCCUAAAAAAAAUCUUAAAUCCUAAAUCCUAAGUAAAUUUUAAAUCCUAAGAAAAUUCUAAAUAAAAUUCUAAAUCUUAAAUAAAUCCUAAAUCUUAAAUCUUGAGCAAAUCUUAAUACAAAUCUUAAAUCCUAAAUAAAUCCUAAAUCCUAAAUCUUCAGUAAAUUCUAAUUCAAAUCCUACAUCUUAGUCCAAUCCUAAAUCCUAAGUAAAUCCUAAUUCAAAAUCUAAACUCUAAUCUAAAUCUAAAUCCUAAUCAAAUCUUAAUCAAAUCCUAAAUCCUAAUUCAAUCCUAAUUCUAAAUCAAAACCUAACCAAAACCUAAGCAACUCAAUUUAAUCUUAGCAAAAUUUAGAACCUCAAUGUCUAUUGAUUAAACUAUUAAUCUUACUUAUAAAAAAAUUAUUCUUCUUAAAUACUAAAUUAGUAAUAAACAUAAAAAAUUUGAAGAUAAUUACACUUACUAAAUGGAAGAAAAUUUCUAAAAUCCACUUAGAUAUUGGCCAACCUCCUACUCCAAUCUAAAUGUUGAACUUCCAGAGCCAAUAUUUUCUUUUCAAACUAUUUAAUUGUUUUCAAAUUUCAUAUGUAUGUAGCAAAUCAAGUCUAUUAUCUUCAAACAUAAAUUUUAUUCCAAUCCAAAUAUUAAAAUGAUGAAGAUCUUAAAUAUCCUAACUACAAUUCAAAAUUUGUAGAUCUAUUAACAAACUUGUGAAAUUCUCAAAAACAUAAAAUCUUUUUUAUUUCACAAAUAUCAAAAUCAAUCAAAUAAUUGUGACUUUACAAAGCUCUUAUAAAGUCAUUAUACAUUUAAAUUACUAAAAAUAAAUGCUCAAAAAAUUUCUAUUAAAGCUGCUUUCAAAUCCCACUCUUUGAUCUACCAAAGAAUUAUAGAGUUGUUGUAGGUGCCUAGUUUUGUGCCUUGGUGUCUGAUUUCGACCUAAGUUGAUAAUUAGUCCUCUUUGUGUAUCAAAUUUUUUCUUUAUAAAUUAAUUUUUAUAAAAAUCAAUUUCUAACUUUCUCCUACAUAUGGUCAUUUUCUAUAUUUUUCUAAUCUACCUUAAUUUGUCUUAUUUAUGGUCUUAAAAAAUAAAUAAAAGCCCACUUUGUGAAAAAGUAGCAUUUACAUCUUUAUUUUUACUUUCUUUUAGACUGUUGUCUAUUUUCUAAGAUAAUUUUCUACAAUAUUUGAAGUAUGAUCUUCUAUAAUAUAAUAAUUUUUUCAUCCUUUUCACCUAUUAGUCAUAUUACAUCACAACAACAUAAUUAUACUUUGCCUUUUGGAAUGUAUAAUCGUCCCUUGAAAUAGAGUACAUUAUUUUUAAAUUCAAAUUUGAAAGUAUCAUGAGACUUAGAAGAAUUAUUCUUGAUAUCAUGAACAAGAAGAUCAAAAGACAUAGUUGAUUAAAUUUGCUAGACAAACAUUGAAUCAAUAAUUAAUAUUGAUUUUAUUUUUCGGAGAUGAAAAUGCUCCAACUUGAAGAGAAUUGUUCUUUAUUAAUCAAAAGCUGAAUUUCUUUCUUUUGGUACAAGAUAAGAAAUUUUAGAAAAUGCAUUUGAUAAAUCUUAUUAUUUUUCAUAAUUAUAGAUGAUCUUAAAAUCAAAUCUUGAUAAAGACAUACUCCAACAAGUUUGGCAAUAAUUCAAAAUACAUGUUGACAUGAAGUACUUGAGGUUCUUAUGAUUUAUGUAUAUAAUAAUUAAAUUAAAAGUGCCUUAUAGAUAAUGAUGCCAUUUUUUAAAUAAAUCCAUAAUUACAAGAAGCUCUUUGUUGUGAAUCUUCUAAUUAAUCUUAGUUACUAAAACUUUCUUGAAAUGAAAAGCAAUUGAAUGGAGCUUAUCAUUUGCUUCUAUUUGAGAUAAAAUAGCACCCAUACCAAAAUUCCAUGCAUCUAUUUCCAUAAAGAAUGCCUUAAAAAAAUUGAUGCAAUACAAAAUUUGUGCAAAAAUAAAUUUUGUCUUUAAAGCUUUAAAAGAUGUUUUUAUUUUUUUACUCCAUUCAAGUUUGUCUUUACAUGUUAGACAUGUAAGAGGAGCUAAAACUUAAAAAAAAUUCUUAUUGAAGAUUUCAUAAUAAUUAGCAAAUUUCAAAAAAUAUUACACAUCUUUGAUUGUUUUUGGAACCUUCUAAUCUAUGAUAUUUUGGACCUUCUUAGGCUCCAUCAUUAAUAUUUAGAGUUGUUUGUUGUCCUAUUGAAAAUUGCUCAAAAUAUAUAUAUGUGAUUAAUAACACUAUCACCUUUCUUCAUUUUUAAGAUGAAUAAUUUGUCUUUUAAAUACAUCUUAAUUACUACAUCAUGUCAUUCAAAUAUUUUCAUUAAUUCUUGUUAUACUAAAUAUAUUGAUGUGCAAGAUUAUAUGUCAAAAAAUAUUAUUUUUUAGGCAAUUGUUGAUUAUGAUUAAAGACAAGGUAUCUUUAUCUACCCAUGUGCUUAUACUCUCUACUCCUAUGAUAAAUAAAAUUAAGGUUUCAAUAGUAAUUUCAGCUACUAUUAGUUCCAUUGAUAAGUAUUCUUUACCACUUACUAUAGAUCAUAAUUUUUGAGCUUUGAAUGUUAAGGACAUGAAUUGAAAGAAAAUGCAUAAAUUUAAAAAAAUUGUGUCAAAAGAAAAGAGACAAAAUAAAAAUAAAGAAGUAUGUACAUUAAAAAGAAACUUGAAUGGCUAUUGCCAGAAGAUAAGAAAACUAAAGACUCUUAAAAUUAGACUAAAAGUAAGAAAGGAGUUGAUAAGAGUGAAGAAGGCUUCACUCUUGCUUCUAUAUAUAUUAUCUACCUAGGAUCUAUGAGGCGACAUUCUAUUAGACCUCCAAAAAUAUGUUGACUUUGUAUGACACGUAUCUUGACUUACAAAGAAAGUUUUCUAUAUAAGCGCCACAUAGUCAGUUUAUUCUGCAAGCUACCAACAUAUAUAAUAUAUGAAUAGCUUGUUAACCAAGUCUCUAGAAGGUAUUAUGAAAUUAAUCUAUUUUUACUUAAUUUUAAUUAUUCAUAUUAUCUAAGUAACAAUUACAAUAGACAUAUAUCCGUGAUAUUAUUCUCUCUUCUAAAGACGAGUUCUAUGAGGAGCAAUGAUCAUAUGUUAAGAAAGUCGAAGAUGCAACAAAUCAUAUUUGUCACGUACUCUUAUUUUUGUUUCCUUUGAAAGUAGUUGAUAGGUCUUCUCAACCAUUGGUAAUAUCCCAUUUUAGAGCAAGAAGACCACCCUAUGAUUUAAACAUUAUUAAAACCUUUGUAACUUUCUUCAAACAAAAUAUUUAUAAUACCAUCAAGAAUCAUGUCUACAUCCAAUGAAAUUACCAAAUAUUGAAAGUCUUUUCUCACGUCGUAAUAUCAAACACAUUCUAUCUUACCAUCUAUUUGAAGAAGAAUAUGUUAUUCUUGAAGGUCUUCAUCUCUAUUAUGUCAUCUUGAAGGCUAUGAUAAUUACAAUGUCUUGUCCAAUAAGUCAACAAAUGAUGGCUCUUGAGUUGAAUCCACUAACUGUUGGUUGUCGAUUUCUUUAAUACCACAAUUAUAUAAAAAUUAUAAAUAAGGAUAAAAGGUAGAAUACAAUCUUUCUUGAAUUCUUUUUCUUUUAUAGCAAUGGUUUGUUAUCUUUUAUCUUGGUUUUGAUGGAUGUUGUUGAUAAAAAGUAUCCAUCAUCUUUGUUCUAUUUGUAAGAUUUUUUAUUGGCUCCCAUAUAUAUUUACUAAUAUUAAAUCUAAGCUAAUAGACAAGAUAUUCCAAUUUACUUUGGCAUUGCCUUGAGUCUAGAACUUCUUCUACUUUAAACUCUUUAUUAUUAUUCACUUCUAUAAGAAGAGGUGGGACUUGUCUUCUUCUUGAUAUGAUCACAGUUUUAUAUGGUUGAAGAAGAGACACAUAAAAUACAUGAUGGCUUUUAUUAACUUUGUUAGAUGUAAUCAAUAAGCAACUAGAUUGAUUUGUCCACAAAUAAGAAAAAGUUCAAGCUUGCAAUAGUUCAAUUUGUCACAAGGAUGAGUAGUCUUGAUAUUAUGACAAAAUAAUUAUACCUUGUUAUCUACAUUAAAUUAUCAUUUUUCCUUUCAAUACGCAUCCGAGUUGAUAUUUUCUUAUUCUUGAGCUUCUUUUAAUUGCACCUUUAUUGUUGCAUGUAGCUUUGACAAAUAAUUUGUCAAAUCUUCUGCUCUAGGAUUAUCAACUUUUGAAAAGUCAAAAGUAUCAAGUCAUGGAUGAUAACCAUAAUUGGUAAGAAAAAGUAUUUUUUACAUAAAAAAAAUACACUGUAUUAUUAUAAGUAAAUUCUACCAAUGAUAAGAGGGUUGUCAAAUCGUCUUAUUGAUAAUUGAUGGUACAUCUUAAGUAUUGCUCUAAAAUUUGAUUCACGUACUUUUUUUGUUUAUUAGUUUGAGGAUGAAAGGUCAAAGAAUGCUUUAUGUCCAUUUCUAAAAUCUUAAAAAAGAUUUUCUAAAAUCUUAAAAAAGAUUUUCUAAAAUCUUGAUACAAAUUGAGUCCCCGUAUUUGAUAUAAUAUCUUUUAGAAAUCCAUGAUACUAAUAGAUAUUGUCAAAGAAAAAAGCUUGGUAGUUUCUUUACCUGUGAUAGAUUUUAUACAUGGUUCAAAAUAUAUUAUUUUGGUAAAACAAUCUACUAUCACAAAUAUAGAAUCUUAUAAACUUGAGAUUGGAAGAUUCAUAAUAAAAUCCAUAGAAACAAAAGACCAUGGUUGUUUUAGAAUAAGUAAUAGCUAAAGAAGUCCAUAAGAUUGAUGAUAAUGAGUUUUUGACCUUGAACAAAUGUCACAUGAUUGAAAAAAGUCUUUUAUAGCCUUCUAUAUUUAUGGCCACCAAAAAUCUCUAGAUAUUAGCUCCAAAGUCUUCUUGUAUCCAAAAUGUCCUACUGUUGGAAAGUUAUGAAGUGUUUGAAGAACACGUAAACAUGCUUCUCCUUCUAAAAUAUAUAGGUGCCUUUCAAAAUAAAGUAGGUUGUUUUUGAACUUGAUCUUGGAAGUAUUACAAGACUUAAAAGAAAUGUUCUUAAUAUCAUGAAUAAGAGGAUUAGAAGACAUACUUGAUUGAAUUUGCUUGAAAAAAGUUGAAUCAACAAUGAAUAUUGAUUUCACUAUUCAAAGAUGAAAUUAUUUUAGCUUCAAUAAAAAUUUGUCCUUUGUUAAUCAAAAGGUAUAUUUCUUUCUUUUGGUGUAAGAUAAGAACAUCUAGAAAAGGCAUUAGACAAAUCUUAUUGUUUUCCUAACUGAUGAAUAAUGUUGAACUCAAAUCUUAACAAGACAUGCUUCAACAAGCCUAGCAGCAAUUCAAAACAUGUAUUAAUAUGAAAUAUUUGAGGUUCUUAUGAUCUAUAUAUAUAGUGACUAAAUUAAAAGUACCUUCUAGAUAAUGACACCAUUUUUGAAAAGAAUCAACAAUUAUAAGAAGUUCUUUAUUAUGGAUCUCAUAGUUAAUCUCAGCUAUUGAAACAUUUUUGGAAUGAAAAGUUACUAGAUAGAGCUUGUCAUCUUUUCAUAUUUAUGACAAAAUAGCACCCAUAGUAAAAUUUGAUGCAUUUUUUUCUAUAAAAAAAAUACCUUAAAAAAACCAAUGCGAUAUAAGAUUGGUGCAAAAAUAAAUAUCAACUUCAAGGCUUCAAAAGAUGCUUCAGCUUCUUUGCUCCAAUCAAGUUUGUCUUUGCAUGCAAGAUUUGUAAGAAGAAUCACAACUUGAAAAAAAAUCUUAAUGAAGAUUCAAUAGUAAUUAGAAAAGCCUAAAAAGCAUUGCACAUCUCUUAUUGUUCUUAAAAUCUUUCAAUCUAUAAUAGUUUGAACCUUCUUUGGAUCCAUUAUAAAUCUUUUGUAGGAAAUGAUAUAUCCUAAGAAGUCAACUUGAGUAGUAUGGAAUAUACACUUUUUUAACUUGGCGUCCAAUCUCGCAUCUCUAAAUUUUUAUAAGACAUGAAAAAUAUAAACUUCAUACUCUUCUAUAUUUUUAGAAUAGAUUAAAAUAUUUUUUGAGUAACAUACAACAAAAUCGUCUAAAAAAUCACAAAAAAUAUCAUUCAUGAGAUGCUAAAAAGUAGCCAAUUCAUUCAUGAGUCUAAAAGGCAUGACAUUAUAUUCAAAGUGUCCAUAUCUUGUUCAAAAUGUAGUCUUCUUUUCAUCUCUUUCUUUAAUGUAGACCAAAUUAUAUGUUCCUCAUAGAUCUAUUUUUGUAUAGAUCUUAGCUUGAUUUAAUUGAUCAAGAAGUCUAGAUAUCAAGGAUAAAGGGCAUCUAUUUUUGUUAGUAAUCUUGUUGAGUCCACAUUAAUCUAUGCACAUUUAUAAUGAUCCAUCUUUUUCUUUACAAAUAAGAUAGGAGCUCUUGCUCGAGAUUUUGAAUGGCAUAUGAAAUUCUUAGCGAAGUUCUUGUGAAUGAUACUUUGAAAAAAUAUCUGCAUUUUUUUUCUCAAAUACAUCUUGAAAAUCUUCAUAUUGACUUAGAAAGCCACUUGAAGUCUUUCUACUAUUAAAAAUGGAUGUGGCAUAAAUAACAAAAGGCGAUCCUUCUUUUGCAGUAUACAAGAAAGUUUUUGAAUCGACAAGUAUGGGUUUGGCUAUACUAGAUUCAUGACUUUCCAUAAAACUUUUAAUAGUACUUUGAAAGAAAUUAAAUUUACAAGAAAUCCAAUCUAUCAAAAGAUUAUAUCUUUUAGCCAUGAUAAACCUAAAAUUAUUGGAUUAGAGAGAGACCUAAUUAUAUUAAAAAUUAUACAACUAUUAUGACCAUUUAUUGUUACAUCUAUAGAAAGUAUUCUAUGAAUAAUAUCUGUAGAAGAUAACAGAUAGCUAUCUACGACUUCUACAUUUACAUGUUUAAUUUUUUGUAUUAAUGAUAUUUUAUGGCUUUUAACAAACUCUUCAUCUAAAACACAAGUUAAAGCUCCUGAAUCUAUCAAGGUAGAAACUUCGUGAUUAUUAGAUCCUAAAUACACAUCUAUCAUAAAAUAAGCAAAAGGUUUUGAGGAAAGAAUAAGACCUUCAUUUGUACAAGAUUCCAACUGCAUCGUCCCUAUUAUAGCUAAGCAAAUUCAUUUUUUGAUAUGUUUUCUUCUUUGACAAUCGUACUCAUCAUUUUAUAAUUGCAUCAUUUCUUUGGACAAUAUUGAGCAGUAUACUUAAUUUCUCCAUAAUAGAAAUAGAGCCCUUCUUAACAACAAUAAGUCUGUUUUUUGUUUAGUAAGAGAUUUAAAACUUAUUCUAUGAAUUUAUAUGUCUUCUACUUCCAAAUUUUUAGAUUAAAAGGUUAUUGAUGUUGUAAUUGAAUUGUAAUAUAGUGAAGAUUUUCUUGCACAAUUUUUAGAUUGAAACUCAAAAAGCUAAUUAUCACACUUCGUAGCAAAAUCAAUUGCUUGACUUAAUGUCUAAAGAUCAAAUAACUUGAGAAUCAAUUUUUUUACUUCAUAUUGUAAUUCGUAGAAAAAUUGGAUGAUAAAGGCAGCAUCAUUUUACUUGAUAUCAAUUGCUAGUUGUCAAAAUUAUCAAGCAUAUAAUAUCACUAAUUGAUUGCCUUGUUGCAAGAUACAAAUCUUAUUAAUUGUAAUACAAAUUGCAUCAUGUUCACUAUACAUGGAUCGAAACUCUACCAAAAAAGCCUCCAAAAUAUCCAAUAUUGGAUUUUGUCAUUCAAAAAAAGAUGAAAACAAUGAUAAUGUCAAAUUUGAAAGAAGUGUAUCAAUGAAUCUAAUUUGUGAUUUCAAUGUUGGAUAGCUUUGAGAUUGAAGUUCAAUCACAAGUUGUACUUGAUUGAUAAAUUUUUGAAAUUUGAAUCUUGUACUAUCAAACUUCUUAGAUAAUGCAACUUUAGAUUCUCUAAUACUAGAAGAGUGUUCUACUAUAGAAGAGGAGAUGUAAUUUAGUGUAGAUAUUGAAGCAGCUAUAAUCAUUUUUGUAUCUUCUUUUCCAGAUAUUUUUGUUGCUCUAAGUAGCAAUAAACUGAAUAGAUGCAUCGCAAGUAUCAACUCCUUUAAUUUCUCUUGUAUUUGUGCCAUUGCAUUCUUCAUUUCAAGAAGCUCUGCCAUAAUAACACUAUGAAAAAAAAAUAUCAAAUAUUGUUGAAGACAAAUAGAAGAGAAGACUUGAGAACAAAGAAAAUAUCAAAAAUAAUAUUAGUUUAGAAGAGGGUAAUCUGCAACUUCUAAUACUUUUAUGUCUUAUCAAAAAAAAAAGGAGUAAUCUACUCUUAAUCAAAAAAAGACAAAGCUCUAAAACUGUAAAUAUACACUUGUCAAUUUCUCAAAGACAUGAACUAAAAGAAAAUGCAUAAACUUUAAAAUUUUAUUUUAAAAGAAAAGUAAAAAAAUAUAAAUAAAGAAGUAUGUAUAUUAAAAAGAUAUUUGAAUGGCUAUUGCCAAAAGAUAAGAAAACUAGAGACUCUUGAAUCUAAACUAAAAAAAAAAAAAAAAAAAAAAAAAAAAAAAAAAAAAUGACAAGAGUGAAGAAGGCUUCAUUCUUACCUCUAUAUAUACUAUCUACCUAGGAUCUAUGUAGCGACAUUCUAUAGGACCUCCAAAAAUAUGUUGACUUUGUAUAACAUAUAUCUUAACUUGCAAGGUAAGUUUUUUAUAUAGAUGCGACAUAAUUACCUUGUUGUCCAAGCUACCAACACAUGUGGCAUAUAGAUAGCUUGUUGACCAAGUUCUAACCUACUAAUCAACUACAAAUAUAUGUAAAAUCAAAACAGCAUCUAAGAAGCUUUUAAAAAGCUUUUUUAAAAGGUAUUAUGAAAUUAAUCUAUUUUUAUAUAAUUCUACUUAUUCAUAUUAUCUAACUAGCAAUUAUAGUAGAUAUAUAUCCAUGACAUUGAAAAUUAAUAUUAAUUUAUGUUUCCAUAUAUUAAAAUAUAAACCUUCAAAUUUUGAAACAUGAUUGAUGUAUACUUUUUGUGUCAUCUUUAAUAUUCUUAAUUUGAAGUUGAAUUGAAAUUAUUUAUUAAUUUGUUCUUGAAGCAUUCAAUUUUACCUUUAUUUAUGAUUUGUUUAUUAUCAUUUUUAGGUUUAUAUUUUAUGCUUCUCAAGGUUUGAAGAACUUCAAGCUUUUCAUCAACAUUUCCUAUUACAAUAGAUUAUUUUAUUGCUAUCAUUACAAUCUUAUUUGUAAUUUUAGCAAAUUUUUUCUAGAUUGAAGCAUUCAUCUACUCUUAUAGUUUUUAGGGAUCAAAUAUUUCUAUAGUUCUGAUACCAUGUUGGAAACAUUAUAUGUAUUGAUAUAUGAUCAAUGUUACACAGUACAUUAUAUUGUGUGUACAAAAGUGAUACCAAGAGUCACAACUCUUGGUGUAAGAUCAAUAUUUAGUAGAUAGUGUUCUAUACAUGAGACUAGUGUACUAUACAGAAUAAUUCUCCCAAUAAGGUGUACAGGGCAUACUACAGUCAGUGUUUUGAACGUUGACAAAAUAGAUAAGAAAUAUGUGUAGGUCUGGACCUGCAGGCAAUGCACGCUCCCCAUGCUCAUUGCCUCCGUCCCCUCUAAGUCCGCUUCAAUUUCCUGACAUAAUGCAUCAACCCUCCUACUGAGGGGUGAACGCAGUGGUUUUGCCUACAGCUCCCCUGCCAAUGGCCGCGCCUCGGCGCAAUGUAAUUUCAUAGUUACUUUUAACUCCGGUGGGGCUUUUUAAGGUGGUGUGACAGUGCUUGACCAAGCACUCCGCCAUGAAUUCUGACACCGACCAUGGUGAGACAGAUCGAGAGAGAGAGAGAAGUGGAGCGUCGGUGGACUGCUCCGACGUGAAACCGACUAUCACUCACCCACGGAUUGUAAACAGCAGUUGAUAUUGUAUAUACAGACACCCGCCCUCUGGAGAUCGUGCGCUUGGCCGGUCUGGUACUUCUCAUUCAUUCUACUACAGACUGUUGUGUGCAUUUUGGGGGAAAAUGAGGUAAAAAUUGUGGUGUGUUUUUUCUGACAUCUUCUAGCUCGCUCUGGAGUAAUAUAGAUGCUUGGAGCUGGAGGAGAGAAGCACAUGGUUGACGAUUUCAUUCAAAAAGUAAUCCAAAGCCAAAGAGGAUUGAUUGUUACUCCCAUAACAGGAAGCCAGCCAAUGCUGUGAACACCUGCAGCGGGGAGAAAGACCACAGGGAAUAGUCAAGUGAAUUCGCCGGUUCUUACGUCAAUGUAAUCGUCUUCAAGGAUAUGUCUCCGCUGCAUCAGCUCCUUCAAGAUCCAUGUCCCCAACUUCGCCAAAUUCUUUAAACGAAAGGACUGAACACAGAUCCUCCGCCAGCCGCCAUAUUGAGUCUACAGUGAAACGGCAACAAAAUCCAUUUCAGCUGUGUCUGCACUUACACACUUGCACGUUAUACCUCCCAAUUUUUGGAUUGAAGAGUGUAUCAGGAAAAAGCAUGUACAGAAAUAUACAGUGAAGUGGGUUGGGAGAUUGAAAAAUAAGGGACUGCCUGUGCAGCUUGAGUGAAUCUCAUUAUUGACAGACACCCCGUAAAGAAUUAAUCUUUUCCACAACCAUUCCUGAGAAUGCAGUGAUAUUACAAUAAUAAAGGGCUGGUGAGACUAGUUGCGCGUUGUGCAGCGCAGAUACUCACUUGCCCCAUGUCCUACAUUUUACACGUCCACUGUGCGUCUACGCGCCAGCUAGGAGUUCGAAGAAUGAACCGUUUGUAUACAUCUACACGAAUCAAAUUGUCACUAAUCUGUGCUUUCCUUCUGGAAUAUGCAAGUUUAAUUUUGUGCUGAUGGUAUCUUUUCCCACCCUACGGUAUAUAAACAGUCCCUGAGAUGUACAGCGGAUAUGUACAAAAGCAGCACUGCGCAGUCGAUAAAAUUACCCCCCCCCCCCAGACUUCGGUUAAUCACUGCUUACUGGUAAAGAUGAAUUUGCAAUUUUCAAUUAGCUCAUUGCCACCGGGACGGCGCACGUCAUUGCAACUUAAGGCAAGGUUCAGUGUCGAGGCGAUUGGGAAUCAGUUGAAAUCGCCGGCGUAGCUAAAGUUGAAGUCCAUACUAGGCGGUGUCGGAAUUGCGGGAUAAACCGAAUGCUCGGUUACUGCAGGCCCUCCAUACGAUGGAUUUGACCGAUCCUCGUAACUCACUGCAGAAAACAUGGUUUCCAGUCCCUGAUCAUUGCUAGAUCUAGCGUUUGUGUAUCCCAUGGCAGACGACCGGAGCGUGCUUUGCACUUCCUCAUCGAAUGUGGAGUGACCCGCCGGCAAUAUCUUCUCCUGACCACUACUCGGGCAGAGGUGGUAAGAUCUCGGCGGAUGCCGGAACUGGGCCAUGAAGCUGUUGGCCAUGGGUCGGGUGCUGAGAGCCGGACGAUGUACAGAGGAUGUCGAUGCCAGAUGUCCCAUGAGCCUUGAACUCUCAAGGGUAUCAUGGUUAAUGGUCAUAGAUUGCUGCAAUUUCCAGUCAUUGGCCAAAGUCAGCAAACUUCCUGGGUUAUUCGACAUCGUCCCUUUCUGAAUGCUGUCAAAGUUGGCUGACAAACACCCAUUCUCUGAGGCCUUCUCCGUCAGCCUGUUGUCCCCAAGAGCCUCCUGCUGAACCGCUAAUUCUAGGUUUCCGUUCAGCGAAUUGAGGCGAGGUAGGACGAACCUGAGGUCGUCAACUGAGUCGGGAAGCGACGCUAACACCUCUUCGACGCUGGAAUUCUCGUACUCCUUGCUAGCUCGUUGCGCGUGAGAGGUUUUUUCAUAAAUUCGGCAUAGGACCCAAUCAUCAAGCUGCAUUACCAAAAUUUAGUCAAAAGGUGAGGAGGAAAAUUCUCGAGACUACGUUGGACAUGUUCUCAGAAACCCUAGAAGUUCAACUUCGAAAACCUGGUCCUAAAUUCUCAUAAACAGCCUUUAAUAAGACCUAACGGUAGUGCAUGUGAGGUGGGGGAAUGGAGGACAUACUCGCGAAGAGUUCCUUCGAGGAUGAUGAGUGGAGGUCGAGACACCUUCAGCGAGGCGAUACUCGUGCAUGAUCCAGUUCGUUUUCUCGCCCUUUGGUGCUUUACCGCGGUAAAAAACCAGCGCCUUCUUCACUCCCACCUUACUGUGUCCUUUGGACAUGUGGAUGGGCUUAUCUGUCCCUGUGGCUUUCCAGUAGCCACUCGCGGCAGCUCUGUUGGGCCUGGCGCCAUUGGGGUACUUCCUGUCCCUUGGAGAAAAGAAAUACCAUUCUCUCUCUCCGAACAACGCCUUAUCUGUACUCGUUGCACAAUUAAGCAUCACUUGUUAGGCCACAGACUACAAUUUGGGGAUCCUUUGCAAGUAUGUUACGACAUGAUUGCACUGUUGUCAUAUGUACAGACAAACCCAGCUGCACGCAUUAAUUCCAAUUCGCAGGACCAAAAAACAGCUUUGAGAAUAAGGACGCAUCUAAUUCUAUUGGGAAGGAACACCGAUAAACCCAGGAAUGGCUUGGUCCCCCCCCCCCCCCAGAGCUUACGCACAUGUAAAAGUUUUAUAAUCAAGUAUUCGAUUCCAGGUUUGAAACAUCGCUCACCCAGGUAGUACUGGAUGUGAAGUUGGAUGGAGAAUCUUACUGGGGAGAUCCCAAGGGUCGAACUUGUACAGGUCUACUUCAGCUAUGACGGGUAUUUGGAAGACUCCAGAGUUUGCCUUCCGGCGGAGGUAGUGCAGCACGAGCUCCUCGUCGGUUGGGUGGAAGCGGAAGCCUGGAGGUAAGCGCAGUUGGUCAAUGGAUCCUCGGGUCGGCUUCAUGAUCACCAUCGUACUCGUGGAAUCGCAAUUCUCAGCAAACUUUUCGGUGUAUUCUAAGAAUCCGAAGAAACUUACACGCUGAGAAGUAUUCCAAUUUUGUACUGCAGGUCAAGUGCUGCCUGGCCAAAGUUAUUUUUCUUCGUUUCCCUCUUAAUUUGUUUUAUUAGAAAUGUUACUCUAGACUGGAUGCAGGAUACUUGGCUUCAACACUGCCCGGACAAAGUCUUGCAAGGCUGUCACUGGAGGAAGACGAGGUACCUAGACUGGAUGAUUCUGGCAAAACCUUGUCUGGUUAGCCGACGGGCGCUUACAGUAGUAGGAGAAGUAGUAGUUGUAGUGGUAAGGUGACUAAGACGGAUCUUUGAGACAGCGGGAAAGGAUAAUCUAAUGAACUUGGAUUCGAACACUUUCGGCAUUAGUGCAGCAAGUCCCGUGGUGGAAGGCUUCCUGAAUCGAUACUACGCUACCAUGCUCACAAAUCCGCAGACCUUGCUACGAUUCUUCUUUACCAGAAACUAGAUUCACUUUUAAGGAGGCUUCUCAAGACCUCGUUUCCACUUACCUACUUGUCCAGCAGCGCUUUCAAGUGAGGACUGGACUCAAAUGUUUCUAAAUUGGAACACUCUUGGGCUCAAUUCUCAUGAAACCACCUUGGUCCAAAUUGUUUUGCGGAAUGAUUCAUUUGCAAAUCUGUAUCCUCCAGCAAAGUUACUAUGAGAGGGCCUUUCUAUCAUUAAUUUUAGUUCCUAUGCGAACGAGAAGUAUGAUGACAAAUUCAAGGCUACUCUGGUGUGUUUGCCUUAUCGUCUACCAAGCUGUCGUCAAACGAUAAUCUGGCGCCACAAGUGCUGUAAACUUAUGAUUAACAACUGCUAAGUUUUGCCUCUCAUUUCAUGCUUCACUAGAACAUGCUCUACCUCGAAUUGAACCUAAAGGUCGCAGAGGCUAAUCAAACCCUCGCUUACUACUCUCUGUGACUAUCUAGAAUAUUAAGGGCGUCUGAGUUCAUGACACUUUAUAUGAACAUACUUCAAUAUUAAGCUAGAUAAGCUACCUACAUGUCGUUGUUCUCCUAACAGUGAUAGAAAGCAAAUUUUCGGACUGCGGCGCUCGACUCGGGAUCUUCAAUUCCCUGGGAACUUUUAGCACCACUUAUCCCUCGACCCUGAGCAUCACUUCAGUAAUACAGCUGCUGUCUCCAGCGACGCUGAGCUACACGCUCCACAAACUUAAACUAAACAGAAUUUCACACAGUAUGAAAGGUAUCAGCACCAACCCACACGCAAGCAGGUCGCCACGCUAGCCACGGAAGUUCUCUCCGACCCCCUCCGCUCGUAGACAUACCGGCUUAUGAAACACCUGAUCACUGAAACGAGUACUGCACCACGGAAUCAGAAUGUAUAAGUAGUUGAUGAGACUGUACAUAUAAACCAGAAACGUUGGCGGCGUUGAUAAGGCGGAGUUAGGCUGCGUUGAUCUGAGCUGCGACGAUGGUGUUCAGACAAUAGAAUUGGGGGCGAAAAACUAUGGGAGAGGCGGAGAGAAGUGGUUAGGUAGUGCAGAGCCAUUGCCUAGAGACGGCGAUGAAGAUCACGUUGGGAAAGUCUUCUGGGCCCCACGCUCCAUCGUCUAUGUGCAUGCAACUCAGACACAGUAUUCCUCUCAUGAACUUCUCGCCCUUUCUCCCAGGCCCCACCUCCCGCUUUCACUGUCACCAGGUUUCUUCACUGAGCCUCCGACAAGCGACUGCAUCCUCACCCUACAUUCCAAUCCCUGCCAACAAUAGCAAUGCUGCGUUCUCCAUCGUCUGUCUGCCGAUCAGAUCGUCCGGACACUAUCGCAGCUCUGAUUCUAUCAGAACUCCCAUUCCUUUUGAGAAAACAGGCUCAUGUCCGUGAAUUCCGCAACAUGCGAUACAAUCGCGGCCACGGCGGUCGUGCUUUCACUGACAUCACCCGAUCGCAUUCCUGAAUACCGAUAUGUAAGUCUUGAGAAUCAACGCCUUAAUUGAGAAAAAGCUACUGAUCGAGCCAUGGAUUCCGUCGGGUAGGCUCCACGAGAGGAGUGGAGAGAGAGACAGACAGACGCACGGUUUCAAAACCUGGUUCCAAGCAUGGUUUAAAGAAGGAGGCGGAUAAAGGACUCUUGUGGAAUAUUCCAUCCACGUAGAUGAAAUGAAGAUGUGUGGAUGGAAUGAAGGAUGAAUGAACUUUUUGCCUUGCAGAUAUGCCUCUCCAGGCUUGUCCUUCCGAAGGGUAGAAAGCUAACGAAUAGUAGGCGAGAUGGAGCGGGGCCGGCUCGAUUCGGAUCGGGCCGGACCGGGCCCCAGUUUAGGUACCCGGCCCGGGGCUGAGUAGGCCACCCACUACUGCUUUAAGAGUUGUUGGCCAUGUGGGGGGACUGGUGCCCGUUGGCAGAAACCGAGGGCACUGAAAAAGAGUCCCGACAUAUGGGCGUGCGCCACGCGUCCUUCAGCACCAGCUGGACCCUGUGGAACUAUUCCGCGGAAAGCUUCUUCGCGGGAGCUGAGGUGGACGUGAAGGGAAAUUCUUGCCUUGGUGGCGUUGGAGUGUGGGUCGGUCUUCCAAAAGACAUGAAGAAGCCGGUGGAGGAGAAUGACGUGGGACCCAUGACCGUGGCCCUAAUUUCACCCCCAACUUUUGAUGGGUAUACCAUAUUUGAUAAAAAUAAAUUAUUAAUCUAUUUGAAAAGUGAUGUUUAAAUAAUGAAGGAAAGGUAAAACCCCUUGAACCUUCUUAAUAAAAAUGUGCGAAAUUGGUUAUUUGCCAUUAGAACAGUAAAUUGAAACAAGUUAGAAGAUAUAUGUUUAUGAUUCUAUCAAAACAUUGUUCCAAUUUGUUCGAAGGAAAAUAGGCCAUAAUUUUAUUUUAAAAAAACUAUCCAUUAAAUUUUAUGAAUGGAACGGAAAAUUUUAAGUUGGAAAGUUUGUUGGUGGAGAAUUUGACCUGCAAGGCAGUGUUCUUGAAGUCAUCCAAAAGUUCAGUUUCCAAGGGGAAUCGAAUAUUUAUAUUUCAUUGUUAGUUUAAGAAGCAUCAUUCACAACUUUCCUAAUAAAGAAUAAGUCAAGGUCCGAAGAACAAAAUCCUUGGGCGUAAUAAUAUGAAAGCAAAGCGGUAAGACCAGGGCAGGCACAUUAACUACUUGAGCUCCUACAAUAGUUUUGAAACCCCAUACCUUCGUCGGGGGAAGUUUCAUCAUUUGACUCACAUUUAGGGUAUUAUUAUCUUGCUUCCAUGAAAGUCCUAAAUUGUGCAACAUUCACGACCUACUUAAACCUAGAUCAGGUGUAAAUAAAUGAAACAGGGACUGCAAGAUGCAGGUCUGAUGUGGUAAGGAUAAUACAUUUAACAAACUGUUUGAAAGUAAAAUGAAUUAAAAAAGAAAAAAAAAAGAAAAAAAAAAGUCAAAGCUGUUACAUCUGUACAGUCCUCCCAUGUGCUGCAGAAGAAAAACAAUAAAAAAAAAAUUAAUAAUAAAUAAAGCAACUGUAGCGCGGGGGACUAAACCAGGGAGCCUCUUAUGACCUCAACUGAUAACCCAUACAAUAGCUUUUACUAAUAAAAGAAAUGUACAAGAGAUCCUCAUUUUAUGCUGAUAAAAUUUUAGUGAUAUUCCUUCUCUACACUACCUCCACUGAGGAAAUUCCUUAUAAUCAGAUAUUGGUUUUUAGUAAAUAAACUGGGUGAGAAACAAUUGGUAGAACGAAAAUCUCCUUUUCAAUGCUAAAGCGACAACAAGACACAUAAAAGCUCUCGGUCAUUGGCCUCAAACCUCAAGUAAAAUAGACAUCCUCACAUUCCCAUAUCUCCAGACUCGAUAACUUGCAUCUGACAACCGAAGCGUAGAAUAGAGGUGAUUCUUAUGGAUCCUGUUGAUGCAGAAAACGGGGCUAAGACCAAGUAAAUUCGGCACCGACUUUAGAGAGUCGGUAAAGUCGACCUGGAGGAUGGUAGUAGUCUGCAGUACCCUUUUGUUUCAGUUGGUAACACCCGCUUAGAUCAACAUUCUGUGCUAUGCGGAUAACGAGAACAUUGUAAGUUCUGAGGGCAUCAAACAGUUUCACUGGUAAUGGAAACAACCCUUUUAUGAGUAACUCCACAUGUGCUUCUCUUAGUGUGUCAUGCGAACAUUUCCCAGAGGUUAUCAUAAUAAUAAUCAUUUCCGUAAGUUUAGCAACUGCUUCAGACGUUAAGUAAUUACGCAAGGCGAUUAUUUUCGGCCUCAGCAAAAUCCUUUGAUCAAAUUAAGAAAAUACCGUGUGCCAGAUUCAAUCAAAUCAUGGCAAUACAUAUGCCGCUGUGAGAGAGACACAAAUCUACAGAGGGGCAACCAAAGACUCCGCUCUCCAACUAUUUCUUCUUAAAAAAUGACAACAAACUACCUUGCCCUGGUCCUUGCCCUUGCCCUUUCGACGCAGCUUUGCCUCCAGUUUUAGCAGGAGCUUUGGCAGUGGUCUUCUGUGGUGGUUUAGAUGGUGCGGUAGCCCUACAGAAACCUCAAGGAAUGUGCACAGUAAGAUUUCAAAAACUAGAUGAUCUUACAGCAGCUAGAUUUUUGUGGAGGAUUCAGAACCAUGUUGCAAAUUACCGGCAGUUAGGAGUUUCAGGUUAGAAGAUUGAAAACCAUCCAAUACCUUUCAGCAGCCACCUUCGAUGCUACAAGCGGUGCUGGAACCUUGUCCGGCACAGGUGCAGGCUUUGCUUCAGGCACAUCCUCCACUCCAUCUGUCUCCCACACUACUUCUGUCACUGAGCAAUUAUAGCAAGACAUUGAUCAGAUUUUCAGUAUGCUAGUUCACCUGCCAGUUUUAGGCAAAAGGCACUGACAAAAACGAUUGCAUAGAGCUGUGCAAGUAGUGAAGAUAAAAUCUGAUACGUGACGCAACUACUACCGAGAUGUCGAGAAUAAAGUUGCAAGUUAAAAAUUUAAGUGGGAUGAUUUUUCCUGUCAUUUACCUUCUCUGCCACGGUUGUCAAUUCUUGUCUUGAGCACUUUCUUUCGCUUUGGACCAGGGUGAGGCUUUGCAAGGAUUUCUGUUUCAAUUUCCGCCUCCCUCUUUACUCCGCCUGAAGACCCAACUGGCUGAUGGGCUUUUUCUGGAGUACUAGCUACAACCACUGGUUGUGAACUACUAUUAUCCCCUUUCUCUUCGUCGAUUUCCAUCCCCGUUGGCCCUACAAAGUCUGCCUCUGCUCGUGUGUCUACAUUUUGACGCUCCACCGUUUCUACCGGGACUGAUUUCUUAAACGGUUCCGGAGAUGCCAGGUUGAUGGCAGCCUGGGAGUUGAUUAUCUCGUCAUCUUCAGACAACUCUUCAUCGAAAACAACCUGCCGUUUCCGCCCCUUGCCGUUCUUUGCUUGGCAGCGCCGAAUCCGAGCGAAGUCAUUCCCCUCCCCAUCACUGCUCGACUCAUUACCAUCAGCUUCCAUUGCUCUAAUUCCAGCCUCUGCAUCACCUGUGAACAAGUGACAGGUGAGAAUCAAGCAGAUCUGAGUUUUCAUUCCCAAAACACACCAUUGGAAUCUGUUGACAUAGAGUAUCUCGAACCGCUAAAUCGACCGGUCCCUGCUUCAGAAUUAUAAGCACAUGAACAGGGAAAGUCACUGUUACAAUUAGAAACAACGACUACGAAUUACGAAAUCUAUAUAUUAUUAGGUUAGAGCAAUUGAAGCAUACCAGCAACGAGGGCAGGUUUAGCUUUUGACUCUUGUGGAGUAUCGGCCUUAACUUUUGCAGGUGCUCUUCCCCACAGAUUAGCCAAAGAACCACCUCCUACUGUCAUGCCCACUUUUUUCUUACCAGUAGCGACAUUUUCUGCCACUGCUUUACCAGGAACCCCAGUCGUUGCUGAGCUUUUUCCAGAACCCUCUUCGUUAACAACUGCUGCUCCUUUCAGUGUGUUCUUCACAUCUGUUUCCUUCUGAGCUGUAGGAGUCAGAGAUGUCGAUUGAGGUACUUGUGGUUCUGAAUUGGAAGGCUUUAAGCCUGCCAAAUGCUUCGAGGAUGCAGACACACCCACAGACGAGGAUGGUUCUGCUUUCUGUUGCUCAACCACUGGUUUACUUCCUCCAGCAUUUCUUAUGACAAGUGAGUACGAAACUGAACUAAACCUGCACAAGAAAGGAAUAAUCGUUAAUCGUUUAAACCGAGAUCAUAUCUUAUGACACAACCGAUGACAAAGUACACACCAAUAUCGUGGUCGAGGUACGAUUCUUAGGCUCACAUAUUCGUAGGGAUGGAAAGUGCAUAACAAUGCGAGUCACUGACCGAUUAUCUCGAAGACAAUUGUCAAUAUCACGCGGUUGCAUGAACAAUUCCUGAGCUUGCACAAACUCAGCACUGAACAGCUGAGCAGGAUCCUUAGUUAGGCAAGGUUGCACACUGUAUACAUGGUGGGAUGCAGACCCGUCAAGUCCCAGUAAUGCAUCUGCACAAAUAGCAGACGAACACAAAUUCUUAGGGCGGGUACACAGAUUUAAUGAGAUCUCUGCACUUGAAAUUAUCCCCCACCGUCCUCCAACAUAACGAUAGCAUCGGAAGAUACGAAGCGAUACACUCUAGUAAAUACAUAACAGACAUGGUAGUUAACAAAUGCAUAGAUCAUAAAGACACCUAAGCGGCAAGCUCUGAUUGAAAAGAAUAUGUCGAGGCCGGUGUAAAAUGACAGGAGUACCUUGCAACUUGGCUUUUGGCACAAGUUGUACAGUGUAAGUCGAUGGUUCACUUUUUGACCAUCCAGAAACGGCGUAUACAACUUCAACCUUAUUCCCCUCGUUCUGUUUGGCAAAUUCUUGUAAGAUCCUGGUUCAAAUACAAAGUGAAGCAACUAAAUGAGUUGCUCCAAACAAAUAAUCUUUUAGGAAUAAAACUAGGAACGGAUGCAUGAGUAGACCGGUAACCCUACACCGGCAAGAGUCCUACAAUUUUCAACUAACUGUUAAUUUAAACAUUCAAUGCACAUCGAUAAUCAUCGGCAGCUCACGAGUUACCUCUUUGCGACAUUUGAAGAAACAGAAAAAUUCCGACUCAGCCACUUAUAAGACACCUGCAAGCAUCCCUCAAGGACCUCACAUAGUCAAGGACAGCAUGCGAUACUACCAAUCAAAUCUUGCAUAAAAAACGCAGGUGAAAUUCUUAGCGCACAAUUAAAUUAACAAGUUUGAGUAAUACACAGACAGCUUCCAAACAUUAGAUUGUCAUCCAUCCAGACAGUAAAAGUCCACAAAGCACCCAACCAUUAAGCAUCAUAUCAUCGAGAGUUGGUCGUUAGAGUAGUGAUAUGUGGAGAAUGAAAGGAGAGAAGAGUUUCAUAGAGGUCAAGUUGAAAAAAGAAGAUAAGCUACCAAUAGGAUGAAUGAGAGAAGAGAGAAGCUCUCAAACUGGACAGAACGUCCUAACGCAUGUCUCAUUGAAGAAUGCCAGACACCAAUUCAAGACACCUUGAGGAGGGAGAACCGUACCACUUGAGAGGCAUCAAUGACAAGAGACUGGACUUGGUCAAGAAUUCCUGAGUCCGGUACAGAACCCUCCAUGGCCCCAGAAAAGUAAUUGCAAUGUACUAAUUUCACUGAACUAACUCUAACACUACCAAGUCUUCAUAUUACUGCACUACAUAACUUCUAAUCGACCUCAGUAUCCUUUGUUUCCUCGAAUACGUUUGGUCAUGUCCACCUGCGGCAGAGAAAACAACCUCAGAGUUGUUAAGGGACAAGUCAUUCAUUUGAUAACCAGAAGAAACUCAGAAAACCUCAUAUGCAGAAAUAUGACUUGUCACACUAAGUUCAUAUUAGAACAAUAGAUACUUCAACGCACCAAUUUCUAGAGAUCCGCUAAACCAACAAACCAGACCGGCAGAAAACCAUUCAAUAGAGCUAUCCUUCGCUUGCCAGAUCAAGGUUUCCAAGUUUUGCCACAACGGCAAUGGAUUGCAGAGAGACAGCAUGUGAGAAGCACCUGGCCACGUUUGCACUGAAAAUAAGUCUCUCGCAGACCCACACAAACGGAAGGAACUGAAGGCGGUCUCUCUUUAGCACAUUCCUUGAAACUCCGCUUCUCUUCCUGCACCAGGGAAAAAAGCACGAGCCAUGAACCAUAUUUACUUAAUCAUACUCAUAUGAAAGCAGCAGAUGAAACUACUAAGAAAAAAAGGCAAAAAAUCCUCAAGUAAAUGAAAAUUCUAUCGAAUAUACCACGAACAGAUUUCAAACUCCUGGUAAUAAUCACUGAGAGAAUGUAUACAAGCACUUCAAGUAUAGUGCCAUUCUGAGAGCCACACCAUAGCACAAAAAGGAGCCAUUUGGAAAAAUAAAAAUUAGAAGCAAAAAACUCAAACCACCAAUCAAUCAAAUCAUCACAGUUUGAUUCACAAAGGCAAUUUAGACCUGAAAAGAACUCGUUUCAACUUGAAGGAUAGCUUGCGAAAAUGAAGGAUCGAUCCCAUGGCAAGUGGUCACUCAAUGGAGUAGAGCAAGAAUAUUAUAUCCAUCUUCUUUCACAAAUGGAACACCGCAACAAUUUCACGAAUUCAAAGGAAGUAAACAACUGGGGAUAAGAAGAGCUGACAGCCUUUCGACCUCUACCACGAUAUAUUCGCUCCUAAGCCAAGUGUAAUCGACAUUUCUCAAGUGCAAUGCAAAACCAAGCUUCCAAGAGCGGUAAAAAAAUUUAGGGUUCUUGAACUUGAUCAAAAUCCUGAUCGCACGCGCACAUUGCUCGACCAAGUCUACCCCUCUAAGGUGUCUCGCCUCAACAGAGAGCGCAGACGCGCAAGAACCACAAUUCCACCUGCUCCAACUAAAUUCCAGCAGAAGCUGACCACUAACGUCACUCUACACGAUAAUCCACCCACUCACAUCCAAACAGCAGUGGCGCAGUCGCAUCUGCCGGACAACCCCCAACCAGCCCUACUCGCACCAUCUAUCCUUUACAUUCAAACACCUACUCCCUCACCUCAACGCAAACACCUAAAACCCUUGCAAUCACACCACGUCCGAGAAGAAACUAAACACCAAAACCUAAGCCACCUCUUCACGGAAUCGUUUCAACGGAAGCUCAUGAAAAACGCGCGGCACUCACAGACAAUUGAACAGCUCAAGUGACCUCGGAAACAAAUUGCGAUUAAAUCCUGAAAUUAGCACCGAUUUGGGAAAGAAAAAGGGGGACAGAGAGGUGAGGAGUGGGCGAUGAGGAGGGGUGGAGUGGAGUGGAGUGGGCACCUUGAUGCAGGGUGAGUCGGCGAGGCACUUGGCAAGCUCCAUUGCCAAACCCUUGCAGGAUUUUGCCAUGGCUAUGGACACGGCGUCGGGCAGGCAAGCACACGGGGACGCUAUUGAACGGCCGCUGGCGGGAAAUGGAGCUCCCCUUCGUCUUCAGGGCCAAGCCUCUCGGUUAUAGGGGCCUUCAACCGUCUUUUGAUCCUUUUCCGUGGUCGGGCCUUGUCACCGUGUCGCCUGCUUGUUGGCGCACUGGCCAUUCUCUUAAAAAAAUGAUGCUCGUAGUACUCUCUCUUUGUAUUUUUUAUUUUUUUAUUUUUAAUGGUUUCUUAAUUUAUGUCUUGGGUUUCUCUUAUUGAUCAUUCAAAUAUUGGAAAUCGGAGGGUUUAACUGUGUUCUUUGAUUAAAUUCUUGUUUGUUUAUUUUUCAUCUGACAUUCCAUCUAUUUGUGUAGAUAUACACAUGGGAUAUACCUUUUUGGUAUAUUAAUUAUGGAUGAGUGUAUUAUAUUAUUUGUAUUUAAGAAUUAAAAUAUUGAUAUUACACGAACUAUAGUAAUAAUUUUAUCCAUAUCAUUGUUACGGUUUGAUAUAUUUUAUGACUUUGAUUGAGAUUCAAAAUGUGUUACUAAUUAUCAUGUGUGUGUAUCCACAAACAAGGUGUUAAAAAUAAUUAUAAAAAAAUAUAAAAAAUUAAUAUAUAUAACCACUAAAAAAAUCAUUUUUAAAAAUAUAAUUUUAUUUUUAGAAUAUAUAAAAAAAUUUAUUAUCUUUCAAGAAAUUAAGUUAGUUUUUGGUUAAAAGCCACAAAAAAUUUCUGUAAAAAGAAUGCUUAAUUAAAAUAAAAAUAUUAAUAAUACAUUGAAUACAGUUUUUAGAUAGUUAUUUCUAAGAUACAAAAAUACUUGUAAACUAGGAGAGAAUGAGAUUUAAAGGAAGACUUGACAAGAUUAAAGAUGUAAUGUUAAACAAUUUACACACAUUUACACUACUUGUCAUCGAAAGAUACACAUGCAAAAUAUCCCAAUUCACUGUAAAAAACAUAUACUUUAUUAAGUUUUAAACCAAAAGUUUGUAGUAACAUUAUUAUGUCCAAAUUCUUUCUUAUUGAUGCCACCAUCAUGGUUACCCAACUUCCAUUUUUUCAGUACACAAUUCAUAUUUUGAAUAAGGUUUUUUAAGAAAAUAAAUUAUUUCAGAUUUUUUUAAAUGUUAUUUUUAUGAUAGUUUUCGAUUUUUUUUCAUAGAAUGACAUUUGUAUUAAUUAUUCUAAAUUUAUUUUCACACUAUUAAUUUCUAAACUAGUUUUUAUAACUUUCUUUUCACAAGACAUAAAUAGAAGUUAGUUAUAAAUAUUAUUCAUUGCAUAUUAGACUUCAUCAAAACAUAAAGCAAUUUUAGAAUCUUGUGUAUGUUAAAAUGAUAUAUUACAAAAAAGAGAAAUUGAUCUAGUUUAAAAAUGGGUUCUGUUAUUUUAAUACUUGAUGUUGUUCAUUUUUACAAAAUAUGAAUUGUUUUGUAUCAAACAAAAUAUUAAUUGACUUAAGUAUCAAUUGGGGUCACAAAUGCUUACAAAAUAUUUAGAGGUUAUAUAUAUAUUUUUGAUAUUGUAUCAAUAUGUCUUAUGUAUACCUGUUUGCUAUAAAAUAUUUUAAAUCACGGUUGUGACGUUCAAAUAACAAAACUUAUAGAUGUAAAUUUUUACUCCAAGAUUGUUGCAACUAUUUUAUAAUUACAUUUUUCAUUUUGCUACAGAAAACAGUCUUAAUAUGCCAUAUGUAUAGUAAUCUAAAAUUCUAAUUUCGUUUAUGAACUUCAAAUUGUCUUCACAUAUUUCAGUUUUCCUCCAAACAAUUUGUGUUCUCUCAAGUCGACAAAAAUCUCAAGGAGCAAAUACUAACAAACUAACGAUUCAUGUGAGGUGUACUCAGAUUUAUCUAGAUUUACACAUUUGUUUCAACACCUUCCUACGCCACAAAGCCUUCUUUUUACUCUUACACAGACAGGUGUGAUUAAUAUUAUAUCAAAGCAAGAAACAGAGUGAGAUCUGACAGGCACAAAUACACAUCGUCAUUCUUUGAGUAGUUAGAAAUUAACUUUCUUUCUACUUGUAAGAAUAUAACAUGUUAAUUACCAAAAACUUGCGAAGACUUGAGAGACGUAGUAAUGUGCCUAGCCAACUGAAACUCACUAAAGUAGCACCUAGACUAUAUUUGCUUGCUGAUACAACAGUCUUAGACGUAUACGUUGGAAAGUGAAGGAAUAAUCUACUUUCUGACUAAAACUGUCGACAACCCGUGGUUUGCAGAGGAGGUGAACCUCCAAACAGAUAAGGGCUUCUUCCAAUACAGAUAAUUGGGCCCUACCUCGAUCGACGCAACGCUGCACUGCAGGUAUUGGGACACGACGAGUCUGCCACAAUCUAACAAUUUAAGGAUGGGGAUCUUGUACCGACGGUAAUAUGCUUUCUCCACCUGCAGAUUACAGACGGAAUGCUGGAGCACGUACAUAGCUUCUCUUCUGCUCAGCAAAAAGUUGGCAUAUAUUUCCACGUACAACAUACCCACUGGCAUGUCAUAACGAACAGGCUUUCGACAACAAAUCCAAAAGCCUGAACAGGAGCGUAGCUUAGCCAGCAUUGCAUCUUGGGUUAAUCCAUGUCGCGGAGACUCAUGAAGCCGCGAUUGACCGACUUCUAUUGGUCCGUACCCUAAAGCGUGCGCAGGCAGGUAAGAAACCUCGUCAUCAUUGAAGAAGAAGUAGAAUAUUACACGACAAUCCCAUCCUAGUUUCUGAGCACAGAGAGUGGUGACGGUAGUCCGGAUAGCGAUUAGAUGCGAGUUAGUCAUACACCCCUGAAGAGAUCAGACCUUUCACAUGACAUUAUGUUCAUCCCACGAAAUGGAAUGACAGCGAAGUCAGUGGGCUGAUAAGGUGACACCUUCGGUCAGGCAUAGAAAGCAGAGUCAGUAUGUCAAUUACAUCCACCGUCGGUCAAGUUAAGAGCGCAUCUAAACCACCAACCGGACAUAGUUAGUAACACAUCGGGCCCUUACGAGACAGCACUGGAGGCUGGCCUAACACAAAUCCAAACACCAUCACAUGAAAAUUGGUUUGCAGAUUAAUGGAAGAGAAGUAAAAUCCUUAAUAGUGGUGGUGUUAAAAGAACACCAUAGAUAAGAGGCCGACGAAACUGUGCAGACUGUUGGUCAGCCUCCGAAACCAUACAAGGUACGCCCCUGUCUCUUCAAGGCAUACACCACGUCCAUCGCCGUCACGGUCUUCCGUCGAGCGUGCUCCGUGUAGGUAACAGCAUCCCUAAUAACAUUCUCCAAGAAAAUUUUCAACACUCCACGAGUCUCCUCAUAAAUUAAUCCACUGAUACGCUUCACUCCACCACGGCGAGCGAGGCGUCGGAUAGCAGGCUUGGUGAUCCCUUGGAUAUUGUCACGCAGAACCUUCCUGUGACGCUUGGCGCCACCUUUGCCAAGUCCCUUGCCUCCUUUCCCGCGCCCAGACAUGGUGAGGACGGUCGGAAAACAAAUCCCUACAGAACAGAGACUCAAAGGUAGCACAAGGUGGUAACGAACAAGACAGACAGGAGAGCAAUGCUCGGGGGGGUGAGGGGCAAACUCUUUAUAAAGUCCUCUUCCUGCUGUUACAGAAGGCAACGGAUGUGCUGCCGAGACUAGAGUUGGAUUCCAAGUCUCGGAAGGCGGGAAGACGUCCACAUUCUAAUUCUGGAAGACGAAUUGGGCGGGAAAUGCAGGGCAGGAACCUCGUUGUCAGGGGACAUGGCUCGUUUGACGGGCCUCAAUCUCACCCGGGCCAGUGAAAUCUGCCAACAGUUCCGGAUAUCAACUUUCCAAUCUAGUUUGCAGGGCAUUAUUUUAUUUCAUUUUUAAAUACAGCGUCUUGGAUAAGCAUGUCGCUUAGGGACGAUGUGGCCAUGUCCAAAUUUGGCCUGCCACAUCGUACCUAAGCGACAUGGCCACUACGAUCACUACAAUAACAAAUAUUAUUGUAGUUGCCAUGCCCUGAUUGAUUAAUAUGCCGACGCCAUUGAUGCUUAGUUCUACGUCGAUCUUCAGAUAUGAAAUUCCGUGAGAUGUUCUGAUGGUGUGUUGCUAGUUUUCUGGUUAGUUUUAUAAUGCUUGUUGUUGUGUGGGAGUCUCUUGAACUUCGCAUUCAUGUAAUCGACUUGUUCUGAAAUCGAAGUUCGAUUGCUGGUAGAUUUUGAGAACUUCCCCGUUUUUGUAGCGUGUCAUGCAGCGUUGUGAUUGAAUAUUGAGUUUGUCGGCCAUGGUUCUGGUGUGGAAUUGUGCGAGACUGGGGUGUAAGGCUGUGAGGUCUGGAGUGUUCACCAUGGUGUCGUGGUCGACGUUAGUAGAUCUACCUUGUAUAAUUGCCGUAAGAAAUUUUAUUGUGUUGAGACUAUUAAGGGGUCAGUCAUACAUUCGGUUGAUACGCAGAGUACCUGAAUGGCAAUUGUGGUGGCGGAUCUCAUUCGGAUCACACAUGUGAGCAUAAUUUCAUAAAAUAUCGAUGCCGCUGAGGAACUCAUUGCGUCGCCUUAUCUUUUUGGAUCUGACGAAGCAUGAUUUGGACUGAGCUGUUCAGGAACUUUCUUAUUCCUGGUGACUCGAUAUAUCGUAUAGAGUUGCACGAUGUUGAAAUUUAUAGGAUGCACCAUCCUCUUUGCCGUGUUUGUACUUUAUUCCUUGCCAUAUAUUCUAGAGUUACCGUCUGAUUUUACAUUAUUACUUGAAUAACUGUGGUCUGGGGUUGUUGUAAGAAAAGCACAAAUGCAUGUUCUCUCCCUCUUUGAGCUGAUCGCACGUGUUUACAUCUGCUCAUAUGUUUUUAUGAUGGGUAGUAAUGAGCUGAAAGUCAUGUGAUAAACAGUUGGCUUUUGCUAAAAUGGUAAUACAUGGUGGUACAGUGCAGCUCAUUCCCUGGCUGAAUGUUUGAUUAUUUACGACUUGGAUGGAGCCCGAUGGAUUGAUUGCUCAUAAUUCUAAGCAACAUUGCUCACUAUUGGACAUAAUUUUAAAAUCUUAAAAUUCUCUUGAUGAAUAUAUUUGAUGGGGACUAACAGUUCUUGUUGUUGUCUGAAGCCAGUAGGACUUACAAUUGUGAUUUUGUAGGUGAAUGUGGGGCAGGGCUCGUGGGUCUCUGUGCGCAAGCAAUCUCCGCACAUGACAAGACUGCGACGACAGCACAGGAGGCAACAAAAUAGGUAUAUUCCUGUUAUCAUUUCUGACCAGAUGUGAAUGGUUACAUUCAUCAUUUUAGGAAGAUGCGCAUUCUGGCGAGUCAUUAGAAACUUGUCCAUUUUCCUAUUAGGAUGCUUUACAUACACUAUAAAACUGCAAAUGGACUUUUCAGACAUACCUCUGAUCAAAAUGAUCUUCGUGGCAAUGCGGCUCUUGUCUUCAGUUGCUGAUCUCUGAUUGGAUGGUCGAUGUUAGAUCUUCUGGCCGUGAAAAUUGCCACAGUUGCGAUUGAGAGUCGGAGUGAAGUAGAUACUACUUCUGGCAUGUUAAUCUAGGAAGUUUUUAAUGCUCAAGCGCCUAAAUAUUAGGACCAACUUGAAGAAGUACCCGCCUUUGCAGAUAAGUAGAAACUAGACGAGUUGAGUGACUGAAUGGUUUGUACUUUUCAGAUGUUUUAGUAGGAGUUGCCUCUACAGUACUUCUGAAGGAGUCGUGCUUGAGGAAUAUAAGAAGUAUGUCGAUCAUGGAGGUAGUUGCCAGGUUCUUCUGGAAGCUCUUCUUCACUAUUGACAUGGCGGUUUUAGCAGAGUAAAACCAUUCUUAUGUUACGUAUAAUUGUUGUCUUGUGAUGUAGAUUUUUGGAGACGCCUCGUGUAUCAUCUCGUGAAUUAGCUGGGACUGAUCAUUCGACUGUAAAAGCAUUAACAAGUAAUUUUUCUAGCAGUAGCUUAGCAAACGCUAACAUGACUGCUGAUUACAAAAUUUUAUUUUGCUGUCUGAUAUUCGUAGAUUGAAUUAGCUUACAUAAAGAGUGCAAGUACCUCAUAGCAGGUAUGGUAUUCUUAAUGAAAUUUCAUGGAGGUGAAAGUACUAGUCGGUGCUGUAAAUAAGCUUUCUGGAUGUACGCAAUCUCUUGGAAGUUCUUAAAUACUUUUCCAUGCUUAGCUUUUGAAAUAAUUAGCUCUUCAGAUCUUGUCAUGUGUGUGGACCUGUCACCUCGAUACGUGGCAGGAACAAAAGACACAAUUUAAAUUUUAUUAUCCCUUAUACUGUCAUUUUCUCUCAGAUUUCCCAUAUUAACUAUUAAGUAUUGUCAGUUACUGCUAUGGGUAUCCUUGCUUGUGGAGGAAAUUUCUGUCAUAGUUUGAAUCUCCCAUUACAUCUCAAUUGCCCUACUCGAUUGACUUUGUUCAGCGCAAUUGUCCUUUUCGAAGUUCAUCCAUCGAAACAGUACCUUGUUCAAGGUUGGAAAUUUUGGAGUGCGUUGACCGCCGCAUUCUUAAUACGACCCAAAGCAAUCCCUUGGGUUCUAUGGUUGGUGAGUCUGGCUAGAUGUUUGACCAUGUGGGCAGGUUAUGAAAAUCACUUAGAUUAGAAGCAACAUUAUAGAUCAUAGGUGCUCCAGAAGGUGUACCUUUUACUCUUCGAGAAAUCUUCGUCGUGCUGGUAGGCACCACUUCCAAGCAGAAAAUAGCUAUUCCAGGUGAAUUUUUGUUUCAGAUGUGCUUAGAUUUGUUGUAUGUGGUGGGGUACUUUCUCAAAAUUCUUUCGAUCACUGUAAAUUCCGCUCACGGAUUCACGUAGUGUUUGAAAGAUGCUGGAUCUUUAUCGCUAAUGAGUGUUCUGUUUUCGCACUUUCAGAACGCACACAUAUAUUUUGAUCUCAGUCAACUGGCAUUUUUGCUUUCUCUGCAAAUAGCGCAUCAGGGGAUGCGGGUUACGAAUUCUCGUGCAGUCUCAAUGUCCAUGGACAAAUGAGCUUCGAAUGAAUUGAUCUAUGAGUUAACGCACCAAUUGGUUUUUACUUUUAGUUUUCUGAACGUUCCAACGAUUGUGCGCUAGAUCAGCAGACAGUACCACGAAAAACCCUGACUUGAGUGGUUUUCUAAAGUCCAGUUCUAGCUGAAUGUGGUCUUGCCAAGCAAUGCUGGGCAUGGGAGUUUCCGUUUGGGCUUACCACUUGUACGAACUCUUUUGUGACCAAGAGAGUUGAUUGAAACUAUACGUCAUUCCAGUUUGGGCCCACCUUCCCUGAACAGUGUCAUACUCAAUCAAUGGAGCACCGGAAUUGCUCGAUCUAUUGGCAUCCACCGUCGAAAGCAAGGGGGCUAUGAUACGGCACAUGAUAAGUGACUCCGUAGGAAUCUCCGAGUCUUCGGGUGAAGCAGAGGCCCUGUUGUCCGCUCAACGAAAGCUCUGGCCUCGUCUUGGUCACAAGGACAUUACAUGAUUACACAGGAGCUGAAAGUGCUUGACGUGGAGCAGUCACAAUAUAGUUGGUACCAAAUCCUAUCUUACUGCUUGUACGUUGUGAAAGGUCGAUCUCAUCAGUGUCAUAAAAUUGUCCAGCAUUUAAAUUACUCAAAGGUUCUCCAACUCAUGUCACGGACAACAUUCUUUGUUCUAGCUCAUGUAACAAAACAGAAGCCUGAAGUGCAGUUCUAUGGAAAGAAGCACAACCCCGAUUCUCGGCCAGCAUCCAGCGUGGUUGUUCAUUAGAGAAUGGUCUGAAAUCACCACCUCGAGAGAAAUGCCUCUUACUCAAGGCUUAUAGCUUGGAAAAUGAAGUUGAUAUUUUCAGUUGUUCACGUUCUCAGGUGUCGUCCAGCGAUACGAAUGAGUAUAUGACAGUGGGUUGCACCACUUGGCUUUCCCCUGAAAACCGGUUUGCCAUUGCUCUUUGUAUCGGUUGAGCCAGCUAACUACCGGUCAUUAAAGACGAAGGAGCCGUACUUGGAUCCCCGCCUAUUGGAGAGAAGGGCUGAUAAGAACGCCAAGAACUCUGUCUCUUGUCCUCUUGUACUCCCAACAUGUGCAUGUAAAUAACAGUACUGCCCAAUUGUCGCGGUCCAUUUUCUGUCGAUGCACACAAGCUUCAAGAAGCAGCGCAAGUUACCACUUUCAUUGUCUGCAGUGUUGCGGGGCGUGGUGCGGAGAGGAAGUGAAAAAAGGUCAAAAGUGAUCAGUAUUUGCAAAGGGCUGCUGAUGAGGUGGAUGAUUUGCAAUCUGGAUGAUUCGCAAUCCCACUUGCAUCUGGAUGAUUCGCAAUCGUCUACUUCUGGUCGCCUGCUCAUGAAAGUUAUUCCAAGGAACCGAUUCAUCUAAGAAGGCGUCAUUCUCGACGUCUGCUUUCACCUGCGCCUAUAUAUUAUGCUCCAUGCUUAAUGCUUCAUGCCGCAUCCUUGUUCUUUUGUAGGCGAUUUCUGUACAAGUAGGGACUAUCGGGACUGGUGUCGAAUCUGUGACUAUUGCAGAGGAUUUUUAUUUUUUCGUUUUGUUCUUUUUUGAGCAGUCGAUUACUGAAUCUUAAUUCGAGACCAUAAGCUCAAUUCAAGCGACAUGCAGGAGUCGAGAGAGAUCUGGAUUGCUUUUUGAAGCUCGAUUCAAGAUAUCUUAUGAUAAUACUCAAAUUCAGAACGUACAGAUUGUAGAUCUAACUUGUCUUGACUACACACUUGAAAACAAAUCGUUUUCACGUAUAUACCCAGCCAUGAACAUGUUAGAAUCCUGAGGACUGUAGUAAUACUGUUGAAGACACGCUUGUAACUUGGGGUGGGGUCUGGGCAUUCUGCACGAUUGCAGUGACAAAAGUCCGAGAAAAAUAAGGAUAAGAUCUAAAAGAAGCUUCUAUUUAUGAUGGCUACUUGAGGUCUUGCAUCGUGCUGUCCCGUUCAAAGUUUUGAUGAAGUAGACUUGGAGAAGUGGCUCAAGGCUGACCAAUUUUAGCCGUGUGAAUGUAGAGUCAUUGGUGUUAUUUUUGCAUACAUGAGGGUCAAAAGCACAGCAGACGACACUUGCACAUUUCUUUUGAAAUCACUAGCUAAGCUAUAAUCCUCUUACUUGCUCAAAGGGUGUCAUUACCAUCGGAUGUAUCAAAAGCCUCGAAUUUAUCAUAAAUUUCUUUCUUCCUUUUAGUGACCUCCGAGUGAUGCUGCGUUUAUUGAGAGUCAAAGUUUGGAUCCUCGCUAUCUUUAUCUUUUUGUAGCUUGGUGUUGGACUACUCAGCUGAUGAAUGCUGAAUAUGGCAUCCUCGUCGGGUGUACCCGUAAUACCACAGAUAGAACUACCCCCAGGUUUCAGGUUUCAUCCCACUGACGAGGAGUUGGUGCUGCAUUAUCUUUGGCGAAAGACGGAAUCGGCGACGUUCUCCAUCCCUGUCAUCACCGAGCUCGACCUCUACAAAUAUGAUCCUUGGGACCUUCCAGGUGCGCCAGCAAUCUCUCAAGCAUAUUCUUCUUUAAACUGUACGCAUCUCUUAGUAUCAAACGACCCACGAAAUAAAACGUUAACCUGUUCGAAUCUAUUUCAGAAUCUUAUUUGUGAACUCUCUCCAUCCCAGGCGGUGUUGCGAUAUUUCUGGGUAGAUUGAGUUUAAGAUGUAUUUAUUGUAGCACAUACUUCGAUAAGAUUAAUGUUGGUUUGCUCUGACAUGCAGGGAAGGCAAUUUUAGGAGAAGGAGAGUGGUAUUUUUUCAGUCCAAGGGACCGGAAGUACCCAAAUGGGGCUCGACCCAACCGGGCUGCAGCUUCAGGAUUCUGGAAAGCUACGGGGACUGAUCGACCGGUACAUACAUCACGGGGAACACUGCAGAAGAUUGGAGUGAAGAAAGCUCUAGUGUUUUAUAAGGGUCGGGCCCCUAAGGGUGUGAAGACUACCUGGGUCAUGCAUGAGUAUCGCUUGGCUGAUGGCAUCUCCCCCUCUUCAAAUACUACUAGAAAACCAGGUUCAUUGAGAGUAAGUCUCGUGCCAAAUUUCACCGGAAUCUAAGAAGCAUGCAUUUUGAUACCAGUUCAUACAGUGUAGAUACUUUCAAGCUUUGAAAUGCUAUGCUGAGUGACGUUAUUUCAAAAGUCAACCUCUCUCGCUAUUUACACGUCAGCGUCAUGGAUUCCUAAAUAAGAAAAAGGUCAUCAGAUCAUGGAAAAUGUGUGCUUUCAUGAAAAGUUAGGUUUCGAGUCGUCUCGAAAUCACACUUCAAGCUUCAAGUUCCAGCAUGAAUUGCAGAUGUGGGGAACGAUAACUGACUGAUGUCUGGGAUAUGUUACCUAAUUUAGUGUAGAUUAUUUGGUGUGUGCAUCCCCAUGCAGCUGGAUGAUUGGGUCCUUUGUCGAAUAUUCAAGAAGAUUCCGAGUGUUCAAAGGGGGUCUAGCAUUGACCUGAAUAAUUCCGACGUUAAUGAGGUUAGAUUGGGUUUUCAAGGACUUCAACCAUUGUUGUGAGGAGAGAUUGCUUUAACUGCAGUAAGUAUUUCAAGGCAUUGAAGUUUCAUCGCUUUGAAUAUAAUUUAAAUGAAACUAUAAACUUCGUAGAUAUAGGUAAUCAAUUGUUGGGCUGCAUCAGGAUUUCAAUUAUAUUUGUGAUGUAAUUGAUGAAGAUGUGGAUUUCGAUGGGCAGGUGCUUGCAUCUUUACCUGAAAUCAACAACCGCAGCCUCGUGCUGCCAGAUUUAGGUCCCUCAUCCAGUGGGAUUAUGGAUCUAGACCCCUUGUGGGAUGAAUGCGAUCCAGAUGAAGCACGUUAUAAGGACCAGCAACAUGUCGACAAAGGAGGAGCACGAGAUCCUGAUCCUGAUCGGGCGAGCAUUGUUGCACUACAUGGAAACACCAUUCGAAGGGUCCAAUCCCGAUCCAACGAAUAUCUGGAGACCCUUUCAAAUGGUUCUGCUUUCCAUCAUACAAGCACCCCGUCAGCGCUCGAUCAUGCCGACUUCAGCAGGGAAAGAUCACAGCCUACUGCUACGGUUUAUCAAUCAACAAUAGUGAGCACCUUCCAAACUUACCCCGGUGUACAAAGACAUACACAGAGGGAUUCCUCAGGAUAUUUGGAUGCAAUGCUACCCUUCUGAUAUAUCAACUGGUGCUAUGCUCCACUGCAAAAGCAACCGCAGGUCCAAAUGCAAGGAGAGGAACAUGUAACGAAUUAUUAAAAGAUUCUAUGCCAUCGCUGAUGGCAAGUUUGAAACGAAAGCACUGUAAUCGUAUAACAGUUUUUUCUUUCUUCUUCGUCUUCUUUGUCUUCUUCUAUUUUUGUUUUCAGUAUACAAUUGUGAUGGUUUAAUGCGAAUAAGGUACCUGUGCGUUUCUGAUGGGGACCGUACCGAGGGAUGAAUCAUUGUGUAGCACCGCAACUAAAUGUGACCACAUAAUAAAGCUCUUGCAUAAACGAUUUUAUAGAAUUUAAGGACUGGUUCUGUAGCUGCGUGAUGUUGCAAAGCUUGAGAGCGAGCCGUCUUGUACUGACUGACUCACAAACAAAGGGUGGGUUUACAUUCCGUCUGGUCAGGUGAGAAAUCUUAGAAUCCAUUCAAUCUUUAAUUUUUGGUUGGGAAGUUAACAGAUUCUCUAGAAUCGUUAGCUUCAUUAGAAAACCACGCAAUGAUUUUUGUUAAUGUUAAAAGGGAAUGACUGCUUGCAUGACAGCACUUUUCCAUGAUCGGAGUCCACUUGGGUUGGUUCUUCAUUCUAUCGAGACACUUCCUGCAGCACCACAACUAUCUUUCCGGAGUUUUAGCCUGUGAUUACUUUCUACGAUUUGGGUCGAAAACAACCCAUUCUGAUCUUGAUCCUUCACUUGUCCGGUUCCAAGUGAUUCAGGUUCCACAGAUUUCGUGAAAUCCACUGAUUCAUUAUCACAGUGGUACAAGGAGCACCUCUUUAUUUGCUUCACGGUGAUAAGUCCACUAGAAAUGUAAACAAGUGAAAGCAACUUUCCUUUUUGAUGCAAACUCACCCAGAAAUAUUAUCACAAUUUGUGAUUCACUGCUCCAUGCCUUCCACGCAAGCUCGUGGCAGUGGAAAAUAUGCACAAAUCCGCUUUGUUCAGCUUCAAGGAUUCAUAUGCUGUUUUAGAUGCCUCUUGUAAUUUUCUAGUAUUUUUCUCUAGCUAUAACAUUUUUAGAAUUAAACAUAUAAUUAUAAUGUUUUAAUGAAAGAAUUCUUUCUAUAAUUUCUGCUAAUAAAAAAAAUGGUUUUUAUUUAUAUUUUAAAGUUUUCAAAUUUUCGGUUUUAUUUGUUAAGUUUUUUUUGAAGGUUUUUUCCUAUUUAAAUUUAUUUAUUAUUUAAUUAAUUUAUAUUACGCUUUAUUGUAUUUCAAAUGAAUUAAAUUUGGUAAUUUUAAAAGAUGACUAUGCAUGUUUUUAAGUUUUUUCUAAACGAUAUAUUUAAGUAUUUUGUAAUAGAUAAAAUCUGAUCUAUUGUCUAAAAUAUAAAUUGAUAGUUUUUUUUGAAUGAAAAAAAUAUCAAAAAUAUAUUAUUGCAUAUAUAAAAUUUUAUAAAUGGAUUUUUAAGUAUUUUAUGUAAUUUUUAAUUUAUAAAAAACUCCUUCAUUUAUAUUUAAAAUUUAAAAUUUAUAAAAAAUAUAAUUUUUAAUAAUGUAAAUUUAUGAAAUAAGUACUUAGUAUUUUCAAGAUUACUUAAAAUAUCAAAUCCAAAAUAUCACUAUUCAAACCUUAUUAUUCCGUCAUAUUUUGUAAAGUAUUACUUGAUAUAUUAGUGACGUGUUGAAUGAUAUCAAUUUGACCUAACAUGCUAACUUAACAUUCUACAUCCAUCUUUCUCACUCUUUUUUGCUAUUCUUUAUGCUUUAGAAGAAGAUUCCAAGCUUUGUAGAUAAAAGGCAAAAGAAGUCAUUUCGAUAGAAAUGAAUAUGCUACAAUUAUUUUAUAGCUAAAAGACUUAGUAAACUUCCAAAUGUUAGAGAAUUCAAGUAAGAUUGAGUACUUUCAAGGCCAAGUUUGGCGCCGCCUCUGAGUGGUCAAUUGGUAAUAGUGCUAGUAUCAAUGAAAUCAAUAAAAAAUAGGACAUAUUCAUUGUGGUUGCAAAGUUGGCAGAUACAUAUUCACACUUUAAAAGAAUGCAUGCUUUGUAUGGUGAAAUGCCAAAUAUGACUACUCUUUGUAAGAGGGACUCUAUGGUGAUAACAAAUACUAUCCCACCAAUAUCAUUCUGAGACUCUAUGGCAGUAUUGAUUACCAACUUAGUAUUAACAUUGCUCAACUUAAAUUUAUUGCUAAAAAAAAAUCUACUCAAAGAUACCUAAGAGCCUUUAUUGUAAGACAAAUAUGAUGAACGACAAGAAGUAUGCAAGAAGGAUUAUAAUUUCUUACUCUUGUCUAUUUUUCUCAGAUCCUUGUCUUUAUCACCAACAUCACUUUUUAUAAGACAUCUAUUACUUGGCAAUACUAUUAUUGUCAUUUUAAAAAAAAGAGUUAGCUACUUAUUUCAAAGUUUGAAAAGAAAUCUCCAAAGAGACACUACAUAAUAGCCAAUACGUUUGUGGAGUCAUCACAAUAAAAAAUCACUAUAAUGUUAGAGUGUUGGCUCUAUCAAAACAAGUUAAUGAGAGAAUUAAGGCUUGCUUACAAAAAAAAUUGAAAAUGAAAGAGAGGCUAAAGAGGGAUAGGAUUGUCAAGGACAAGAACUAGAUGAAAAACAAUUCAGACAAGUGAGCCUUCACUCAAAGAGAGGUAACAAAAUAUAAAUAAACAAGUAUAUAUAUUGAAAGAGAAACUGGAAUGGCUAUUGCCAAAACACAAGAAAACUAGAGACCCUUGAAACUAGACUAGAAGCAAGAAAGGACUUGAUAAGAGUGAAGAAGCCUUCACUCUUGUCUCUAUAUAUACUAUCUAACUAGGGGCUACGUGGCGACGUUCUAUAGAACCUCCAAUAUGUGUUGACUUUGUAUGACACAUGCCUUGACUUACAAGGCAAGUUUUUUUACGUGUGGGCCACAUAGUUAGCUUGAUCUUCAAGCUAACAACAUGUGUGGCACAUGGCCAACUUGUUGACCACGUUUCUAAUCCAAAAAGUCAAUUAAAGACACCUAUGAAGUCAAAGCAACAUCUAAGAAGUUUCUAGGAAGCUUCCAUAUUAAAUAUUAUAGAAUUAACUUACUUUUAUCUACUUUUACUUACUUCUACCUAUUUCUAUAUGUAAUUAUUAGCUUACAUGAUUAUGGUCGUGACAUUACCCCCCUUUCUAGAGACGAGUUCCACGAGGAGCGGUCAUCAUAUGUUGAAGAAAUCUAUGAUGCGACGAAUUGUAUUCGCCACAUACUCUGAUCUCUGUUCUCUUCGAAGAUGAUUGAUAGGGCCUCUCAACCAUCGGUAGUGUCCCAUACCAGGGCGGAAAGACCACCCAGUUAUUUGAUCAUUGUUGAGGCCUUCGUAACUUCCUUCGAAUAGAAUAUUUGAAACACCAUCAGGAGUUGUUCCUACCUCUAGCAAAAUCACCAAACAUCGGGAGUCCCUUCCCAAAUCGUGAUACCAAAUACGUUGUAUCUCACCAUCUAUUCGAGGAAGAACAUGUCGUUCUUGAAGAUCUUCAUCUCGAUUGCGUCGUCUUGAAGGUUGUGACAAUCGUAAUGUCUCGUCCGACAGGUCAGCAAAUGAAGGCUCUUGAGUUGAAUCCGCUGGUUGUUGGUUCUCCAUCUCUUGAGCACCACUACUACAACGAAGCUACGAACAAGAAUUGAAAGUAGAAUGUUAUCUUACCUAGAUGUUGUUUCUUUUAUAAAGAAGGUUUUCAUCUUGAUUUUGAUAGAUGUCGUCGAUGAAAAGCCUCCAUCGCCUUUGCUGCAUUUGUAAGAUUCUUUAUUGGCUCCAAUGUGCAUUCAUUAAUACCAUAUCCACGCCAAUGGACAAGAUAUUCUAAUUUAUUUCGGCGUCGCCUUGAAUCUAAGACUUCUUCUACUUCAAACUCUUCAUUAUUGUCCACUUCUAUAGGAGGAGGUGGAGCUUGUCGUCUUCUUGGUAUGUCCACUGUCUUAUAUGGUUCAAGAAGAGACACGUGGAAUACUGGAUGGAUUUUCAUUGACUUUGGUAGAUGUAAAAGAUAUGCACCUAGAUUGAUUUGUGCAGAAAUAGAAAAUGGUCCCAGCCUUCGAUAGUCCAACUUGUCACAAGGACGAAUGGUCUUGAUAUUGCGACGAAGUAGCCAUACCUUAUCAUCCAAGACGAAUGAUGGUUGUUCCUUUCGAUAGACAUCCGCAUUGGCCUUUUGUUGUUCUUGAGCCUCUUUUAACUAUGCCUUCAUCGUUGCAUGUAGUUCUGAUAAAUGAAUUGCCAAAUCUUUCGCAACAUGAUUAUCAACUUUUGAAAAGUCAAAAGUAUCAAGUCGUGGAUGAUAACCAUAAUUAGCAAAGAAAGGUGUUUGUUUUGUAGAAGAGUGUACCGUGUUAUUAUAAGCAAACUCUGCCAAUGGCAAAAGAGUUGUCCAAUCAUCUUGUUGGUAAUUAAUGGUACAUCUUAAAUAUUGCUCCAAAACUUGAUUAUCAUGCUCUGUUUGUCCAUCAGUUUGAGGAUGGAAUGCCGAAGAUAGUUUUAUAUCCACUUUAAGGAUCUUGAAAAGAGUCCUCCAAAAUCUUGAUACAAAUUGAGUUCCCCUAUCUGAUAUAAUAUCCUUGGGUAAUCCAUGAUAGCGAUAGAUAUUGUCAAGAAAGAGCUUAGCUGUUUCUUCACCUAUGAUAGAUUUUGUACAUGGUACAAAAUGUGCCAUCUUGGUAAAACGAUCUACUAUCACAAAUAUAGAGUCAUAAGAACCUGAGAUUGGAAGAUCCGUGAUGAAGUCCAUAGAAACAGGAGACUAUGGUUGUUUUAGAAUGGGUAAUGGCUGAAGAAGUCCAAAAGGUCGAUGACGAGGAGUUUUCGAUCUUGAGCAAACUUCACAUGAUUGUACAAAAUCUUUAACUGCCUUCCACAUUUGAGGCCACUAUAAAUCCCUAGAUAUCAGCUCCAAAGUCUUAUUAUAUCCAAAAUGUCCUACUACUGGGAAGUUGUGACAAACUUGAAGAACACGUAAACGAGCUUCUCCUUUUAGAACAUAUAGGCGUCCUUCGAAAUGGAGUAGGUUGUUCUUGAAUUCAAAUUUAGAUGGAUCAUAAGAUUUAAAAGCAUUGUUCUUGAUAUCAUGAACAAGAGGGUCUAAAGACAUACUUAACUGGACUUGCUUAAGGAAAGUUAAAUCAACAGUCAAUGUUGAUUUUAUUGCUCGAAGAUGAAAUUAUUUCGGCUUCAAGAGAAUCGUUCUUUGUUGCUCAAAAGCUGCAUCUCCUUCUUUUGGUGCAAGAUAAGAAUGUCUAGAAAAGGCAUCGGACAAACCUUGUUGUUUUCCUGGCCGAUAAGUGAUGAUGAACUCGAAUCUUGAUAAAGACAUGCUCCAACAAGCUUGGCGACGAUUUAAUACGCGUGCUGACAUAAAAUAUUUGAGGUUCUUGUGAUCCGUAUACACGGUGACUGGACUAGAAGCGCCUUCUAGAUACUGACGCCAUUCUUGAAAAGAAUCCACAAUUGCAAGAAGUUCUUUGUCGUGGAUCUCGUAAUUGAUUUCUGCUGCUUAGAAUUUUCUUGAAUGAAAGGCUACUGGAUGAAGUUUGUCAUCUGUUCCCAUUUGUGAUAAAACCACACCCAGAGCAAAGUCCGAUGCAUCUGUUUCCAUAAAGAAUUCUUUGGAAAAAUCAACACGAUACAAGAUUGGUGCAAAAACAAACGUUGUCUUCAAAGAUUCAAAAGCAACUUCCGCUUCUUGAUUCCAUUGGAGUUUGUCUUUACAAGUCAAACGUGUAAGUGGAGCUGCAACUCGAGAGAAGUCUUUGAUGAAGAUCCGAUAGUAAUUGGCAAAUCCCAAAAAACAUUGGACAUCUCUUACCGUUUUUGGGAUCUUCCAGUCUAUAAUAGUUUGAACUUUCUUAGGAUCCAUCAUAAGUCCAUCAUUUGAAAUGAUGUAACCUAAGAAAUCGACUUGAGUAAUGUGGAAUACACACUUUUCUAUCUUGGCAUAGAGUCCUGCAUCUCUUAAUUUUUGUAACACACGACGAACAUGAAGUUCAUGUUCUUUUGGAUUCUUAGAAUAGAUCAAGAUGUCGUCUAGAUAACAUACUACAAAAUCAUCCAAAAACUCUCGAAAAACAUCAUUUAUUAGAUGUUGAAAAGCUGCUGGUGCAUUUGUAAGUCCAAAAGGCAUGAUGUUGUAUUCAAAAUGUCCAUACCUAGUUCGAAAUGUAGUCUUCCAUUCAUCUCCUUCUUUGAUGCGUACUAGAUUGUAUGCUCCUCGAAGAUCUAUUUUUAUAUAGAUCUUAGCUUGAUUCAGCUGAUCAAGAAGUCCGGAUAUUAAAGGUAGUGGAUACCUGUUCUUGAUGGUAAUCUUGUUGAGUCCUCGAUAAUCAACACACAUCUGCAAUGAUCCAUCUUUUUUCUUCACAAAUAGAAUUGGAGCUCCUGCCGGAGAUUUAGAAUGGCGUAUGAAAUUCUUGCCUAGAUUUUCUUCAAUAUACUCCUUGAGUUCAGCCAACUCAUUUUGUGAUAAACUAUAGAUUGGUCCGAAUGGCGGUUGUGCUCCUUCUUGAAGGUCAAUUGAGCAAUCAUAGAAACGAUGUUCCGGGAGUGUAUCCGCAUUCUUUUUUUCGAAUACAUCUUGAAAUUCUUGAUAUUGGCUUGGAAUGCUACUUGAAGUCUUUUCACCAAUAGAAACGGGUGUAGCAUAAAUAAUGUAUGGUGAUUCUUUCAUAGCAGCAUGCAAGAAAGCUUUUACACCUAUAAAUAUGGGUUUAAUUGAACUGGACUUAUGACUCUUUACUUGCUUAACUACACUGUUAGUUAUACUUUUAGAAAAAGUGAGAGUUCGGGAAAUCCAGUCUAUUUGAGGGUUGUAUUUUUCUAACCACGAUAAAUCUAAAAUGACUGGAUUAGAGGGAGAUCUAAUGAUAUUAAAUAUUACAAAACUAUUAUGACCAUUGAUUAUUACUUCUAUAGAAACGGUUUCAUGAUUAAUAUCUCCAGAAGACAAUGGACAACCAUCUAUGACUUCUAUAUGAACAGGUUUAGUUUUCUUUACUAAAGAUAUGCUAUGUCUUUUAGUAAAUUCUUCAUCUAAAAAACACGCUGAGGCUCCUGAAUCUAAUAAGGCAGAGACUUUGUAAUGUUUAGGUCCUAAAAUAACAUUUAAUGUAAAACAAGGAGGGGACUCUGAGCAGAGAAUACUACCUUUACUAGAAGUUGUGCAAGGUUCCAGCCACACGGUCCCUAUUGUAGCUAGACAAACUCGUUUUCCGACAUAUUAUCUUCUUUCACAGCCAUACUCUUCAUUUUGUGAUUGCGUUGUUUCUUUGGACAAUGUUGAGCAGUGUGCUUUGGUUCUCCACAAUAUAAACAUAAUCCUUCUUGAUGAUGACGAGUCUUUUCUUACUCAGUAAGAGGUUUGAAACGUACUGCAUCAAUUUGCAUAUCCUCUACUUCCGAAUGUAUGUGUUGAAGAGAUGUUGGUGUUGCCAUUGAAUUAUGGUAACGUUGAAGUCCACUUGUACGGUUCUCAGAUCGGAAUUCAAAAAGGCGAUUGUCACACUUCACAGCAAAGUCAAUUGCUUGACUCAAUGUUUGAAAAUCAGAUAAGUUGAGCAUUAAUUUUUUUACCUCAUAUUAUAAUCCGUAGAGAAAUUGGCUAAUAAAAGCAGCAUCAUCCCACUUGAUAUCAGUUACAAGUUGUCGAAAUUAUGAAGCAUAUAACGUUACUAAUCGAUUGCCUUGUCGUAAAAUACGGAUCUUAUUAGUUGCAACACGAAUUGCAUCAUGUUCUCCAUACAUGGAUCGAAACUUCGCCAAAAAAGCCUCUAGAUUAUCCAAUAUUGGAUCUUGUCGUUCAAGAAAAGAUGAAAACCACGAUAGUACCAAACCUGAAAGAAGCAUACCAAUGAAUCUAAUUUGUGAUCCUGGAGUUGGAUAGCUUUGGGGUUGAAGUUCAAUCACAAGUUGCACUUGAUUGAUAAAUCCUCGAAACUUGGAUCUGGUACCAUCAAACUUCUCAAGUAGGGCAAUUCUUGGUUCUCUAACAUUUGAAGGGCGUUCCACCAUAGGAGAAAGGACAUGGUUUGGUGUAGAUGUUGAAGCAGCUCUAACCAUUUCUAUAUCUUCACUUCUUGCCAAUCUUGUUGCUCCUUGUGGUGGUAAAUUGAGUUGAUGCAUUGCAAGCAUUAACUCCCUCAAUUGCUCGUACAUUUGUGCCAUUGCACUCUUCAUUUCAAGAAGUUCUGCCAUGAUAACACUUAGAAGAGGGAAGAUGUCUAAUAUCGCUCAAGACAAAUAGAAGAGAGGACUUGGGGACAAAGAAAAUACUAAGGACAAUAUCAGUUUAGAAGAAGGUAAUCCGCAACUUCUAAUACGCUUAUAUCUUAUCAAGAAAAAGGGGUAAUCCACUCUUAAUCAAGAUUAGACAAAGCUCUGAUAUUGUAGGUGUACUCUUGUCAAUCUGUCAAGGACAAGAACUCGAUGAAAAAUAAUUCAGAUAAUUGAGCCUUCACUCAAAGAGAGGUAACAAAAUAUAAAUAAACAAGUAUAUAUAUUGAAAGAGAAAUUGGAAUGGCUAUUGCCAAAAGACAAGAAAACUAGAGACCCUUGAAACUAGACUAGAAGCAAGAAAGGAGUUGACAAGAGUGAAGAAGCCUUCACUCUUGUUUCUAUAUAUACUAUCUAACUAGGGACUACGUGGCGAUGUUCUAUAGGACCUCCAAUAUGUGUUGACUUUGUAGGACACAUGCCUUGACUUACGAGGCAAGUUUUUCUACGUGUGGGCCACAUAAUUAGCUUGAUCUUCAAGCUAACAACAUGUGUGGCACAUGGCCAACUUGUUGACCACGUUUCUAAUCCAAAAAGUCAAUUAAAGACACCUAUGAAGUCAAAGCAGUAUCUAGAAAGUUUCUAGGAAGCUUCCAUAUUAAAUAUUAUAGAAUUAACUUACUUUUAUUUACUUUUAUUUACUUCUACCUAUUUCUAUAUGUAAUUAUUAGCUCACAUGAUUAUGGCCGUGACAAGGAUUGCAUUUGAAAGUGAAAAAUUGGCUAUAGAGUAAAAAAAAGGAAGGUAAUUCAAAAAUAUAAUAAAAAAAUUUUAAAAAAACUCUUUGAUUUGGUUUAAUCUUAAUUAAUUAAAAAAAUAAUUUUUAGGAAAUAAAAUAGAUUAUUACCCUUGUAAAAAUAUAUAUAUAAAUAAAAAAUUAAUUUUUGAUUUAAUUGUCAAUUAUGUAUUAUAUCUUGAAUUUUAGGAUUUGUAUUGUAAUAUUAUGCCAUUAUUAACUCUAAAACAUAAUGUAUUUAUCCAAAUUUGAUAGUACAAGGUUAGUAUAAAGAGAGGUGAGAGAGACAAUACAAAAUUCUAAAGGCUUUGGAUUCUACAAGCCUUGGGUGCAAAGUUUUAGAGGCCUCAAGUUCUAAAAGCCUUGAAUGCAAGGUUCUAGGGGCCUUAGAUUCUAGAAGUGAUGUCUCUAUGAGCUACUGCAUAAAAGAAUAGAUCUUGACAAAUUUUAUUAUGUAAACUUAUUAUAUAUGCUAUGGCCUCUAAAAUUCAAGGCUUAAUAUAAAUUCUAAGUAUAAUAUAUUAUAUUUUAUAAAAAUAUAAAGAAAAUAAAAAGUUAUAGUUAAUAUUAUUAUAUAAGAAAGAAAUUUGAAGAUGGAAAUAUUAUAAUAACAUAUAUUCUUACUACACAUAAAUAAAUUGAUGUGUUUACAAAAUCAUUUUUUAGCUCUUAUUUUAUUUACAAAAGAACAAUAGCCGAUCUUAUAAAAUUUCCAAACUUAGAAUCUUUUCUAUAUAGAACUCAAAAUUUAGCAAAAAUAUAUAAAAAUAAAAAAAUAAAAAAAUAAAAACAAACAAACAAAUAGAUAAAAAGAAAAAACAAAAUUUCUAUGGUUCUAUUAUAGAAUUUACUUUCUUAGCUCAAAAAAAGACUUUGCCUCUUAUAGAAUCUUGUAAAGCUUGUAUUCUACUCUACUAAAGUCAAUCACUUGAAAAAUGUAAUUUAAAUAAGACAAAUAAAUUUUUAGAAUCCAACCUUGAUAAAUCAAGUAAAACUUCAUUGACCUUCUAUAGAUAAACUUGCUAACAUAGACUACAAAUCUUGUCUCAAAGAAGUAUUACUACUUCUUGAAUCACCUUGCUAAUUUGAUGGUAAUGACAGAGUAACUUGGUCUUAAAAAGAAUUCACUUUGACUAACAACAGAGAAAUACAUAUAUAUGAUGUAGCUUCUUCAAUCAAGGAUUGAAAUUUGUAUUCAUACUUUAUUAUAGUACUUCCUAUUUUUUCAUUACUCUUGUUCUUAGCUGAUGGAUUACAACUCUCUAUAGAUUCCACUAGAUAAAAAAAAGUAGUCAAAGAAAAUAUAUUAUAAACUUGAAAAAGAACAACAAAUAAAAGUGAGAAGAUGAACAAAAUUAGCUUUGUGUGCAUUGAAAGACAAUCAUAAAUUAAGUAGUUACCAUCACAAUCAAAUUAAAUAAAUAAAGUUGAAAAUAACAUCUUUUUAAUCAUAGUUCUUCAACAAAUCCUUUAAGGUACUCUACAACCUUUAUUUUUGCCAAUCAAUUUAAUAUUAUUUAUAAUACAAUGAGGUAUUAGGUUGAAGAAUAAGGAAAGUAUUGAUAAAAUCUUCCAAAUACCUCAUGUAAAUGACACCCUACUACACUCUUUAUUAUGCCUCAUCCACAAUACUUAUUUCAUAUUAAAAACAUCUACAAUAAAUCAUUUCUUUUAUAAUACUUAUCUUGUAUUUUUUCUUAUAUUAAGUAAGUCAAGUAUAGAAUAUUAGUAUAGAGGUUCUUAGUUAAUGAUAUAGAUGUAUAUUCCAUACAAGGCAUAGUACCUAUAAAAUAGAGCUUAAUUUUGCUUACCCAUUUUAUAUUAUUAUAUUUCUUAUUUUAUAUAUUAUUUUAUUUUCUACAAUUUUGGGAGUCUGGAGUACAAGGUUUUGGAAGCCUCAAUUCUAAAAUGUAUUACAUAAUAAUACAAAUGAGAAAAAAAAUAUAAUAAGAUCUAAAAUUAUUAUUUUUAUUUUCACUUGUGUAAUACACAAAAAAUACCAUGUAUGGACAAACUAAACCUUGAUGGCUAAAGAAACUGCAACAAACUUAGUUGCAAUCUUCUAAUCUAAAUCAUACAUUAAUAAAACAUCCAAUGCAUAGUUGUGAGCCACAGCUUUAUUUCAAACCAUUUUUGUAAUAAAAAUUUCUUCUUCUAAAGUAAUAGCAUAAUUCUUUGGUGGCUAUUGGCAAGUUUCAAAGAAUUUAAUUAUCUACAUUUUGUCCAAAUCAGCUAGUAUAUUAUGUAGAAUGCAACAAGCAAAGAUCUAAUCUACAAUGCAUUUCACAUCUCUUGUUUGAUUGAAUUAGGUACGAUUUUUUUUGAGUAAAGCUCAAGUACUUGUUAGGAUUCUAAUGUAGUAUUUAUUUACAAUCCAUUGUUGAAGAUAAGAAUUCAAAAAAGAUAUUUAAAUAAGUGAGAAAUAAAUCAAAGAGAGAUGAAAAAAUAAAAAUAAGAAAGUAAAUAUAUUUAAUAAGAAAUAAAAUUGCUAUUAUCAAAGACUAAAAAAAUAAAAACUUUUGAAAGUAGAUUAGAAGCAUGAAAGAAGUUGAUAAGAGUGAAGAAGACUUCACUCUUGCUUCUAUAUAUAUUAUCUACCUAAAAGCUUUGUGGUAAUUUUUUAUAAGACCUCCAACACGUAUUCAAUCUAUAUGACAUAUGUUCAACUUACAAGAUAUUUUUUUUAUAUAUGCACCAUAUAGUUAGCUUGUUUGAUAAGCCAUUAAUAUGUGUGACAUAUGACUAACUUAUUGGCCAAGUUUCUAACCUAUCAACCACCUAUAGACAUGUAUAAGGUGAAAAUGUGUCUAUAAAGCCUCUAAAAAGCUCCUCUAUAAGAUGUUAUCAAAAUAAUUUAUUUUUACUUACUUCUACUUAUUCAUAUUACCUACAUAAUUAUUAGAAUAAGUAUUUUUGUCACAUUGUCUUCCCUUCUAAAGACAAGUUCUACAAAGAAUAAUAAAUAUAUAUUAAUAAAGUUCAAGAUGUAAUAAAUUAUAUUUAUUAUAUAUUUUAAUCAUUGUUUCUUUUAAAGAUAGUUGAUUGGUUCUUUCAACCAUCAAUAAUGUGUCAUUUUAAGAUAAGAAGAUUAUCUUGUAAUUUGAUCAUUAUUGAAGCUUUGAUAACUUCUUUCAAACAAAACAUUGGUUAUACCAUCAAGAGUCAUUUUUAUCUCUAAUAAAAUCACCAAGUAUUAGAAGUCUCUUCUAAGGUUGUGAUAUCAAAUAUGUUGUAUCUUGCCAUCUAUUUGAGGAAGAAUGUAUUAUUCUUAAGGAUCUUGAUUUUAAGUAUGUUGACUUUAAGGCUAUAACAAUCACAAAAUUUUAUUUAAUAAGUCAGCAAAUGAUGGCUCUUAAGUUAAAUCUAUUAGUUGUAGAUUCUCCAUCUCCAUGGCAUUACUAAAGUACAAAGAAUCUAUAAUGAAAGAUAAAAUAUAGGAUUUAAUUUUUAUUGAUUUUUUUUGUAGUAGAGAAUUAUUUAAUUCUUCAUCUUAGUUUUGAUAGAUGUCAUUGAUGAAAAGUUUUAAUCUUCUCUAUUGUAUUUAUAAGAUUCUUUUUUGGCUCUUAUGUCCAUUCAUUAAUAUAAUAUGCAUACUAAUGAACAAGAUAUUUCAAUCUAUUUCAAUGUUACCUUAAAUCUAAGAUUUCUUCCAACUUAAAUUCUUAAUAAUUCUCCACUUCUAUAAGAAGCCAAUGUAUUUAUCUUCAUUUUGAAAUAUUUAUUGUCUUGUAUGGCUUAAAGAGAAACAUGUAAAAUAUAGGAUGAAACUUUAUUGACUUUAGUAGGUGUAAUUAAUAAGCAACUUGAUUAAUUUAUUCACAAAUAAAAAAAAAAGGUCUAAGCUUAUGAUAACCCAACUUGUCACAAGAAAGAAUAGUCUUGAUAUUACAAUAAAAUAACCAUAUCUUGUCACCUACAUAAAAUUGUGGUUUUUCUUUGCAAUAGGCAUGUGUAUUAAUGUUUUGUUAUUCUUGAGCUUCCUUUAAUUGGACAUUUAUUUUUGUAUAUAGCUUUGACAAAUGAUAUUCGAGAUCUUUUAUCUAAAGAUUAUCAAAUUUUGAAACGUCAAAGAUAUCCAAUGAUAGAUAGUAAUCAUAAUUGGGAAAAAAAUAUAUUUAUUGAAUAAAAGAAUGUACCAAAUUAUUAUAAGCAAACUCUACCAAUGACAAAAGAAUUAUCCAAUCAUCUUAAUAACAGUUGAUGGUACACCUCAAAUACUAUUUUAAAACUUAAUUCUUCUAUUCUAUUUGUCUAUCAAUUUGAAGAUGAAAGACUAAAGAUAAUUUUAUAUCCACCUUCAAUAUCUUAAAAAAGAUUUCUUAAAAUCUGAAUACAAAUUGUAUCCCUCUAUCUAAUAUAGUAGUCUUUUAUAAUCUAUAAUAGCAAUAGUUAUUGUCAAAAAAAGCUUAGUUAUUUUUUUAACAUAAAAUAGCUAUUAUAUAUAAUAAAAAUAUACCAUUUUAAUGAAAUAAUCUAUGAUUGUCAAUAUAAUAUUACAUAAAUUUGAACUUAGAAGAUUCAUAAUAAAAUCCAUAAGAACAAAAGACCAUGGUUGAUUUGGUACAUGCAAUGAUUAGAGAAGUCCAAAAAAUUGAUGAUAAGGAGUUUUUGACCUUAAGCAAAUAUCACAUGACUAUAUAAAGUCUUUUAUAGUCUUUCACAGUCUUUUACAUUUGUAGCCAUUAAAAAUCUUUAGAUAUAAAUUAUAAAGUCUUAUUGUAUCUAAAAUAUUUUAUUGCUAAAAAAUUGUGAUGAACUUAAAAAAUACAAAAAUGUGCUUCUCUUUCUAGAACAUAUAGAUGAUCUUUAAAAUAGAAUAAGUUAUUCUUAAAUUUAAAUUUGGAAGUAUCAUGAGAUUUAAAAGAAAUAUUUUUAAUGUCAUGAAUAAGAGGAUCAAACGACAUACUUGAUUGAAUUUGCUUAAUAAAGGCUAAAUCAAUAGUCAAUGUUGAUUUUAUUACUCAAAGAUGAAAAUUCUUUAGCUUCAAGACAACUAUUCUUUGUUAAUUAAAAGCUACAAUUUUUUUGGUACAAGAUAAGAAUAUUUAAAAAAUAUGUCUUAUAGAAUUUGUUAUUUUUUAGAUUGAUAUGUAAUCUUGAAAUCAAAUCUUGAUAAUGACAUAUUCUAAUAAGCCUAGCGAUAAUUCAACAUUCAUGUUGACAUAAAAUACUCAAGAUUUUUGUGAUCUGUAUAUAUAAUUAUUAGACUAGAAGUGCCUUCUAGAUAGUAAUGCCAUUCUUUAAAAAAAUCUACAAUUACAAGAAGUUUUUUUAUCGUAGAUUUUGUAGUUGAUCUCUAUGGCUGAAAAUUUCUAAAAAGCUAUUAGUUGAAUUUUUCAUUUGCUCCUAUUUGUGAUAAUAUUGCACCUAAAGUAAAAAAUAAUGCAUCUAUUUCUAUAAAAAAAAAUACUUUGAAAAAAUUGAUGCAAUAUAAGAUUGGUAUAAAAAUAAAUUCUUUUUUUAAAGCAUCAAAUAAUACUUUGGCUUCUUAACUCCACUUAAGUUUAUUUUUAUAAGUCAAAUAUAUAAGUGAAGUUAAAUUUUUUUUAAAAAAUAAUUAAUGAAGAUUUGGUAGUAAUUGAUAAAGCUCAAGAAGCAUUGCAUAUCUCUUUCUAUUGAAAUCUUCCAAUCUAAGAUAAUUUGGACCUUCUUAGGAUCUAUCAUGAGGCCAUCGAUGGAAAUAAUGUAUCCUAAAAAGUCAACUUGAGUAGUGUGGAAUACAUACUUUUUUAUCUUGGCAUAUAAUCUUGUAUUUCAAUUUUUUUUUAUAAUACUUAUGUAUUCUUAGAAUAGAUUAAAAUUUAUCAAAAUAUAUAAUAAAAUCAUUAAAAAAUUCACAAAAAACAUCAUUUAUAAGAUGUUGAAAAGUAGCUCGUGUAUUUGUGAGUCUAAAAGGUAUGACAUUGUAUUUAAAAUAUCCAUACAUUUCAAAAAAAAAAAUCUUUCAUUUAUUUCUUUUUUGGAUGCUGAUCAAGUUGUAUGCUCCUAAUAGAUCUAUUUUAUAUAGAUUUUUGCUUAAUUGAGUUGAUCAAGAAGUCCUAAAAUCAAAGAUAAAUGAUAUUUAUUCUUCAUCGUGAUUUUGUUAAGUCCUUGAGAGUCUAUGCAUAUCUACAAAGAUCCAUUUUUUUUUUUACAAAUAAAAUAGGAACUCUUACUAAAAAUUUUGAAUGCCUAUGAAGUUCUUAGCCAAAUUUUUAUCAAUUUACUCUUUUAAAGCAAUUAACUUAUUUUACAAUAAGAUAUGGAUUGGUCCAAAUGGCAGUUAAGCUCUUUUUUGAAGUUUAAUUGAAUAAUCAUAGGAUCAAUGCUCUAGAAGAAUAUCCAUGUUUUAUUUUUUCAAAAAAAUCUUAAAAUCUUGAUACUAGUUGAGAAUAUUACUUGAUAUUUUUCUACCAUUAUAAAUAUAUAUAGUUUAUAUAAUAAAAAAUAAUAUUUCUUUUGCGACAUAUAUGAAAGCUUUUUCACAUAUCAAUAAAGAUUUGAAUAUAUUAAAAUUUUACAUUUCUAUUUGAUUAAAGAAAUUUUAGAUUAAAUUAUAAAAAAACUAAGAUUAUAAGAAAUUCAAUCUAUUUAAAGAUUAUACUUUUUUAACUAUAAUAAUCCUAAAAUAAUUGAGUUGAAAAGAAAUCCUAUCACAUUAAAUAUUACUAUGCUAUUAUGAUCUUUAAUUAAUAUAUCUAAAAAAUAAAUCUGAUGGAUAAUAUCUCCAGAAGAUAAAAAAUGACCAUCUAUGAUUUCUAUGUACAUAGAUUUAAUUUUCUUGAUUAAAGAUAUUUCUUAUUUUUUAACAGAUUUUUUGUCUGUAAAACAAAUUAAGGCUCUUGAAUCUAAUAAAAUAAAGACUUUAUAAUUUUUAGGUCCUAAACAUAUAUCUAUUAUAAAACAAAGUGAAAGAUUUGAGAAGAAAAUAUGACCAUUACUAAGUAUUGCAUAUGAUUCCAGUUGCAUUAUUUCUAUUAUAGUUAGAAAAACUUGUUUUUUAAUACAUUGUCUAUUUUGACAAUUGUGCUCGUUAUUUUGUGAUUGUAUUAUUUUUUUGGACAAUAUUGAGUAAUGUACUUAGCUUCUCCAUAAUAUAAGCACAAUCCAUUUUCGUGUUGUAACACGAAUAUAUGGUGAAAGAUAAUAAUAUGGAUCUUAUUAUAGAAGAGCCAAGUUAAAAGAAAAGGUAGAAAAAUAUGGAUAAAAGAUAGGAAGGUAGUAUAACUUUUAGUACUAAUGCUGUCUUCUUAGAAAAAAUAGCUUCUACUUACUUUGUAGGGCCAAAAAUAAGGCAAAAUAAGAUAGAUUAGAAAAAUAAAUGAUAUAGACAUCUUUAGGAAGAAGUUAAGAGUAAAUUCUAGUAAAAAUUAUUUAAAAAAAACUAGAUGUUGAUACCUGGAGAGGGCCAGUUAUGAACUAGGGUCAAAAUCAGACCCUGAAGCACAAAACUGAGUCUCGACGACGACUCCAGGACUCUUUGGCAAAUCAAAGAGUGGGAUUUGAUAGAAGAUGGGAUAGGAUUUCUAUUGGCAUUGAUUUUGGGUGAUUUGGAGUUGAUAUGACUUUGUAAGAGCUUUGCAAAGUCAAGGUUUGUUUUGGAUGACUUGGAUUUUAUGAAAUAAAAUAGGAUUUACGUUUUGGAUGAUUUAAAGAGUUUUGUAAUAGAUCUAUAGGUAAAAUUUUGUGGGUUUAUGGUUAUAGUUGGGUUUAAUAUGUGUUGUGAAUUUGAGCUCGAUCUAAUGGUUGAAUUGAGGAAUAUUGAGGUUUAAGUGAGUCAAGGUCUUAGAAAGUAGAAUUUUAGGUCCAAUGGGAAUUUUUAAGCUCUCUUGCAAUCUACUAGUUGGAUUAGAAUAAAACUUAUGUGAGAGGAUAUUGGACUUGUUUUCAUAUGUGUAUGAGAAUUUUGAGCUCAAUUGAAUAGUACAAAAGAAAGAUAUUAGCUCUGGAAGAUUGGCAUCAAGAUUGGAGAAGGAGGCCGGCCAAUAUCCGAGCACAUUUUUGAAAUUAUCAUCAAUUUGGUUACUCCGAUCCUUUUCAACUUUCUUUUUCCUCGUUUUUAACUUAUUUUUUUAGAAUUUAGCAAAAUUUGAGUUAAGAUCAAUGGUUUAUUCAUUAGUUAUUGAGGUUUAAAUCUGUUGUAAGAAUUAUUAGGAUUUGGUUUAGGGUUUGGUUAGGAUUUUAUUUAGAAUUUGGAUUAGGGUUUGGUUUAGGGUUUAGAAUUUGGAUUAGAGUUUGAUUUAGGAUUUAGGUUUUGGUUAGGAUUUGAUUUAGGAUUUAGAAUUUGAUUAGGAUUUGGUUUAGGGUUUAGGAUUUGAUUAAGAUUUGAUUAGGAUUUGGUUUAGGAUUUGGUUGGGAUUUGAUUUAGGAUUUAGGGUUUAGGAUUUUAUUAGGAUUUAAGAUUUAAUUAGUUUUGGCCCAAAGUUUGAAUGAAGUUCAAUAGGAUUUUGACUAGAAUUAAAUAAAGAUUGAAUUGGGAUGUAUUUGAGUGAUAUUUGUGAUCAUAAAAUUACUCUUUAAGAAUUCUUAUUAUUUAUUUGAAAUUUCUCUGAGGUUUCUUUGAAUUUGAUUAAGCUUGCUUACUAUUCUUAUGGUCUAAUUAGAGCAUUGUUAAUAUUCUAUUAGAAUUAGGAUUUUGUUAUUAUAAUUUUCAUUCUUCCUUCUACAACUAGGUGCCUGGAUCAUUCUCAAGCAAGACUUCACGUAUUACAACACCGUCUUUACAAUAUUAAGUCUUUUCUUGCUUAAUGAGAGGUUUUAAUUAUAUUAUAUUAAUUUGUAUUAAUUUUGAUCUUGAUGAAUAAUUUUCUAAAAACUUAGGAGUUGCUCUUAUUACUUGAUUUAUUCUUUUGCAACCAAAUUUUUGUUCUUGAUGUCAUUUAAGUAGUUGAUUUUCUUAUGCAAUGGUUUAAGCAAUAUAUUGUUCUAAAGAAUUUACUUUUAGCAUUUUCAAUAACAAAUCUUUGACAUCAUUCUUCAAUCCAUAUCAAAAUUAACUGAUAAAAACUUUAUCAUUCCAAUUUACAUUGCAUAUAACUGUGAUUCUUAUUGUAAAGAUAAAAACUUAAUCUUUAUUAUUCUUUCUUGCUUAUUUUCUCCAAAUGUAGUUGUAAAUACUUUUAAGAAUAAAUUCAAAUCAUAAAAGAGCUUUGAAUUCUUUUCCAUCAAAGAUACAAAACAAGAGAGAAUACUUUCAUAUAAAUAAAUAUAUAAACUUAACUUGAAUAAAUCCAUCAAGGUAUUAUAAAGGAUACAACCUUAGAUAGAACUUGAUUUAUUACAUAAAUCCUCAAAAUUAUGAUCUUGUUCCAUUAAACUUCUCAAGAAUAUUAAUCCUUCUCUUCCUUAUGCUUGUAGAAGCAAGUUUUUUUAGAUUUGGUUAUAAGAUCAAUCUACUUCUUUCCUUCAAUUACAUAACUUUUUCAUAUAGAAUCUAGCCUUCUUCUAUAGAUAUAGAAAUAGUACUUCUAUAAUUGACAUUGGUGAUGUAUGAAAUUUCUACCUUAAGAGUAUUGACAAACUUAUAAAGAUCUGUAAUAGUUACAAAUCUAUUCUUACUUCCACCAAAUAUAGUUGUCACGGACAUACACAUGUAAGCUAAUAAUUACUUGUAUAAAUAUGUAGAAGUAAGUAGAAGUAAAUAAAACUAAAUUAAUUCUAUAAUAUCUUCUAUAGAAGCUUCUUAGAAGCUUUUUAGAUGAUGCUUUGACUUUAUAGGUGUCUAUAAUUGACUUUUUGGAUUAGAAAAGUGAUCAAUUUGUUGGCCAUGUGCCAUAUAUAUUGUUAGUUUGAAGACCAAGCUAACUAAUUGGGCCAUAUGUAGAAAAACUUGCCCUGUAAGUCAAGGCAUGUGUCCUACAAAGUCAACACAUAUUGGAGGUCAUGUAGAACAUUGCCAUGUAGCCCUUAGUUAGAUAGUAUAUAUAGACACAAGAGUGAAGCCUCUUUCAUUGUUGCCACUUUUUUCUUGUUUCUAGUCUAAUUUCAAGAGUUUCAAGUUUUCUUGUCUUUUAACAAUAAGCCAUUCCAGUUUCUUUUUAAUAUACAUACUUCCUUAAUUCUAUUUUGUCACUCUUUCUUUGACACAGAUUUCAUUGAUUUAUACAUUAUCUUUUAGUUUAUGUCCUUGACAGAUUGACAGGAAUACAUUUACAAUAUCAAAGCUUUGUCUUGUCUUCAUUAAGAGUAGAUUAUCCCUUUUUCAUGAUAAGUCAUAAGCAUAUUCUUCAAAAUUGAUAUCAUUCUUAGUAUUUUCUUUGUUCUCAAGUCCUUUCUUCUACUUAUCUUGAGUAAUAUUAGAUAUUUUUCUAAGUGUUAUGAUGGCAGAGCUUGUUGAAAUGAAGAAUAUAAUGGCACAAAUGUAAGAGCAAUUGAGGGAGUUGAUGGUUGCAAUGCAUCAAUUUAGCUUACCACCAGAAGGAUCAACAAGAAUGGCAGGAAGUAAGGAUAUAAAGAUAAUUAGAGUUGCUUCAACAUCUAUAUCAAAUCAUAUCCUUCUAUCUAUGGUGUAACAUCCUUGAAGUAUUAGAGAACCAAGAAUUACUUUGUCCAAGAAGUUUAAUGGUACAAGAUCCAAAUUUUGAGGAUAUAUCAAUCAAGUAUAACUUGUGAUUGAACUUCAACCUCAAAUCUAUCCAACUUUAGGAUCACAAGUUAGAUUCAUUGGCACACUUCUUUGAAGUUCAACACUAUCAUGAUUUUCAUCUUUUCUUGAACAACAAGAUCUAAUAUUAGAUAAUCAAGAAGCAUUUUUGACAAAAUUUUGAUCCAUGUGUGGAAAACAUAAUACAACUCAUGUUACAACCAACAAGAUCUAUAUUUUGCAAUAAGGUAAUCGAUUUGUAAUAUUAUAUGCUUCACAAUUUUGACAACUUGUAACUAAUAUCAAAUGGAAAGAUGUGUCAAGGAUAAGAACUUCAUAAAGAAAAAUAAACAAGUGAGACUUCUCUCAAAGAAAGAUGACAAAAUAGAAAUAACUCAAUACGUGUAUUAAGAAAGAAACUGGAAUGGUUAUUGCCAAAAGACAAGAAAACUAGAGACCCUUGAAAUUAGACUAGAAGCAAGAAAAUAGUUGACAAGAGUAAAGAGGGCUUCACUUUUAUCUCUAUGUAUACUAUCUAACUAAGGGCUACAUGGCGAUGUUCUAUAAGACCUCACAUAUAUGUUGACUUUGUAGAACACAUGCCUUGACUUACAAGGCAAGUUUUUUUACGUGUGGGCCACAUAGUUAGUUUGGUCUUCAAGCUAGAACAUGUGUGGCACAUGGCCAACUUUUUGACCAUGUUUUUAAUCCAAAAAGUCAAUUAAAGUCACCUAUAAAAUCAAAGCAACAUCUAUAAAGCUUCUAGGAGGCUUUCAUAGCAAAUAUUAUAGAAUUAACUUAUUUUUACCUACUUUUAUUUAUUUCUACCUACUUAUAUGUGUAAUUAUUGGCUUAUAUGUGUAUGUCCAUGACAUUACCCUCCCUUCUAGGGAUGAGUUCCACGAAAAGCAGUCAUCAUAUGUUGAGGAAAUCUAUGAUGUGACAAAUUGUAUUUGCCACAUACUCUGAUCUUUAUUCACUUCGAAGAUGAUUGAUAGGGCCUCUCAACUAUCGAUUGUGUCUCAUAUCAGAACCAAAAGACCACCUAGUUAUUUGAUCGUUGUUGAAGCCUUCAUAACUUCCUUCAAAUAAAAUAUUUGAAAUACCAUCAGGAGUUGUUCCUACCUCUAAUAAAAUCACCAAACAUUGAGAGUCUCUUCCAAGGUCGUGAUAUCAAACGUGUUGUAUCUUGCCAUCUAUUCAAGGAAGAACAUAUUAUUCUUGAAGAUCUUCAUCUCGAUUGCAUCAUCUUGAAGGUUGUGACAAUCGUAAUAUCUCAUCCGAUAGGUCAGCAAACGAAGGCUCUUGAGUCAAAUCCACUGGUUGUUGGUUCUCCAUCUCCUAACUGUCACAACUACAAAAAAGCUACAAACAAGGAUUCAAAGUAGAAUGUUAUCUUGCCUAGAUCUUGUUUCUUUUAUAAAGAAGAUUUUCAUCUUGAUUUUGAUAGAUGUCGUCGAUGAAAAGCCUCCAUCGCCUUUGCUGCAUUUGUAAGAUUUUUUACUGGCUCUCAUGUACAUUCACUAAUAUCAUAUCCGUACUAAUGGACAAGAUAUUCCAAUUUAUUUCAGCGCCACCUUGAAUCUAAGACUUCUUCUACUUCAAAUUCUUCAUUAUUGUCUACUUCUAUAAAAAGAAGUAGAGCUUAUCUUCUUCUUGAUAUGUCCAUUGUCUUGUAUGGUUCAAGAAGAGACAUGUGGAAUACUGGAUGGAUUUUUAUUGACUCUGGUAGAUGUAAACGAUAGGCAACUGGAUUGAUUUGAGCAAAAAUAGAAAAUGGUCCAAGCCUUCAAUAGUCCAACUUGUCUUAAGGACGAGUGGUCUUGCUAUUACGAUGAAGUAACCAUACCUUAUCACCCAUGUAGAAUGGUGGUUAUUGCUUUCGAUAGACAUCCGCAUUGAUCUUUUGUUGUUCUUGAGCUUCUUUUAACUAUGCCUUCAUCGUUGCAUGUAGCUUUGACAAAUGAAUUGCCAAAUCUUUCGCAAUAUGAUUAUCAACUUUUGAAAAGUCAAAAGUAUCAAGUCAUGGAUGAUAACCAUAAUUAGCAAAGAAAGGUGUUUGUUUUGUAGAAAAAUGUACCGUGUUAUUGUAAACAAACUCUGCCAAUGAUAAAAGAGUUGUCCAAUCAUCUUAUUGGUAAUUAAUGAUACAUCUUAAGUACUACUUCAAAACUUGAUUAACACGUUUCAUUUGUCCAUCAGUUUGAGGGUGGAAUGGCGAAGAUAGUUUAAUAUCCACUUUUAGAAUCUUCAAAAGAGUUUGCCAAAAUCUUGAUACAAAUUGAGUUCCUUUAUCUGAUAUAAUAUCCUUGGAUAAUCCAUAAUAACGAUAGAUAUUGUCAAGAAAGAACUUAGCUAUUUCUUCACCUGUGAUAGAUUUUGUACAUGAUACAAAAUGUGCCAUUUCGGUAAAACGAUCUACUAUCACAAAUAUAGAGUCAUAAGAAUCUGAGAUUCGAAGAUCCGUGAUGAAAUCCAUAGAAAUAGAAGACCAUGGUUGUUCUGGAAUGGGUAAUGGCUGAAGAAGUCCAUAAGGUCGAUGACAAGGAGUUUUUAAUCUUGAGCAAACAUCACAAGAUUAUACAAAAUCUUUGACUGAUUUUCACAUUUGUGGCCACCAAAAGUCCUUGGAUAUUAGUUCCAAAGUUUUAUUGUAUCCAAAAUGUCCUGCUGUUGGAAAGUCAUGACGAGCUUGAAGAACACGUAAUUGAACUUCACCUUCUGGAACAUAUAAGCAUCCUUCAAAAUAUAGUAGAUUAUUCUUGAAUUCAAACUUGGAAGUAUCAUGAGACUUUGAAGGAUUUUUCUUAAUAUCACGAAUAAGAGGAUCAGAAGACAUACUUGAUUGAACUUGCUUAAUGAAAGUUGAAUCAACAGUUAGUGUUGAUUUCAUUGCUCGAAGAUGAAGAUGUUGUGGCUUCAAGAAAAUUGUCCAUUGUUGAUCAAAAAUAACAUCUCCUUCUUUUGGUGCAAGAUAAGAUCGUCUAGAGAGUACAUCUAAAAAAUCUUAUUAUUUUCUUAGUCGAUAAGUGAUCUUGAAUUCAAAUCUUAACAAAGAUAUAUUCCAAAAAGCUUGGUGACGAUUCAAAACACGUACUGAUAUAAAAUAUUCAAGAUUCUUGUGAUCCGUAUACACCAUGUCUGGAUUAGAAGCACCUUCUAAAUAAUGGCGCCAUUCUUGAAAUGAAUCCAUGAUUGCAAGAAGUUCUUUAUCAUGGAUCUCGUAGUUGAUCUCGACUGCUAAAAAUUUUCUAGAAUGAAAAGCUAUUGGGUGAAGUUUGUCAUCUGUUCCCAUUUGUGAUAAUACGGCACCCAAAGCAAAGUCUGAUGCAUCUGUUUCCAUAAAAAAUGGCUUAAAAAAAUCAACGCAAUACAAGAUUGGUGUAGAAACAAAGGUUGUCUUCAAAGCUUCAAAUGCUACUUCUACUUCUUGAUUCCAUUGAAGUUUGUCUUAGCAAGUCAAACGUGUAAGUGGAGCUGUAACUUGAGAGAAGUCUUUGAUGAAGAUCCGAUAGUAAUUGGCAAAUCCCAAAAAGCAUUGGACAUCUCUUACUGUUUUUGGGAUCUUUCAAUCCAUAAUAGUUUGAACUUUCUUAGGAUCCAUCAUAAGUCCAUCAUUUGAAAUGAUGUAUCUUAAGAAGUCGACUUGAGUAGUGUGAAACACAUACUUUUCUAUCUUGGCAUAGAAUCCUGCAUGUCUUAGUUUUUGUAAUACUUGGCAAACAUGAAGUUCAUGUUCUUUUGGGUUCUUAGAAUAGAUUAAGAUGUCAUCUAGGUAACAGACAAUAAAAUCAUCUAAAAACUCCCAAAAGACAUCAUUCAUUAGAUGUUGGAAUGCUGCUGGUACAUUUGUAAGUCCAAAAGGCAUGACAUUGUAUUCGAAAUAUCCAUAUCUUGUUCGAAACGUAGUCUUCCAUUCAUCUCCUUCUUUGAUGCGUACCAAAUUAUAUACUCCCCAUAGAUCUAUUUUUGUAUAGAUCUUAGCUUGAUUCAACUGAUCAAAAAUCCAGAUAUCAAAGGUAGUGGGUACCUAUUAUUGAUAGUGAUUUUGUUGAGUGCUGGAUAAUCAACACACAUCCGCAAUGAUCCAUCUUUUUUCUUCACAAAUAGAAUUGGAGCUCCUGUUGGAGAUUUAGAAUGGCGUAUGAAAUUCUUGGCUAGAUUUUCUUCAAUAUACUCCUUGAGUUCAGUCAACUCAUUUUGAGAUAAAUUGUAGAUUGGUCCAAAUGGCGGUUGUGCUCCUUCUUGAAGGUCAAUUGAGCAAUCAUAGGAACGAUGUUCUGAAAGAGUAUCCACAUUUUUUUUCUCAAAUACAUCUUAAAAAUCUUGAUAUUGGCUUGGAAUGCCACUUGAAGUCUUACCUCCAAUAGAAACAGGUGUGGCAUAAAUGACACAAGGUGAUCUAUCUUUUGCAGCAUGCAAAAAAGUACUUGCACCUACAAAUAUAGGUUUAAUUAUACUAAACUUAUGACUUUCUACUUGAUUAACUACACUCUUAGUUAUACUUUCAGAAAAUUCAAGACUAUAAGAAGUCUAAUCUAUUUUAGGAUUAUAUUUCUCUAGCCAUGAUAAAUCUAAAAUGACUGGAUUAGAAAGAACUCUAAUGAUAUUAAAUAUUAUAAAACUACUAUGACCAUUAGUUGUUAUUUCUAUAGGAAGGGUUUCAUGAGUAACAUCUCUUGAAGACAACGGACGACCAUCUAUGACUUCUACAUGAACAAGUUUAGUUUUCUUUAUUAAAAAUAUGCUAUAUCUUUUAGCAAAUUUUUCAUCUAAGAAACAAGCUGAGGCUCCUAAAUCUAGCAAGGCAGAGGCUUUGAGAUAUUUAGGUCCUAGAAUAAUAUUUAUUGUAAAAUAUGGAGAGGAUUCUGAGGAGAGGAUAAGACCUUCAGUAGGCAUUUUACAUGUUUCCAGCCGCACGGUCCCUAUUGUAGCUGGACAAAUUUGUUUUCUGACAUGCUAUCUUCUUUGAUUGCCGUACUCCUCAUUUUAUGGUUGCGUCAUUUUUUUGGACAAUAUUGAGUAGUGUGUUUAGGUUCUCCACAAUAUAAGCACAAAUAUUCUUGACGACGACGAGUCUUUUCUUGCUCAAUAAAAAGUUUGAAAUGUACCACAUCAGUUUACAUAUCCUCUACUUUUGAAUGUAUGUAUUGAAUAGAUGUUGGUAUUGCCAUUGAAUUAUAGUAAUGUUGAGGUCCACUUGUACAGUUCUCAGAUCGAAAUUCAAAAAGAUGAUUGUCGCACUUCACAACAAAGUCAAUUGCUUGAUUCAAUGUUUGAAGAUCAGAUAAGUUGAGCAUUAAUUUUUUUACCUCAUAUUGUAAUUUAUGGAGAAAUUGGCUAAUAAGUGCAGCACCAUUCCACUUCAUAUCAAUUGUAAGUUUUCAAAACUGUGAAGUGUACAACGUUACUGAUCGAUUUUCUUGUCGCAAAAUAUGAGUCUAAUUGAUUGCAACACAAAUUAUAUCAUGUUCUCUAUACAUGGAUCAAAACUCCACCAAAAAAGCAUCUAAACUAUCCAAUAUUGGAUCUCAUUGUUUAAAAAAAGAUAAAAACCAUGAUAAUGUUUAACGUGAAAGAAGCAUACUAAUGAAUCUAACUUGCCAUCAUGGAGUUGGAUAGCUUUGGAGUUGAAGUUCAAUCACAAGUUGUACUUGAUUGAUAAAUCCUCUAAACUUUGAUCUGGUGCCAUCAAACUUCUUGGGUAGGAUAAUUCUUGGUUCUCUAAUACUGGAAGUACAUUCCACUAUAUUAGAAGGGACAUGAUGUCUAAUAUCGCUCAAAUCAAAAUAGAAGGGAGGACUUGAGAACAAAGAAAAUACUAAGGAUAAUAUCAGUUUAGAAGAGGGUAAUCCGCAACUUCUAAUAUGCUUAUGUCUUAUCAAGAAAAAAGAGUAAUCCACUCUUAAUCAAGAUUAGACAAAGCUCUCAUAUUGUAAGUGUACUCUUGUCAAUCUGUCAAGAACAAGAACAUGAUAAAGACAAAUAAACGAGUGACACUUCUCUCAAAGAAAGAUGACAAAAUAGAAAUAACUUGAUAUGUAUAUUAAGAAAGAAACUGGAAUGGCUAUUGGUAAAAGACAAGAAAACUAGAGACUCUUGAAACUAGACUAGAAGCAAGAAAAGAUUCAAGGUGGCGUUGAAAUAAAUUAAAAUAUCUUAUCCAUUGGCAUAGAUAUGAUAUUAGUUAAUGCAUAUGGGAGCCAAUAAAGAAUCUUACAAAUGCAAAAAAGGUGGUGGAGGCUUUUUAUCGACGACAUCCAUCAAAAUUAAGAUAAAAACUUUUCAUAUUAAAAAAAAAAAAAAAAAAAAAAAAAAAAAAAAAUCUAGGCAAGAUACCAUUCUACUUUCAAUUCUUGUUUGUAGCUUCUUUGUAAUUGUGAUGCUAAGGAGAUGGAGAACCAACAACGAAUGGAUUCAACUCAAGAACCUUCAUUUGUUGACCUGUCAGAUUAGACAUUGCAAUUGUCACAACCUUGAAGAUGAUGCAAUAGAGAUGAAGAUACUCAAGAAUGAUAUAUUUUUCAUCAAAUAGAUGAUAAGAUAUAAGGCGUUUGGUAUCAUGACCUUCAAAGAGACUCCCAAUAUUUGGUAAUUUUAUUAGAGGUAGAAACAAUUCCUCAUGAUGUUUCAAAUAUUUUAUUUGAAUGAAGUUAUGAAGGCCUCAACAAUGAUGAAAUAACAGGGUGGUUUUUUUGCCCAAGUAUGGGACACUAUUGAUGGUUAAGAUGCCCUAUCAACCAUUUUUGAAGAAAACAAAGAUCUGAGUAUGUAGCAAAUACAAUUCAUCACAUCAUAGAUUUUCUCAACAUACGAUGACCGCUCCUCGUAGAACUUGUCCCUAAAAGGAAGGAUAAUGUCACAGACAUAUACUUGUAAGCCAGUAUUUACCUAUAUAAAUAUGUAAAAAUAAGUAGAAGUAGGUAAAAAUAAAUUAAUUCUAUAAUAUCUUCUAUAUAAGCUUCAUAGAUGUACUUUGACUUUAUAAGUAUCUAUAAUUGACUUUUUAGGUUAAAAAAGUGGUGAAAAACUUGGCCAUGUGCCACAUAUAUUGUUAGCAUGAAGACGAAGCUAACUAUGUAGCCUACACGUAGAAAAACUUAUCUUAUAAGUCAAGGCAUGUGUUCUACAAAGUCAACACAUAUUGGAGGUCAUAUAAAAUAUCGCCACGUAGCCCCUAGUUAGAUAGUAUAUAUAGAGACAAGAAUGAAGCCCUCUUCUUUCUUAUCAAUUCCUUUCUUGCUUCAAGCCUAGUUUCAAGAGUCUUAAGUUUUCUUGUCUUUUGGUAAUAAGCCAUUCCAAUUUAUUUUUAAUAUAUGUACUUCCUUAUUUCUAUUUUGUCACUCUUUCCUUGAUACAUAUUUCAUUGGUUUAUGCAUCAUUUUUUAAUUCAUGUCUUUGACAAUAGCAUCCAUGAUUUUUUCUUCCAUUUCAAAUAACUUAAUAAAUCCACAAAUCAAAUAGAGGAUAGUAAUCCGCAACUUCUAAUGUCAAAUAGAAAUUUCUAUAAAGAAGUGUGAUCUUUGCUCUUUAAGAAAAAAAUUCAAGAUUUUAGAUAACAAAGAAUGUUAGUUUAAAAGUAAGUGGUUGACAAUGUUUGAAAUAUAAUAAUAGAAGUGAGAUAAUCCAUUCACUUUUUAAAGUUAGAUAUGUAAUUUUUAGAUAGAUAGUAAUUUAUUUUUAUCUAUGUAUAUUAUUUAGAUAAUUAAUAAAAUAAAUAUGUCUAUAAUACUUAUAUUUUAGCCAAACAAUAAUUAAACUUUUUAUUGAUCCUUUAUUUUUUGGCUAAAAACUUGUAGCUAAAAAUAAUGAUUUGAUUCACACCAUAAGCCAAGUUAGGCAACAAGUACUAUCUAUAAUCAAAGUAUUAAUUAAGUUUUUUGAAUAUUUCUAUCUUUAUUAAUAUUAUUGCAUAUGUACAAGAUCCAAGCCAAUUAAUCAAUAAAUCAAUGAUAUGGUGGUUAAUGUUAUAAAUGAUUUGUGUAUUCAUAGAAUACUUCUUUUUCUUGUCAAAGAUUGCAUCUUUGUUAUUUUUUGGAUGCUAGCUCAAGGAGAAUUAUGUCCCAUUGAUAAGUCCAAUGCAAUGUUUGAAGCCAAGUAGGUUGAAAGAUUGGCUAAUUUAAAGCCUUUGAGUAGUAUUUGGCCAUUAUUGGUACUAUUUUUGGAAUAAAAAAAUAUCAUAAAUUACUUAAUUAAUAAAGAGGUACAAGAUGCUAUUAUCAAUAUCCUAUAUAAUUUAUUUUUUUCAAUGAUAGCUCUAUUCUCCUUUGACUUAAGAUACUCUAAUGCUAAAGUCAAUUGCUAAGCAAUAUUGGUUUGUGGGCAAUGGCUCUUAUUACUAAAAACAAAGUGGUCUUUAAUGAAUGAAAAUACCAUCUAAAAGCUCUUUUGCAACAUUCUUGAUAUUUGGCAAAAUUUGGCAUUAUACUCAUUUAUAAAAUAAUUCAAAAUCUAAUUGUAUAAUUUAAAUAUAGGAUUUUAAAAGAAUAUGAAAUAAAAAUUGUUGAUUGCAUCAUGAAUUAUUAGAUGUUCUCUUAUAUCAUCAAAUUUAAAAAAAUGGUCUUGAAACUUGAUAUCAACUUAUUGGCAUUAUUCUUUAAAUAAUUUAUAAAAUUCCUUAUUAAGUGCAAAAGUAGUCAAUAUUUUUAAAUCUGAAAAGAUCUACUAUUUUUUAAAGCGCCAAGGCAAAGUGUUAGGAGGUGUAGCAUGGAGUGAAAGAAAAAAGAGAGUUGAGGUAAGCAACAUAGUUUUUGAUAUUUGAUCCAUCUUUUUUUUUGCUAUUUUAAUUUCAAAAUCACCCACUUUGCAAGAUAUAUGAUUUGGUGAAAUAUCUCAAGAUACUUAGAGCAAAUAUUACAAGUGAAAUAUUACCCAAAAAAAGCCAUGUUUGAAACUCUCUAAUAUCAGUAUAAAACUUUGAUCUGUGAAACUUAUAUAGUAAAGAGUUUUUUUAAAAAAAGAUGUUGUAUAAAUUAGAAUAUUUUAUACUCUUAAAGUUUUUUAUUCUUGUUUUCUAAACUUUAAUUGGUUAUUAAGUAUUGAAAAAAAUAUAUCUUUUUUUUACAAUUAAUCUAUUUAAUUGUAUCCUAUUUUUACUAAAAUAAAGUAAUUUUUUUUGGAUAAGUACAAUCCAAAUCACUUUAAUAAGCUUCAAAUAUAAAAUAGCCUUCUACAACCUAAUUUCUACAAAUACUUCUAAAAUAUAUUUUUCCAAAAUCUUGAUAAUGUUGUGGUCAAAUGUUUUUCAAUAGAAGUGGUAUUUCUUUUUGUUUUGUUUUUUAUUUUUAUUUUUGUUGCUUUUCAGUUCUUUGCUUUUCUACUUCUGCAAAAGUUCAACAUUUAAAACACAUGAAUUUUAUAUGUAAAAUUUUAUAUUAAACAUGAUAUUAUUUGAAGCAAUUUAUAACAGCCAUAAUGUGAUGUAUUAUUGUAUUAGCCCUUGGAAUACUUGUCUUUUGGCAAAUAAAAAGCCAAAAAUAACAGGCAAUACCAAACAUACAUCAGCACAUGAUUUAUCACUACCCUUACUGUUAUUGUAAUGAAAUGGUAUUACUUGGUCCAAUUAUGAACAUUUAUCUUUCUGCUGCUUGGAUAUUAAGUAUGAAAUUCUCAUUUUAGAAUUUAUGUACUUAUAAUAUUGUAAGCAAUUAAAUAUUUUUUUGUGAAAUAUAAAGUUUCAGAUAAAUAGUGAUAAUAGAAUACAAUUUUUUUUAAACAAGCCAAAAGUAACAUUACAUUUUUGGCUUGUAUUGACUUACUACUUCACCUCUUCUCAUGUCUCAUCAUCUGUUCAAGAAGGGAUACAAAGACAAUUGUGCCCAUAUGUUCUUAGUAUUCCAACUUUGAGAAAGAUCUUUAAAGAAUAUUGAACAAACAAACAAACACAAAAUAAAUAAAUAAGUAAAUAAAAACUCCUAGAAAAGAAGUAAGAGGAGGGAGGCAAAAGAAGUCACAGUGGAAUGAUGUGCAUUUACACCAAAAGAUAUGGCACAUCAGGAAUCUGUGCGAAGCUCUCGAAUGCCAUAUCCUCAUUGAAAGUGUACCUUUUCAUGCAACAUCAUCUCAUUUUGACAAUCACCAACCUCUCUCUCUACAUUAUUAUGAUGAGGAGGAAGAAGAGGUCAAUGCCAUGAGAUCCAGCUUUGUACACCAUGCAAAGAAAAUCUGUACUUCAACUGAAUUUGCUCUUACUUAUCACUUCUCUUUGCAUACUUUAAUAUUUCAUCUCGUAUAUAUAUAUAUAUAUAUAUAUAUAUACAUAUACACAUGUACAAACAGACAGAAAAUACCAUUCCAUCACAAUGACAGUCAGGCUAAUGAUAAACCAAGUGCUAAUGUCCACAAUUUUGACACUAGUUCGCAUCGUUCUUCUGUGUUCUGUUUGUUUUCUUGAAGCUGUUGUUGUUAUUUGUUUGUUUGUUUGUUUGUUUGUUUAUUAAUGCAGUUGUUUUGCAGCGGCAACGUAUCAAGAGAGAGAGAGAGAGAGAGAGAGAGAGAGAGCUAUGGGGUGGAGGUGUUGGAGCACUGGCGUGUCGGCGGCGACGCCGAAGCACAAGAUAAACAUGAGACUGAGACGCAAAGCCAGGCGAAGGGAUGGGAGAAUCAUGUUUCGUGUGCGUCCGCGGCGGAGGUGACGACGAUCGCGCACCACAUCUUCGGAUCUUGCUGCUGGUGUGAACAAUGAGGCGGCGGAAUGGUGGGCUCUAUUGCACACAUGCACCUCUGCGUCCCCACCACGUUCCGCAGCUUAGCCCCAGGAGCAAUCCCGGGGAGGAAUGAGCACGACGUCACGCGCCUUGCGGUGCCUGCAUAUACCAGGCUUUCACGCACAGCUAACUGCAAACUCAAAAAGAUAUACGCUUCUUUGAUACAGCAUUAGCCUCCGGAACUAACCCAUAUGUCGUAUCGAAAGGAGGAAGAUGACCACGUAUGAGCAAGCAAAAGAUCUGGAUGCCUCGGCACCUGCAUGCCAAAAAGCCUGCACUGUCUGAAAGGAGUGCGGGUAUCGUACUGUACACAGGAGUGAUAUCAAGCUUGCUGCCGCAUUCACUGCUGUCAUAGGCGUGGGUGGGUCGUAGGGUGUGGGAAAAUCUGAGAGGUGAGAGCUUGUCAGCAGCCCCCAGUUGCGCAUAAUUCUGGCAACUUUUUCUCCACAGAAUGAUUCCCUGCAUGUUGUGAGCGGUCAUGAAAUCAUUGGGAGUCACUGUGGAUGAUGGCAAGUUGUUGCGGAAGGUGAAAGUCAACGGAAUAGAUUCUUUGACGCCGUGAGCAUAUUCUGCCAGUCUCGAGGGAACUUCUUCAUUGGGUGUGUUGCAUGGACGGUCGGGCACAGCAGGCAGCGGGAAUUUUGCAUGCACUGGCCGUGGCUAGAAUUUUUAUCGAAAAGGAUGGGGAAAAGCCACGGGAGCUGAGCUAGAGAAUCAUUCGGCCAUGAUGCCGCUGGUGCUGGUGGCGCCGCGACAUCGAUCUUCGCAUGGUUACCAGCCACUAAUCUGUCACGAUGAUAAAUCUGUGACAAGUUGCCUCAGCCGCUGUCAACGGCUUGUCGAGUUGCUGUACCCGCAAUGCAGUGGAGUCGCUUCGAUGCGUGAUCUCACCCAGGCUGGUGGUGAUUUGAUGAAUCCGCGCCGACAGCGACUGGGGGAGAUCCUGGCACUUUCUUUUUCUAAUAUCCAGCGAUGCUGCCUGGAACAAAUUCUAUGCAGAUUCAAGGAUCAACUUCCUGAUGCAAACACGGGAGAAUAUGAAGAAUCGACAGAGAAAUGAGUGGCGCAGAAAUGUGUAUAGAAACCGAAUCAUAUAGUUUUACUUCACCACAAGUGGUCUAAUCACUCCUUACAGAUGUGCCUUGGCUGAAAAUAGUACAGACUAAUGGUUCCAGCAAUCAAUAGCUUUACAGGAGCACAUUUAAAAUAGUUGUUCACAACCCUAAUAAGUGGACGUGUCCGCAUCUUAGCCCUAAGUUCGGCCAACUAUUCGGCCAGCAAGUCAACGAUCGAUCGAUCGCAGCAAGCUAGGAUAACCUCAAAUAUUACAUGUGAAUGUUUGGAAACUAAAAAGUGAGGAACCCAGCAAGAGGCUCGACAGAUGAGAUUGCCACAAGACUGCAAGCAGGCUCUCAGAAUCAACUCCGAAUUUCCUUGACAUGCGAUUCGUGUCCGAUUGGGAAAAAAUUCUCGAGGUAGUUCUGGUCUCUUCGGAGACACUCGAUCUUCGCGGUUGAUCUCCAUCACGCUCAUCGUUCCCAUCGUCGCUCAUUCAACCCAAAAUUUGUUGCCAAUGUACCCAUACCCCUGUCGUGGUGGUUAAAUUUUUACACUACAGCUACUGCCCAAUCCCGUUAUGUACACGUCCCGCGCCCACAUAGAUUAUGGCCCGUCCAUAGGGACUCCUUCCGUAAUCAAAUCCUUCACUACAUAAACCUGUGUAAAAUCAUUUGUACAUUUUGUUGUUAAACCCCGUCUCCAAGUUGGGGUUUGCAGACCUAAGCCACCGCUGCAAUCUUGGCCUCAGUAAGCCCACUCAGGUUGAAGCCCAUCGAUGCAUCCGGCCACCUCUGGAAGGCUAGAAUACCAUCGGUAGCGGAGCAUUCUUGACUGGUGAUCAUCACCGAACGUACCAUCUGUGAGGCAAGAUAGUUGGCCACUCUCCUCGGUCACGGUUUGCAAUGGCGACAGAGGAGAAUCACAGGGAAUCUCCUGAUCGUAGAGCACAUUGUCGCUGGGCCAAGCAAUGCAAUCCAGAUUCAACUUCCCACUGCUUUGUGCCUCGUCCUCGCCCUCGUUUGAUGUGUAGGAUGCCUCCUGCUUCGCUCGAAUGCGGUUGUUCCCAAGGAGGUUGUCGAAGCACCUCAUGGGUGUCGACGGAUGUGCGAAAAUGCUCUGCGGGAUGCUGGCGUGGUUCAGCAUGCCUGAGUUAAUCGCGUUCUGGUUGUAGUAUGUCUCCUUCAUCAAGUUGUCGGUGUCCAUAGCUGAGGGGACCAUAGAAAUCGAGCCAGGGACCUUGGAGUUGGGCAUAGUGUGCACCCACUGGACAGGGAGCGCAGUGGCAACAUCGCCUAGGGCUAAAGAGACAUCCUGUGGGUAACUAUCUUGGCAAUUGUAGCAUGAAUCGGUUCCCGUGCAUGCAUCGCACUCCCCUGAGUCCGUCACAGCGGGGUUCGGGGAACUGUCACGUUGCAGCGCCGAAUGCGAGUCGAUGAGCUGGUAGGGCGAGUCACCAUGCGUGACGCCGGACUUCUUAUUGCCGAUAAACUUCUGAAAGACGCGGCAUAUCACCCAUUCGUCUUGCUGCAGUUCGCCACCAGCAGUGCAUAUCGAUGUUAAAAAACUCCCUUCAAAAGAAGCAUUCAAUAGCAUGUGUGCAGUGCAUUGAUCACAUGAGAGAGCAGAAAUACGCUAACUCUAAGAGAAUUGAAGGGAUGGAUAGACCUUGGGUCCAAGGGAUUGCUGGCCGUGGAAGCGACUUGUGGAGUCGCGCUCCAGCCGAUAUUCAUGCAUGAUCCAGUUGGUCUUCACGCCGCGAGGAGCGCGUCCCAUGUAAAAAACUAGCGUCUUCUUCAUGCCCACCAGCGAAUGAGUGCCGGAGUUCAUGACAUCCCUGUCUUUGCCAGUGGCCUUCCAGUAGCCUGUCUUCGUGGCUCGGUUGGUUCGCGUUCCAGUUGGAUACUUCCGGUCCCGAAGACUGUAAAAAUACCAUUCCUUCUCCCCUACCUUCGCUUUCCCUGCGCAAUCGUCACCCACCCAGGAAACCAAACCUCAGCCCAAAGUCGAUAUUAAUUCGUCCACACACGCAAAGAUCGGCGCACAUCACAUUAAUUCAAAUGAUUUCGAAGGGAUUGAGGGAUUGAGUUACCUGGAAGGUCCCACGGCUCACAUUCGUUGAAGUCCACCACGCAGAUAGUCCUCACUUCGAAACGAGGGUCCCUGACCUUAUUAGCUAGGUAGAAGGUCACGAGCUCUUCGUCCGUGGGGUGGAAACGGAAACCGGGUGGGAGCUCCAUAUUGCAAUCCUGUCGAAUGCCUACAAUUUUGGAAACGUUGCACAUGCUUGCCAUGCAAAGAAUGAAUACCAGCGAUCACGAGCGUAAUUUCAAGAGCGACCUCGAUUUUUCUGCUAACGACACCGGUGGAAAAUUGCAGGGAGGAAGGCCAGUAAGGAAAGUGUUUGAGGAUCAUAGCCUGUCUUCAGAGCCAAAAGAAUGGAUCGCUACAAGUGAGAGUCCCAACUCACAUGAAAUAAGGAGUCUUCGGGGGAUGAGAGACUGACGAACUGGCGGGACCUUCAAAAGAGAAGGACUUCAAGUGCAUGACCCACGGAAAAGGCGGAAUGAUUCUUAAUCAGCAAGAAACACGGGAUCAGCUCAGACAGGAAUUUCUAGGCUCGGUCGUAAGCGGAGCUCUAACCUUGAGCACUAAGGAGUCGUCACGGAAGUCACGUCAAGUCCAGGUUGGGAGAGGGAGAGAGAGAGAGAAAGAGAGGAUAUAAGCAACCUGGUGCAAAUUGUGUUUCAUUCCACUAGAUCCAAAGGUUACAGGCGGGUGCCUAUGUCACCAAAAAGGAACAAUAGAAAAGAAAAAAGAACUAUUAAUUGCAACCCGGAUGGAUUAUAGAAGUUUCGAAUCUAAGCGUCACGAGCGAACUAGAAACCAGCAACCGUGGCUAGCCAAGGUCUGAAGAGAGAAGGUGAGCACAGCGAGGAGUUUGCAAUCAGAUCAUGUCCCACAUGGAAGAAUAGGUACAGGAAAGUCUAAUUGCAAGAUGUAAGAUUUUCCGACGACGAGGAAGAGAGGACAGGACGCACAAAUCCUUGAGCUUCAGACCUUUGAAUUUGUGGGACUUUCGCAUAGAAUACCAAAGAUCCUGUGCUGCUGCAACUCGCAUGUCCGUCUUCUCACUUACUCUGAAACUUUCCGGUUUCCUGAAGGGGUCCGCAGAUUACGGAAUAAUUGCAGCUCGUGCGGAGCGCGGAGUCAUCAACCUGCUGCACGCCUACGCGAACACCUCGCACGUGUGAGAAUGUGCACAAGCGACCAUGAAAUUCAACAACCAGGUGCACAGUUUGAAGAAUUAGGAGCCACGCUAGUCAAGAACAAUGCGCACGGUGCACGGCUUUACAUCAAGCCAAUUGCAUCUAUCUGAUCUGCGACUCCACCUCUCACCCCUCUCCAUCCACUAAAAUUACACACCUAAAGGCCCCUAAUGCCACGACGAAGACAGGACAAUAGCUAGCCUUAAAGCUCCUCACAGCCGACACUCACGGGGUAUCACCGGACCCAGCGCCUCCCCUUCCGAGCACAGAAUCUACGUCGGCGUAUCUGACAGCUACCAGGAAGCGCCCCCCUCGCCCAACGCUCUAGCUUCUACACAACUAAAGCAGUAAUCCAACAGAAUAUUUACAUAUAAAUAAUCUGCACGAGCACACUUCGCUCAAAGAGCAGCUCGCCGUUGCCACCAAGCGAUACUCCUUCAGCAACCGGUUAAGUUUUAAGACGAUCCUCGGCCAAUCAAAGUGAUCUAUAAACCUCACCUGACGACUGUAACACAGUAUGCGCAUCCCAAACCAACCUCGCAUCCCAAGUUCCAAACACCAUCCAUGCAAAGAAAAAAAAAACCACCCUCCUGUUCCCUUGACCUGAACCAAACCUACCGUCGUCUACACUUCAGACCGACUUGUCACCAUUCGCAUCAUCCUUACGUAGAUCGAAUUCAACGAGUAAGGGAUGCCCAAUUGUUCAACACCCCAUUCGCACACAGCAGAACUACUCAGACCAUCGCGAUGAAUCUGCUCACCAGAAUCAAACGACUAGCCAGCUGGGGGAGCGCGUCGGGUGCAGACGAGCAGAUCGGCAAGUCCUGAAGUUCUGAGGUUACGUCCGCAAGUCAGGGAGCGGUGAUAUGGAUGAGCUUGAAGCAGAGAGAGAGCACAGCAGUGGGCGUGGAAGGCGAAGGAGCAGAAGAGCAGCAAGGAGACAAGAGGGGAGUGGAGCUGGAAGAGGGACAAUUGGCACGGCGUGGUGAAGAAGAGGGGUCGGAACCCAGACAGUGAGAAACAAAAAAAACAAAACAAAACACAAACAGUUUGAACCGCAAGAUUUUGGUGGAGUGGCCGAGGCCGCGGGGGUUAUGAAGGCUGUGGUUUUCUAGUUGGCCUGGCCCGCUGCUGCCCACAUCGCGCUUCUAUACUUUCCUUCCUUCCCCAUGGACGACCAUCCCAACUCUCUAACUCUACGCCUCGCCCGUUUCUCGCCCCCUAUUCUACCGCCUCGCUGGCCUCUUCCGACCUCCCUCCUACCAGGCAGGCGGCUUUUCCUCUGCUCUACGCAUGAUCACAUCCUGCGAGCUGCUGCCCCGUGAAGCGACGCAAGCCUGGUUUAGUUCUAUCUCUUUCUAGCCGGAUGAACCCCCCACUCCUGCCCACUCCCUGCAACUUUGCCGGACGUCUGCAGCAACUCCCUUCCCCUCCCUGCUGCUGCCGCUUUCAACCCGGUUUGACCUCGCUAUAGUAACUACUGGCAUUUUCCCCAUCGAAAAGUGCAGUUACUUCUAUAGUUUGUGUAUUAUAUAUGUGUGACUGUUAGUGUGCAGAUCUGUUUGGGUUUGCAGAGUUGCCGAGCACUGUUGAACUGUUUUUCACCGCGAGUCACGUUUGGGUUAACGUGAGAGAGGUUGACUAUUGUGGCCUCCCUUCUCUUUCCCCCUUCUCAAUCCACCCUGAGCAGUGUGGAAAUUCACCAUCUCCGUCCUCCUAGCCCAUCCACUUGCUUGGAGGGACAUUAGGAUUCCAACUUCUUCCUAGCCAUCAGUGUUGCUUUCCCACACUGCACAUAGAAGAAGUUUGCACACAAUGCUCUUCAGUUGUGUGGGUAUUUUAUUGAGCUCCAGUGGAUGGGUGUGUAAAAAAGAAGGCGGCUGAAGUCACAGUUGAAGGGCUUUUCUAUUUGUGAGUGUAUUAAUGGAAAUCUAUAUAUAUAUACACAUGUGUGUGUGUGUGUGUGUGUGAAAAUGGUGACAAAAUGAGUCCAGACAGACCACGUGUGUAGAGAUAUAGGCUUCACUUCUUUAAACUCUCUUCGAAAAGGAUGAAACACGCACCGAAAAAAUAAACUAAACUGAGACAAAAAAACACACACAAAGAUAACGAAAAGAACAAAAGAAAAAGAAAAUACUGCUCUACGCAUCAGGACAACCAUUCCAAAAGUGCAUAUGCUCCAGCCCUUAAUUGAGGAGACCUAUUGUUAUUAGUAUUAUUGUUAUUAUUGAUUCUAGGUCUUUUGUUAGGCAUGAGUUUCUCAGCAUGGAUUAUCUGAAGCCAAAGCUAAAUUUGCGUAGUGAGGAUACUUUGAAUAAAGCUUAAAAUAGCAUUGCAGCAGAUGCUUGCUCACCUGGGAAUAUUAGGGUUUUGAUUGGCUUUUCUACGAAUGAAGCAUUUGAACGAAAGGGUCCACAGGUUGCAUUCUCGAAAUUGGCUAAAGGAGAGUUCUUUUUAUACUAAUCUGUAAUUAAGAAAGAAUGUUGGUGAAAAUUGGUGCCCAGGCUGUGAUGCGAUUCCCUUACUUUUUGCAGACAUGCACCACAAUCACAUGGUUGACUUGAUUUCAAAAUUAUAAAUAAAAUAUCAAAUCCUGAAAACCAAUGUUCUUUUUUAUAGUACAAUAAACUUCAUUAAGGGUGGUAGGUGUUCAAUUUUCUUUCUUGCUUUCUGUCUUUCUUCUUUAUAUUUUAUUUUAAUUGGGAGUUGACAACUUAUUCAACUUACUGAGUCAUCAAACAUUUAUUCUAGGAAACGAACAAACAAAAUUAGUGCAUCUAUAAUUAUUAUAUAUAUUUUUAAAUAAAAAAAAUAACAAAAUAAACGCAGAAAUCUAGAAUUAAGUGCAGUACUCCUUCACUUGAUUCUGAAUCUUUAUUGAUAUUGAAGUUUUGAAAAGGAUAAACAGACAUUUACUCAUUUUACAAAAACCACCAAAUUCACAGGGUGGGGCAACUUUUUCUUCAUGAAUAUUUCAUUUCUUAAAACCUUUUCAUCCCAAUUCUAUACAUAAUAUAAAAAUGAGGAGAACUGAAAACAAAUCAAAGUGAAAAUGUAAUGUCAUUUCUUACUUUUUAAAUCUUCUUCAUAUUGUUGUAGAAAUAUCAUGUGGGGAGUUUCUAUGUCCCUCACACCAAUUUAUAAAGGAAAUAUUCUUAUCAACUGUGAGUCUGAACAAAGAAAAAAUAAUGGAAAACUGAACUUUUGUGACAAUAUGUUAAAAUCAAUAAACCAGAUGCUUUUGAUAUUUUUUGAUGAGAAGCUUUGUAGUCAAUGUCCCUUGCAAAUGCUUUCCCUUCCUUUGAUGCUGUUUCUGAAUCUUAGCUCAAUCAUAUGACUUCAUCAUGUGGGUUUGGCACAUCUUUUUUGGUGUACACUCAUACUCAACUAUUCAAUUAUUCUCAAAUGAACCCUUAUUAUGCUUCUGUAAUAUCUGAAUAACCCCAAAUUAUUUCACAAGACUAAGUUUACAUUUAUUUUACUUUAUUUUAUUUUUCGUUCUCUGGAAUUUAUCAUCACUGAAAGUAAAAUGAUGAAAUUUGAACAUAAGUAUAAGCCAUAAGGACUUCCAUCCUGAAAAAGGACUAUAAAGAAAAACUAGCUCUUGAUGAAUGAGUAUUUAGUGUUUACUUAAACAACACAAACAUAUUAAUUUAAAAAAAAAAAAAAAAAAAAAAAAAAACACACACACACACACACACACAUAUUCAUGUAUGAGUGUGUGUGUGUGUGUGUAUAUAUAUAUAUAUAUAUAUAUAAUUUUCUUGGAAGCCAAAAUAAAAAUUCAUUUUUACCGUCUUACUUCAAGGACAAUGCCAAAUCAUUGGUGUUUGUAUUUAUGUUUUGUAUUGGUUUCAUUAGUGUAGUUGUGGCUAAGAAUAUUCACAAGUCAAUUGUUGCUUUCAUGUGAAGGAAAAAUUGGGCCCUACAUAAAAAUGAUUAACGGAGUAAAAUGCUCAAAUUACUAGUCAAAUUUUGUCUUAAAAAAAGAGAGAGAAAAAAAAAUAUGAUUAUUUAAUUGAAAGGAUUGCUUUGUUGAUAAUGAACAUAAGGCAACACUGUAACGGUUGAAUUGAAGGACAUUUGUCUAAACUACUUGGUUAAUAAGAAUACAAAUUAAGACAUCAUAAAAUCACAAAAUGAUAUCUGUUAUUAUUAUUAUUAUUAUUAUUUAUUUUAGUGUGAAAGAAUUUGACAAUUCAAUGGAUUUGAGUGUGGUAUUCAUUUUUCCAAAAUUUAAUCUAAAAUAUUUUUAGAAUUUUCACUUUCAAUAGAUAUAAAGGGAUGUGUCAGUAUGGAGAUUUUAUUAUUAUAAUAAUAAAUAAUAAUAAGAAUUUUAUAAUAUCAUUCUGUAAGCACCAAGUGAUUCAAAACGUGUUGCAUUUGAAGCUUCAUCAAUGUUGAGAGUGACAUCCCGAUGAAGUUAAGUUUUCUGUGAUUCUUCCAAAUAAAAUAUAACAAGCUGCCAAAUCAUUUCCACAACUGUCGAAUCAACUUCAUCAAAAACUCAAAUACACUCCACUUUAUUCUUUAAAAGAGUUCAGCAGUAUUUUAGAUUAAAUUUGUGGGCUUCUUUUGUUUUAGGACAUCAUGAAGAAACAACUAGAAUGAAAUAUAUGUAGAAUAAAAAACAAUUACUCGUCACAGUUUCAUUUAUUUGUUUAUUUAUUUAUUGAAGUUUUUAUAUAAGCAAAAACUUUUACACGGUUGCAUUAACAGGUGUCUUACUUGUACAUGUCUCAGUUUUCAAUACAACACCCAAAUAGGCUCCACACAACCCAUUGUAACUGCAAAGGGGAAGAAGUUGAAGCACAAGGCAAAUACCUCUGAGGAAGUAUUUCCAGGAGGGGGCUUGCCUUUUGAUGCCCCAGUUUAUCUCACUUCACAGACACCACCACCACUUCAAAACAAAGGUGAAAUACACAUCACCACACGCAAUCCUUCCAGCAACCCAUCCAUCCACAUUUCUUAGAUUUUUUGUUUAUUGUUUGAACACGUUUUUUUAUUUUUAUGAUUUCUUUCGUUUUCACUGCUUCUGGGUGACGAUGGGAGGGGCUUCAUUGGAUGUAAUGACUGUGCAUGGAUGUCUUCUCCUGGAGCCGUAUGAUCCAAGAGCUGGAUGAUGAAACAGUCAUUGACAACUGGACCGACGCUGGCUUAAUUUGGCGAAGCAAGUCCAAUGUGUGUAUAUAUAUAUAUAUAUAUAAGUAAAUAUAACUCAUUCAUUGUCUGUUUACCAAUUUGGAAAAAACAAACACACACACCCACUCUUUCACUCUAUCUUGCACACAUUUUGGAUGUGUGUCACUAGGAACCCUAGCAAGCAGGCUGUGUUGUUGUUUGUUUCCUUUUGGCCCAGCCCCCUGGUCUGGCUUCUGGGGCACUUGGGGCAUGAUCAAAGCCCUAGAAUUGUGGGCUUUUCCAGCACUAACUUGUUGCAUCACCACCAUCACUGCUGCUGUUGCCGAAGCCCACAUGGUCCACAAAAACCCCCCUCCCUCCCUCCCUCCCUCCCUCGCUCGCUUGCUCCCUUUCUACAGUACCACGCAGCACGUGUGCUAGAAGAAAGAUAGAACCCGCAAGCAAAUUGGUACUAGUAAAAUUCCCACAAGUCUAACGGCGACGUCAAACGAGCACCAGUUGCACCAAUAAUACAAACACCAUUGAUGAGCUUCACCAAUGUAGGAAGAUGGAAGAGUUGGCAGGAAAAUGAUUGUGGAGAUAUUGUGAAUGAGGGAGGAGGGAGGUGGCGGUUUGCAAGGCCUUGUACUUACUGCACAUCUUGUCACUCAGAUUUUUUUCAUUCAGUGAGGCCAUUGAUUUUUUGUAACUGUACUUUGGGCUUUUCAACAAGGAAAGACAACACAUGGAGAAUAGUGCAUCAUUGCACCGGAGUGACGCAUCAUGCGGGUAACUAAAUUGGCCACUGGUUGCUGGGUGACGUGAGUUGUGAUCUCAGUUCCCCAUUUUUAUUUUGUUUUUGUUUUUGUUUUGUGCUAGUGCAAACGAAUUCUUGAAAACCGUGGCAGCAGCAGGGACUAGGCAACCAGCGCCGCAGCUCGGGAGUGGAAGCCGCGAGGGUGUGGCAGUUUUUUUUACCGACUUUGCUGGAUCAUUCCCCAUCGUAUUACCCACUGCCAGAAUGCAAAGGGAGCCACGCGAUGCCUGCCACUUGGACUUGGGGUGUGUGCUCAGGAAGCAAAAAAUAAUAAUUGGUUUGUUGUUAUUUUAUAUUGGAUUUUACACCCAGUAUGCUGCAUGAUCCCCCUCCCCCCCCCCCUGGUGCCAUUCCUAGAGGAUAAAGCAGUCCAGACAAGGCAGCAGACCCUAAUGCUCAUCCAAGACAUUGAGAAGACGAAGAAGAGGAGUAGACACUAGUCUGGAUCUGCGAGCUGGAGCCGAUUGAUGCAGGCUUGGAACAAUUUUAAAGGAUAUCGGGAGAGGGAGAAUGGAGCCGAGAUGGUUGCAUCGAUGGCAGAACCGAGCAGGAGUUCCAUCUAGUUGUUGUGAAUUAGUGAGAUUGGCUCUUUUGGGUGCGUCACCUGCGUCUACCUUGGACUUCAAAGGGCGAUGGAGGUAACUGGGGAUGGACACGGGGAUUAUUUUUACUCCAGGUCAAUAAGCUUGAUGGCCGUCCUCCUUAUCCAUCCACAUCACCGUUGCAUGCAUGACAGUGUCGAUUUAGCUGGGAUUUUUUCUUUUUUUAUUUUACCCAAAAACCAUUUGCCGAAAAUGGUAUAAAAAUCGGGAUGGAUUGUGCGGCUUCGAUGAUUGGGCAGUGGGACCCGCGCAGUUUAUUGAUAUCUCGGUCAAGCGUUCCCGAGACAUUCUUCCCAAAGUGUGGCUGAAUGAUGUGAUUUUAUUCCCUCUGGAACGACCAGGGCAAGGCCGAGUUGGGCGGACCCACGCCGAUCCACAGUGCUUGCGGACUGUGGGAUAGGCGCUGCAAGCUUUGGCACUGAGGCUUUGAAUGCUCCCACGAGCGUCCACCGUGUCCUUGCCUCGCUACCCCCCCUAUUGUUCCUUUGGGAAUGUGUCACUGCAAAAGAACUUCUGGCUUGGAAUUCAUGGCCACCAUCGAACAGCAGAAACAGACACGCAGAACCUCUCAAUCGCUCCCAGUAUUCCUGCAAUAUGGCAAAAUUAGCUUCAACAAAGUUGCGCAUUCUGUCCGCUGGCAUUAGGCAAGCUUCCAGACUGUGGAAGUCGACACGAUCUCACAAAUUUCAAUUGCGAUUCCACUUUGUUCUCUCCCUUUCUCGUAAAAUAAAUAAAUAAAGAAAUAAAAACUUACAGAAAAUGGAAUAAAAAUUACCAGCGCUUGCACAUUCCUCCGCAGCAAUUCCCAAGCUUAGAGCCACUGAGCACCAAACCAGAGCCUAUUGCUGGAACCUCUGGAUUUUAAAAUUGUUGUCCUUAGGCUGUGUACCAUUCUAUGAUAUGAGUCCUGAUUCUCACUUUCCAAGGCAAUGACUACAAGACAUCACUUUCAGAACACUUUGUGCAAAGGGUGGAACUCUUGUAAAAAAUAUAUGUUAAAUUCCAAAAGAAAAAAGAAAAAAGAAACAAACUAACUCUUUUUUUCUUUUCACAACAAAUGGUUUCGAAUUCAGCAUAAGCUACAAGAAAGUUAGAAUAUGGGAUGACGAAAGUGGGGUCUGUGCAUGUUUCUGCAGAAAAUCAGCAAAAGAAAUGGUGAAAGAAAAAACAGAAACCACAUGCUGGAAUUCCAUAAGUCUAAACCAUGUCCAUGCAGAUUGAAAGCACAUUAAGUUUACCGUGAACAAAACCCUUUUCUGGGUCUUUAUAAUUAUGAAGACUUGUGGAAUGCUCAAGUAUUCAGCCGGCGUGGCAGAGAGCCAUCAUGCAGAACUUGCCACAAUUUACUGCUGUGGAAAGAUCAUGCAACCUGUUGAGCCUUGCCUCACCAUCUAAUGAUGUGGGCUCAUUUAACACUGUGGCUGCAUGUGGGUUAAGUGCCAGGCCAUGGUAACUAGCAAAUUGUUGCCACUGCUAACCAUGCUGUUGCCAGACAAUCUAAGACCAACACUGCACACCAGACCAUAAUACAGACAAAUUUUGUGUACCAUGAUUCAAUACAUACUGUAGAGUAUAUGAGGCCAUCAUGGUAUAAAGAAUGUCAGCUUUUGUUACUGUGGGCACUUCUAGGUGCUCACUAGGUUUUAGCAGCAGAUCAGUUUUUUUUUUUAUAAUUAUUUUUGGCUUGGUUUCCAUGAAGCUGACAUCUCAGUUUCUACCCAAUUUCGUAGGCAUGAGAAGCAUCUGCAGACAAUGAUGAGGGAGCUUGUCGAAACCAAAUCUCUUCACAGAAAAGGACAAAAAACGCGACUAAAGGAGACUUGGGUCUUGGUAUAGAAAGGCCUUGAGGUGUGAAGGUCUUUUGCAUGCAUUAGAUCAAUUCCCAAAUUGUGAACUGUGCAGAUAAGAUUUGGAGAUAAGCUUGCCAAGAGAUUCCACCAUCUGGUCGCUUUGUAUAGCAAAUUCGUGCAUGGAAAAUCCAACUUUGUGGGAGCCAUUGUCGAAUAAAACAGAGACGGAGAGGCUCGUUGACGGUUGGGAACCCGGGUGGGUGCUCGCCCUCUGAAGAAUAAUGGUGGCUUUGCGCCAUAAGCUGCAGCGGUUACUGCGAGGGUGAAUUUUGACAUAUGUUUUGCAAGUUCUUGCGUGAAUGACCAGCUAGUCUGUGUGUGUGGAUUAGACUGUUCCGCGACAAGCAACAUCGCAGACGGGAGCCGUAUCUAAGCACAUUUCGCUCAAAACUUGUUUUAAAAAUUCAUAUAUAUAUAUACACACACACACAAUCUAUCCAAUUGAAAUGGCGAGCACUAGCUUAGUUUGAUAUGCACUUAAGUAGGAUAUUCAAUUGUAGAGGUUAGGCAGACAUAUGUGGGCAAGGUUGGUAUGCAUUUAUGGAGGUUCCAUUGUAUAUAGCAAUUAUUAAAAACCAAAUAUAUAUAUAUAUAUAUAUAUAUAUAUAUAGUUUUAGAUUGAAUAGAAAAAUGAAUUCUUAUGCCAUCCAAAGAAGAAAGGGAGUUGUAAAUAUGGAGUUGAAAAUAUAUAAGGAACACAUAGAGAAUAUUGAAUUGAUCAAAGGUAAAUUAUAAAAUAUUGGUUUAUAAAGAGUUAUCCAAUGGUUGCACCCAAGAAUAAUACUAUUCUUUGAUUCUUUCCUUAAGGAUUUAAUUCAAUUUAUUUGGAAUUUCUUAUACUUACUAUUUCUAAACAUAUUAUAAUUAAUAAUUUAGUAGUCAAAACUAAGAUUGACCAUCUAAUAAAACAUGUUGCUAUAACUUACUUUGUGGUAGAUAAAUCAUCCAAAGACUUGUUCAAGAAGUGGUUAUUAGCAUUGGAAGAAGAAACAAAAGGUUCUAUCUAUAUAGGCCAAAACAUGAGAAGAAGACAUUUCUAUCUUUGAUUGAAAUAUGCAAAAACAUAGUACAAGAUGUUUAUAAGAUUAAUUUAUGACACUGAAGCAAGAAUAUGUACAUAUUAUUUUUUAAAUUCUAAGUGCAUAGGUAAGUAGAGGCAACUCAAGAGACUUUACAUAAAGAGUCACAAAAUUAUUUGAUAUAAAAGAGGUAAAAAUAUUUCAAAGAAAAAUAGGUUGUUGAAUUAGAUGAAGAAUAUAAUGGAAGUUAAAAGGAGAAAAAGACAAUAAAAGUUUGUUUAGAGCAACAAAAGAAAAGAGAUCAAAACUAUAAAUUUGAAAACUAGAUGAUGAGUAUGGAAUUAAAGUGAAGAAUUCUUCUAUAUUUCUCAAAAUUUGUUACAAUUUCUAAUCUAAGCUAUAUCAAGAAUAGAUUAAUUCAACUUUAUAUUACAAAGCAAUUGAAAAAAAAAAAAUUGGAAAGAUUUCUUCAAAGAUUAUAACAAAAAUAAAUAAAUAUUUGGUGAAAUCAAUUGUAGAAGAAGAAAUAUACUAUCCUUGACUUUGUUUAUUGGAUUUGACUUUACAAAUCUAAUAAAAUUAUACUCCUUAAGUAUGUUUCCUAAAUAAAAACUUAUUUUUUCUUAUCAAUUUAAAAAUAAUAAUGGAUUAUAAUGCUUUGCCUUACAAAUGUUAUAAUUUACUAAGUAGAUACUUAAUGCAAAUAUAUAGAUAUUAAGAUAACAUAUAUAAAAAAUGUUAAACUUAUUAAUAUAUAAUAAUAAAAACUCCUUUUAAAAGUAUUCAAUAUUUUGGCUUAUACAACAAAAAUUAAUUGCAAACUCCAUUAAAAACAACUUCUAUAGAAUAUUAUUCUUUCAAAAUGAAAGGAUGAAUUUGAUACCACAUAUUCAAUCAAUUGGAAAGAUGUAUGGUUCAAAUCAAAAAGACUUAAGGAGUCUAUACUCAUUUGGCUAAUUUAAAAUAGAAAGAUUGCAAUUGAAAUCUAGAAGGCAUAAUCUAAUUCCAACAAUGGGAAUAGUUGUCAAAUGGAACCCAAGAAAUCCGUUCAAAUGUCUAAUACUCCAUGACCUUUUUGAGAGCAACUAAUUACGUAUAAUUAAGUAGUUAAGCAACCUUGUUUCAUACUCUAUCCUCGACAUAGGGUACUGAGAAUUUGAACUCUUAUAUAAUUUUAAACCACCAACAAUCAAUGCAGAGAGUAAACCUCCUUUUUUUCUGUUUGUAAACAACAAAAUAAAAUAAGAACCCAGGAAAUAUGGAGUUAAACCAAUGAAUUCACCUCUCAGUCAUGGGUCUCGAGGUAAAGCAGGCCACCGCAAGGCUCUUGCCUAGGUCUAUUUUUAUUACUGUCGCUGUGAAUGUUAAUAGAAAUAAACACAUGAACACACACACAUUCACGCUUAUCGAGGGAAGGUUCUAUAUUCGUUUGCCAGGCGCACCAGCUUUUGCAUCCAUCAUCCUACGCACCACAUAAAUGCGAUAAUAACAAACGAAACAAUAACAACAACAAACAAUACUUUAUCCCUGCAUGUUCCUUGACUAAAUAGGGAUUAAAAGCAGGCGCGUGAUGAUUAGCCGGGAUUGUGCGUAAAGAAGCUUUCCGGAUAUGAGUCUUCUUCGGAAGGAGAGAAGUGAUGUGUCUCGCAAUGGUGAUCAUUCUCUCUCCCAAAUUAGGAACAAAAACGGGGACGACGGAUAGAAUAACCCUAAAGAAAGUAGCUGGUAGGAACAGUAAUGGUUGAGAAAUUCGGGACAGGCUGCAAGUCAAUCGUGCCCCUCAGUUCCUGCCGAGAUUGAAGCCCCAGAAAAAACAUUAAAAAAAAAAAAUACUUAAAAAACGAAACACAGACUCGCCGAAAUGGAACAACAACAUCAACGAUGCCUAAGGUGGACCCCCCGGUGAUGCAGGACAAUGAUUGGGAUGGGUCGGAGACAGGGGGUGAGUGCGUAGGUCGUGCGCCAAAAAAGCUCGCCGUGCAUGCCCACCCCCCCCCCCUCCUCCCCGCUGCUUUAGCAUCGAGAGAAAGAGGGGCUUUUUGUUUGUGAUUUUGUGUGUGUGAAUGUGUGUGAAAAGUGUGUGAAAGUGUAAGUGUGUGUGUGGAAGAAUCGGUGAUCAUGGGGUGGAGUCCCCCGCAGGCAAUUCACAUACACCAAAGUGAGUGUGUCGCACUACUUACUACUCGGAAUAUAUUCUGUACCGUCACCAUUUAACUUCACGAUUUAUCUUCUGCAGAUCUCUCUCGAGGGUUUUCGCUCUAAAGUUGCGGAGUUCUUUUGAGGAACACGAGGUCCCAGAUUUGGGGAAGACUUUUGCGCUGCGUUUCGGAAGAUGUUUACCAGUCUGAGACUAUUUUUAAAGUUGCCUGGUUAAUUGGUUGCCGGUUGAUUAUGAAACAUUGGGUUUGUUGUUCAAACGCAAAGAAAACAUUUAGUACGAGGCAGUGUGGUUGGAGUAUUCCACACUACAAUUUCAUUAAUCGUCUUGUGCUGUUAUUAGCACUUGUGACGUGAACCCGUCAGCACUACUGUGGGUUUUGAAAUCAAUGUUGCGUUUGCAGGGGAAGUGAAGCCUUGUCACACUCGGGGUACGUGGGCGAAUAAAUCUGUUUUACUUUCUCGCGCCUCCUCACGACAGAAAGAAAGAAAGCAAGAAGUAAGCAAGGAAAAUAAUAAGAAGAAAAGAUGAAAAGAAGAAAAGAUAAAAAGAAUUUUGAGGGAUUAACUAUUGAGAGUUGUCCCUGGAAACCAUACUUUGGCCUCGGAUAAAACGAAUGGCACGAUCUCAUGAAUGUGAAAAGAUCUCUGUCAGCUGAGAAGGUGCAAGUUUUUUGCCCUGGUCUUACGUAAUUCAAUCAACGACAGGCAGGAGUGGUGAUGGUGCUGCUGGAAGCGCCGGUUAUGGAGGUCUGUAUUGGAGUCGUGCUGAGUUCAGCUGAAAAUAAUUGCUACCUCUUUGCGAAAGGGAGGGGCUGCCUCUGUUGGUCUGCCUGUUCACUUCAUUCAUCUUGAUAAUUCAGUUUGAAACCGACUACGAAAACGAUGAACACGUGGGUCCAAUUCUGUGCGGAGUUCGCCUAUAUUUGCCAAUGCGCGCAUCGGACCGAUCUACCCGCGGACAGUAGCCGCAUUGCUCAAACUCCACAUCGAAAUUAUCCGCAGUCGCUACCACUCCAAAACUCUAGUGCAGAUCGCUUAUGUCAGCGUUCCGGUGCCAACCCAGGCGACUACGCGAAUGGAGCACGGGAUACACGACCCAGUGAUCGAAGCGCCGGGGAAGUGGAAAACGGGGUGGACACUCUCAUUAGGAACCCACUGUACCAAGACAAAGCCGACUCGCUCGGGUACCAGCAACCUUGCGGAUGAGCAGCCUACCUGGAUGUGCAGGUCCUCGUGCGUCUAAAUGAUAACUCCACAAAAAUGAAAGAGAGCACAGGUCGUAUACAUGUACGAAAGAGCUUUCGGAGAUGCAACCAAUGGCACCCACACCAUUAGGUGCACUUGCAGGCAUCCCCUGGGCAUGUUCAGUACCCCAUGGAGCUUCCCGGCGGUGUCCUCCAAUGCAAUAGAAAAACAAAAAGGACGAUUGUGCGUGUCCUUGGCAGCUCAGGUCCAGAGGCGGAGGCAGAAAAGAGAAGAGAGAUAGAGAGCCUGCCUUCCUUCCUUCCUGAUUCUACUUUGCAUGACUGACUGACAGACUGACUGACUGUGUGUACUUCCCUUCCCUUCUUUCCAGUUUAAUCGGCCACUGCAAGAAGGCAGCGGCACUAUAAGUGAGUCUAGAAGCGGAGUCGUAUGCACUUGCUGAGCUCGCGCGGACUUUGACCCACCAUUUCCACGGCUCUGCUAACUUCGAUGACGAAGUUUGUUUGUGGACUGUUUAGCUCAGCACGCCACCACCAGCAAAGCCAAGCCCAGCCAAGCCAACCGAAGCUAAGCCCACUUCGGUUGUGUCUUUCUGUAACUUACUUUGCUGCUUUUCUGGCAAGUUUUGGCUUUUAGCCGUUUCCCUUGUUUUGGAAAAUAGUGCAGUUUUUCCAACAAUGUUGUGUUUGGGAUUUGUGGUAAGUGUUCAGAAUGAGGGAGAAGUUGAUGUUGGAAAAUCAAUUAGACAAUUAAGUAAAUUUAAUCCUAUAUCCUUUAUUAUAUAUAUAUAUAUAUAUAUAUAUAUAUAUAAAAAGAAUGUUAAAUAGACCCAGGUUUUUAUUAAAUUUAUUUCAUCCAUGAUGAAGAAUAUGAUAAUCAUAAUUAAUAUGGUUGAUUUUCAUUGGUUUCAAAUCUAGUAGUAGAGAAAUGAAUAUAGAGGUCAUUUUGUUUUUCAUGAUGGUUAGAAUGGAUAGAUCAAUUCUGUAAAAAUGUGGAUCUAUUUAACAUUUUCAUAUAUAUAUAUAUAUAUUUAUAUGUUCAUAUUCAUAUGACUUAAAUUGUAAAAUCAUCUAUAUAUUAAGAUCACUCAAAGAGAUAAGUAGUGGCUCUCCUUCACCACAUGCACCCCUCUUAGUUUUCAUCAAAAAGCUUAACGUUGUUUGGAGUUCACAAUCCUUUUUACAGUUCAAUGAGAGUGUUUUACAAUUCAUCAUGAACUAAUCACUUUGUUAAGCAAGUAGUAGACCACAUAGAUGAUGCAUCUCUCUUUGCUUAUUCUAUGAUUACCUAUGGCAUAGGUACCCCGCUCAUUGAUGCGGUCAAAUUCUACUGCACGCAUUUGAUGGCUUUUGCCUAUGGCAUCUUAUCUUCUCAAGUGUGGCUUAAUUGCUGGUGGUUUUGAUUGUUUGAUGGGCUUUGAUGUAUAUGGGUUGAGUAUAGAUUGUGAACAUGAGAUGUCAAUGUUAUGUUCUAGCUUGCUCAUGCCCAGCUUGAUGGAGUCAAAGUUUUGUUCAAACUUCUCCAUGUUCAUUUGCAAGCAUUUUAGUGCACCGAAGAUGGUAAUUUUUUUUUUGUCAAAGUUGAAGUUAUUAUGAAAUACUAGGAUUGAAUAUUAGGAAUGAAAGACACAAAUCAACAUAGCACAUUAAAAUGGAGAUUUUUGAUUGCCUUAGUUUUUUUAUCAGCAAUUUAUUGCUUUAAUUUUCUAUCAACAAAUAUAAAGCUUAUCAAUUAUACUAUUGUUGAUUUGAAGUUUAUAAUGCUCAUUUAAGAUUUUGAUGUUUCCUAUCUUAAAUUAUUCUCUUUUACUUUGUACUAACUUCUCACAUUUGUUCUAGAACUUACUUCUUUAUCUUUCUUUUUGUUUGUUUGUUUGUUUGUUUUUUGUUUUUAUAAUUUUGCAAUAGAGUAGAGAUUGUGGUUGUUGUAGAAUAUAAAUUUCACAUGUAGUAUUCAAAUCUCAAGGUAAUUGUGAAUUUCGUGGUUCCAAUAUUGAUGUUAAAAAUCACUAUGACAUCUAACUGGCUAUUUAAAAAGAAUCAUUUUAAGUUAAAUCCAAAUGUUCAUAAAUUCUACAUGCAUCUUUCUUAUAGGCAAAGAGAAUUUUUUUGGUAAAGAAACUUUGAUUGAGAAUGAAUUUGAGGAAGCGACUUAAAUAAUGAUGGCAGAUAUCCCAAGUAUUUCAAGAUUGGAUUCUAAGAUAGAAGCGGAUGACAAUAGAAUCUCAUCAUCUUUAGAUUGCUGUGACAUCUGGCUGGCUAUUCAAGAAGAAUUAUUUAAACUUAUUAGGCUGAAGCUUGCUAAGGCAUUGAAAUUAAUUAAAGUACUUGUAUGAAGGAAGAUAGAGCAAAUGCAACAUUAUAAGAGGUAUUUUAUGUAGUUAAAUAAGCAUAUGAUUAUAUGCAUAGGUAGUGGAAUGUGAAUUGUGAUGUAAUCAACUUUAAGAAACACACAUAUUUUUUUGAAGAGGCUAGAAUUCUAAUUCUACAUUCUAAUAUUAAUUCAAAGAAGUUGGAGCUUUCUUUAUGGAAUUCUAUAUAUUAUUAUUAUUAUUUAAUUUUUGAAGGAAUUUAUUUAGCUAUUAUUCUUAGACUCUUAAAUUUUAGGUAUCUAGUUUCAAAGCUUGAAUAAGAUUCUUCAAUAUAGCACAUUCUAUUCAAUUAUCUUGUGGAGGGAUUACUUUUGCUAAACCUUUGGAAGGAUCAAGAUGGGAGUUUUAGAAGAGAUAAGCAAAACAAGUUCAAUCUAUUGGAGAGGAAUAUUUAAAAAGAGAGGUGACAAAAGCAAGUGGAGAGGAAGAAAGCAAAGCUUACUUUUAUGGCUUCAAGGAUAUAGCAGGCAAAUAUAUCUUAUUGUGCCUUCAAUACUAUUUUUUUGAAGGUGUCAAUUGUGAAUGCUCAUUCUCAUUGCAUUAUUGAAAAGAAAAAGGUCAAGCUUAUGAAGUAGAGAUAAGCACAAAAAGAGGCUUUUUAGUCAAGUUUAGAGAGAUAGAGCUUUUAUUAUUGACAUUGGAGUAGUUAUGGCAUAAAUUGAUUUGAAUUAAUUCUUUGAUGUAAUGGACUACAAUGACAAAAAUUCAUUGAGCUUAGAAAUUAAUGUAUAUUUAUUAUAAUCAAUUGAUAUUGAUAUUCAUUUUAAUACUUGAAAUUAUUUUAGUACAAAAAAACUCUUUGAUUUAUAAAAAUAUUCUAUGUCAAAUGUUCAUAUUUGGGCUUUGUUUUUAUUAUGAUCGACAUUGAGUUUUAUUAUAGUUUGGAUAUUUUGGGCCGUCUUGCUCCAAAGUAAGCAAAUGAAUUCAUUUGCAAUAUUUUUAUAAUAAUCAAAUUUCAUUUUUUCUAGGCAUGUCAAAUUUAUUUUUAUUCACAUCAAAAUUAUAAUUUAUAAAUGAUAAGUUAUUAAUAAUGGAAGGUUUAAUUAAAUUGCAAAGCCAAUGAAGAGAGAAAUUUGAGCAAUUAUUAUUUUUUAGUACUUUGGGAUAUAGACAUGAAGACUAAAAAGAAAGAAUCAUAAUAUUUUAUAAACCACCAUAAAUAAAAGAAUUUUGUACUUGACUUUUUUGAUUUUUCACUACAUCUAUUUCACAUCCUUCAACUAUCAUCUUUUUCUUUUUUAUAACAGAAGCUAAGACACUAUUUUUAAAUACAUGUUUAUGUAAGGAUUUCAAAGUCAUUUUUAUUAUUUUAUAGUUUAAUAAUUAUAUUUAUAGUUUUUAUAAUUUUUAUAAUUUUUAUAUUAUAUUUAUUAUAUUAUAUUUCAUAUCAUAUCUUUAUUAUCAAUAAAAUUCUUAAACAACAAAGUUUUAUUAGAAUUUUUUAAGUAUUAUCAAUUAUACAAUAAGAAUUGAUGUACCAAAAUUAAAUUGUAGGAAUUUUAUUUUUUGAUCUUAUAUGAAUUCUUUUAUAUUCAACUUUAUGUAUAAAUAUAUAUAUAUAUAUAUAUAUAUAUAUUUUUGUAUAUAAAUAAAAUAAUAAAUAAUAAUAUAUUUUUAUAUAUAAAUAAAAUAAUAAAUAAUAAUAUAUUUUUUUAAUAAAGAAUUCACUAUUUAUUAUUUUAUUUAUUCGUUUUGAUUUAUAAAAUUUAAAAUAUUGAAAAAAUUGAAUUUUUUGUUAUUGCAAGUUAUUGUAAAAAUAUGUAUAAUUGUAAUCAAUAGAGAUGCAUAGAUGUAGAAUAUUUUUUGUUAAAACACUAUGGUAUUAUAAUUUGACUAAUUAAGUUGUACUUACUUAUUUUUAUUUUACAAGUAUUAUAUAAUUAUACUUAAUUAAGAAGGUUUAAAAUUCUAUGGAAGUAUAAUUUUGACACUUAUACAAACUUACUUCAAUUCUUUGGUAGAGCUUGUCUUGUUGUGAAUGUCAAGCUUUAAUAAUGAAUUGGAGAGCAAUUGCUCAAUGAUAGUAGAGGGAAUGUGAGUGAGCACAAAGAAAAGUUAAAGUAGUUACAUGUAUUAAAGCCAUAUAUAAUCUAAGAAGGAUGAAUAUUUUGUAUCUUUUUUAUAAUGCACUGCAUUGAUUUGAUGAAUAUUUAGUCCAAUUGCUAAGAAAGUUGCCAUUAUUUGGACAAUUGGACUUUUCUACCAUCUCUACCUUCUCCGCCUUUGCUUUUGAGAUGAUUAUUUGAAGACCAAGAUGCAAGAACAAGGGAUUUUUGAAAAAAUAUCCAUUAAUACAAUGAUGCACAUGCAUUUACAUCCUUAGGUUCAAAUAUUGAUUGAUAUGUACUUCAAAAAAAUGCUUCAUACAAUUUUAGAAUAAAAAGAGGAUUGAGCUAUUCAAUAGCAGUAUUAUUAUUAAAAAAAGAUAUCAAUCCAAUCUAUGCAUAAUUUUAUAUACAUGAUGCAUUAUUUGCACAAGAUAGAAGAAUGAAUUAUAAUUGUGCUUUAUCGAGUCAAUAAAUGGAUUAUUCUCCUUUAAAACUAUCUUAGGCAUAGAAUGAAGGAGUAGUGGAAGUAGAUCUUGUUGUUUUUUUUGUACUUUAUGAAUGAAAGUGAUAGAUGCUAAUAUAAUCUUUCUAGUACUUUUAAAAAAAUUACUAUUAUAUUAUUUAAAGAUGGAUCACAGCAUAAUGCACUUUGUGAUAUUAUUAUUUGCCUAUGUAGUAACGGGCUAUUAAAAAGGAUUCAUGAGACUCAUUCAAUUUAUUGGUCCUUCAUUAUGUUUUGUUUUUUCCACAUGAAAUCUUUGGAUGGUAUCUUGACCUAAGGAUGCAAAAUGUAGUGAUGGAUAUUGUUGAAGAAAAAUAAGGUACUAGACAAGAGGAUUGAAGAAGCAACAACCUUAUACAAAUGGAUUAUUUUACUUAAUAAUUUUUUUAAAGGACUAUUUAGUAUUCUAGAAUUUGGCAUAGAAGAAAUCUAUUACAAAAAACUAUGAGUGACAGAUGAGUAAUAAUUGAGCAAUCAUGUUUAUAAUAUCUAUAUUAUAAUUAAGGAAAUUUAUGUGUUGAUUUAUACCAAGACUUGUUAGAUAUUCUUGUAAUUCAUCAAAGUAUUGGGCAUGAAGAAGAAUGAUAUGAAUUAAAUAAUUUAGGAUGUAGGAUCUUACUUCCAUCAUCUUAUAUUGAAAGUGUAAGACAUAUGAUAAAAAUACUUCAAGAUUCUAUGGCAAUUACAAGGUUUUAUUAGUAUUCUAAUAUUUUUAUGACAGCGACAACAAAUUCAAGAUGAUCCAAAAUCUAUAAUGAAUUACUUCAAGGACAAUGAACAAGUGACUAUAUAAAUUUGCUUGUCUAUGUAUUUGAGCUUAAGAGAUAUAUUAUUAUGGAAGAUAUAAAGAAAGGAGUUGUAUUUUAUUAUAUUGUUGCAUAUAUUUAUAAUAUUGAGUUUCAAAAGAGAGGUCUACCUCAUAUGCACAUUUUGAUUUUUUUGGUUAGAAAAAAUAUGAUUAGAUGUACUGGAGAUGUAGAUUGUAUAAUUUGUAUAGAAUUUUCAAAUAAAAACAAAAAUCGAGAGGUAUUUGAAGUUAUUCUAAAAUGUAUGGUAUAUGGUACAUGUGAAAUAUAAAAUCUUUAAGCACCAUGCAUAGAAAACAAUCAUUAUAUAAAAAAGUAUCUAAAGAUGUUUGUAGAAGAAAUAACAAUGGAUGCCUAAAGAUAUCCAAAUAUUGACAAAGAAAUGAUAGAAGAACGUUUGAAAUUCAAAGAAUGGUUGUUGAUAACAAGGAUGCUCUAUUUUAUCCAAAACUAUUUCAAAAGUAUAAUUGUCAUAUUAAUGUUGAGGUGUGUGUAUAUAUUUGUAUUGUCAAGUAUAUCUACAAAUUCAUCUAUAAAGGCUAUGAUUGCAUUACAAUGAAAUUUAAAAACCAAUAAGUUGAGAUUAAACAAUAUUUGGAUGUAAGAUACAUUGGAGCUUUGGAAGCUAUUUAGACACUUUUUGGCAUGCGGAUCCAUGAAAAAAUACCAAAUAUUGUUUGUUUGGCUAUUUGUCUUUUAUGAAUGUAUUAAACAGUAUAUGAUCCAAAUGACAAGGUAGUUGCAAUUUUAAAACGUAAUGAAAGAUAAAAGACAAUAAUAACUUCACUUUUUGAAAUAUGUACAAUAAUUGCAAUGAUAAGACAAUAUACAUAUCAAUAAUUUUUAUAACAUUUUAUUUUGCAUAAGACUAAAAAGACAUGGACAUUAAAAAAAUAUAAUUUUGAUAUUGAAAGAUUAUAUUUUAUAAAUCUUGCAAUGGAAAAAAGAUAUUAUUUGAGGUUUUUUUUAAUCCAUGUUAAAAGUACCUGAUCAUUUGAGCACUUAAAGACUACUCAUAGAAUUUUCCAUCCAACAUUUAAAAGUACAUGUGCAACUUUAAGAUUGCUUGAAGAUGAUGGAAAGUGACAAUAAUGGGUAGAUGUCAAGGAUAUGAAUCUCAAAGAAAGAGAAUCCUCAAAACACUCUUCUAUCACUGAAGAGAAGUAGAAAGUCAUUCAAAAGGUGAUGUAAUAUUAACUAAAAUGGCAAUUGCCAAAAACAAGAAGACUAAAAAGUCUUGAAACAAGACUAAGACUAAAAAGGUAUUGAUAAGAGUGAAGAAGGCUUCACUCUUGCCUCCAUAUAUACUAUUUAAUUAAGAGUUACAUGGCAAUGUCCUAUAAGACCUCCAACAUGUGUUGACUUUGUUAGCCACAUUUCUUAUCUUGCAAGACAAGUUAUCUAUGUAUGUGCUACAUAGUUGGCUUGUUCCACAAGCUACUAUACGGAGAUAACUUAUUCCACAAGCUACCAAUACAUGGUUAGCUUUUUAGCCAAGUUUCUAACCUAAAAACACAUCUAAAGUCAAAACCACAUCUAUGAAGCUUCUUUAGAAAACUUUAUGAAAUUAUUCUAUUUUUACUUAUUUUUACUUAAUCAUAUAAGUAACUAUUGAGGUAAAUAUAUAUAUAUAUAUAUAUAUAUAUAUAUAUAUAUAUAUGAUAUUAUGCCCCCUUCUAGGAACGAGUUCCACAAGGAGUGGUCUUCAUAUGUUGAAGAUGUCCAAGAUGCGGCAAAUUAUAUUUAUUAUAUACUCCAAUCUUUGCUAUCUUUGAAGAUGGUUAAUAGGUCCUCUCAACCAUCUAUAGUGUCUCAUAUCACGGCAAAAAGACCACCCUAUUAUUUGAUCAUUGUUGAGGCCUUUGUAACUUCCUUCAAAUAAAACAUUUGGAACAUUUUCAGGAGUUGUUCCUACCUCUAAUAAAAUCACUAAACAUUGGGAGUCUCUUCCAAGGUUGUGAUACCAAACACAUUGUAUCUCGCCAUUUAUUUAAAGAAGGACAUGUUGUUCUUCAAGAUCUUCAUCUUGAUUCCGUCAUCUUAAAGGUUGUGAAAAUCGCAAUAUCUCAUUUGAUAAGUCCGCAAAUGAAAGUUCUUGAGUUGAAUUUGGUGGUUGUUGGUACUCCAUCUCAUCACAAAUACACAGAAGCUACAAUGAAAGAUAGAAGGUAGAAUAUUAUUUUUCUUUAAUCUUGUUUCUUUUAUAGCAAAGGUUUGGUAUUCUUCAUCUUAGUUUUGAUGGAAAUCGUUGAUGAAAGACUUCAACUUUCUUUAUUACAUUUGCAAGAUUCUUUGAUGGCUCCCAUGUGCGUUCACUAAUAUCAUAUCUGUGCCAAUGAACAAGAAAUUCCAACCUAUUUUGGUGCCACCUUGAGUCUAAGUUUUCUUCUACUUCAAACUCUUAGUUAUUAUCCACUUUUAUAAGAGGAGGUGGCAUUUGUCUUCUUCCCAAGAUAUUCACUGUCUUAUACGGUUUGAAAAGAAACAUAUGAAAUAUAGGAUAGAUCUUCAUAGACUUUGGUAGAUAUAAUCGAUAGGCAACACGAUUGAUUUGUUCACAAAUAGUAAAAGGUCCUAGCUUACAAUAAUCUAAUUUAUCACAAAGAGGAGUAGUCUUGAUAUUAUGACGAAGUAAUCAUACCUUAUCACCCAUAUUAUAUUGUGGUUUCUCUUUGCGAUAAGCAUCCGCUGUCAUAAUGUGUGAAGUCUUGCUUGAGAAUGCUCCGGGCACCUGGCUGUAGAAGGAAGAAUAGAAAUUGCGAUAACAAAAUCCUAAAUAGAAUACUAACAAUACUCUAAGUAGACUAUAAUAAUGGUAAACAAAUGUAAUCAAAUUCAAAAUAACUCAAAGAAAUUUCAAACAAACAAUAAAAUUCUUAAAGAAAUAUUAGAAUGAUCACAAAUUUUACUCAAAUAUAUGUCAAUUCAACCUUAAUUUAAUUCUAGUUAAAACCCUAUUGAAUUUCACUCAAUAUUAGACCAAAUCUAAUUAAAUCAUAAACCCUAAUAAUUCCUAAAUCCUAAGUCAAAUCCUAAACAAAUCUUAAAUUAAAUCCUAUUUCAAACCCUAAACCCUAAACCAAACCCUAAAUCAAAUCCUAAACCAAACCCUAAUCCAAUCCUAAACCCUAAACCAAACCUUAAAUCAAAUCCUAACCAAACCCUAGUCCAAACUCUAAUCCAAACCCUAAAUCAAACCCUAACUAAAUCCUAAACCCUAAUCCAAAUCCUAAUCCAACCUAAUCCAAUCUUAAACUCUAAUCCAAAUCCUAAACCCUAAACCAAACCUUAAAUCAAACCCUAACCAAACCAUAAACCAAACCUUAAAUCAAACCCUAACCAAACCCUAAACCAAACCUUAAAUCAAAUCCUAACCAAAUCCUAAUCCAAACCCUAAAUCAAACCCUAACCAAAUCCUAAACCCUAAUCCAAACCCU
rnacentral:lncRNA from 1 species